rnacentral:lncRNA from 1 species
CUGGUGGCGGUGGGCAGGCUUGUGGGGCCCACAGGCACAUGCCGCCCCCAACUCUAGCUCUAUAAGUUGUCUUUCGUCCUAGAAAAAAUAAAAAGAGAAGUUUUCGUUGCGUUUUGAUUCGGAGGCGCCGCCACCUCCUGUUCUUCAUCUGGAGGGCAGAUCUGGAGUCCAUCUUGGGCUCCGGAGAGGGGAAAUCGUCGCCAUCGUCAUCAUCAACCUUCNNNNNNNNNNNNNNNNNNNNNNNNNNNNNNNNNNNNNNNNNNNNNNNNNNNNNNNNNNNNNNNNNNNNNNNNNNNNNNNNNNNNNNNNNNNNNNNNNNNNAAGUUCUUUUCCCUAAGAACGUAUGACAACACACGGAAUGCAUGCCUACAUCACAUUGACGAACGGGAGCUAGCCACGUAUGUCUCCGUGUUCUAACUGUUGCAUGAUGAAUAUCAUCCAAACAAAUCACCGACCCAUUGCCUACGAGUUUGGCCUACUGCUCCUGUUACUACUGUUGCUACUGCUGUCACUUGUCUUGCUCUGCUGCUACUGUUGCUACUACUGUCGCUUGCUACCGUUGCUACUUGCUACUGCUGUCACUACUGUUGUUCCUUGCCACUGUCGUUACUCACUACUUUGCUGCUAUUACUUUGCUUGCAGAUACUAAUCUUUCAGGUGUGGUUGAAUCUGACAUAUUCAGCUGCUGAUACUUGAGAGUAUUCUCUCACCUCCCGUCGUGCGAACCAACAAAUUUGGGUUGAAUACUCUACCCUCGAAAACUACUACGAUCCCACGUGCUGGUGGGCCGUCAACAACAUUCUUCUAGCUUCGAUUGCCGGACAGUGCUAGCAGCAUUCUUCUGGUGCCGUUGCAAGGGUAAGCACAGUUGACAUCAAGCAUUUUUCUGGCGCUGUUGCUGGGGAGAUAUUGCUAUAUUCUUUGAGUCACUUGGGAUUUAUAUCUACUGAUCACUAUGAAGAAUCUGAAGGAUCCGAAGACCAAAGUCUUGCCCUCAACUACGAGGGGAGUUAAGGAAUUCCCAUCUUGCUCUGCACUUGAUUCACCUUCAGUUAUGAGUAAGUUUGCGACAUCACCUCCUGCUAGAAAUCUUGAUAUGUCGCUUGUGCUUGAUGAUGCUUAUGAUGCUACUGCUAGAGAUGCUAUGCUUGAUACUAUGCCUGAUACUGCUUUGCCUCAUACUGCUAGAGAUAUUAUGCUUGAUACUGCUUUGCCUGAUAUUGCUAGAGAUGUUAUGCUUGAUACUGCUAGAGAUGCUAUGCCUGAUGAUGCUAUGCUUGAUACUGCUAGAGAUACUACUUGGCCUGAUGUUCCGCUAGGGGUGUUCCUUGAUGCUCAUAUUGCUAGAGUUACUGCCAAUGCUCAUGAUGCUUCUGAUACUGCCAAUACUAUUGAGAUAGAACCUGCUUUCGCUCCUGCUAGAUCUAGCUCUCCUAGAUAUGAAUUGCCUGAUAUACCUGAGGGUUACGUUAUGGAGGAAGAGAUAGCUGAGGAUUUUCUUGCAUGUAAGGAUGCCUAUGACGCUAAGAAAUUACUUGUCAAGUGGAAGGAAAAAUCUCUGAAAGCUAAGAUGAAAUACGACCCGUAGUUUGCCACUUCACCUAUCUUUAUCACCGAUAAGGAUUAUGAAUUCUCUGUCGAUCCUGAGAUAAUCUCUCUAGUCGAAUCUGAUCCUUUUCACGGUUAUGAGUUUGAGACGGUCAUAGCCCAUCUUGCCAAACUACACAAUAUAGCCACCCUUUUCACUAAUGAGGAGAAGAUCCGUCACUAUUAUAUCCUUAAGUUGUUUCCUUUCUCUCUAAAGGAUGACUCUAAAGCCUGGUUCACCUCUCUUGCUCCUGGAUGUGUGAGUAGUCCCCAGGAUAUGGUAUAUUACUUCUGUGAGAAAUAUUUCCUUCCCAUAAGAAGCAAGCUGCCUUGCAGGAAAUAUACAACUUUGCUCAACUCCAAGAAGAGAGUCUUCCACAAACUUGGGGGAGGCUCGUCCAGCUACAGAAUGCUUUGCCUGAUCACCCUCUUAAGAAGAACGAGAUACUUGAUAUCCUCUAUAACGGACUUACCGAUGCCUCUAGAGACCACCUAGAUAGUUGUGCCGGUUGUGUUUUUCGGGAACGAACUGUAGAACAAGUUGAGACCCUACCGAAUAACAUCUUGAUCAACGAUAAUGCUUCGACUAUUCCCGAACCACCUCCUAAGCCAACUCCAAAGAAAAGAGGUAUUCUAUUCCUCAGUCCUGAAGAUAUGCAAGAAGCCAAGAAAUCUAUGCAAGAGAAAGGCAUUAGAUCUGAAGAUGUCAAAAAUCUACCACCUAUCGAAGAGAUCCAUGGUCUCAAUAACCCGAUACAGGUAGUAGAAGUGAAUUAUCUGCGUAGGUUUGAUGAGAGUGAUAUUCCUUUUGACAAACCUGCUAGCCUAUGCUUUGAUGAAUUGGACAACUUUGUUGCCAAACAACAGAGUUUCAAUGAUUACGUUAGCAGACAUUUGGAACAAAGUACUCAUAUGCUUAGCCAUUUAAGUGCUUGUGUAGACAGAAAUGUCAAUGAUCUGAAGCUUCUGAGUAAACAUGCCUCUAUGAUUACUACUCAGGUAGAACAAGUACUUAAAGCUCAGACUGACUUGCUCAAUGAAUUAAAUGACAACUCUGUCAGAGUCAUUACUAGAGGAGGCAAAAUGACUCAGGAACCUUUGUAUCCUGAAGGUCAUCCUAAGAAAAUUGAUCAAGAUUCUCAAGGAAUCAAUGCUGAUACACCCAGUCAUCCUAAGGAGAAGAAGAAGGAUGAUAGAAACCUACACGCCAGUUCACCAAAUACUGCCACACCUGAAGAACCUAAUGAUAUUUCUGCGUCUGAUGCAGAAACACAAUAUGGUGAUGAGCAUGAACCUGGUGACAAUAUGGAUAGUGAUGUUCAUAAUAAUGCUCAACCUAGCAAUGAUGAGGAUGUGGAGAUUGAACCUACGGUUAAUCCUAAUAACCCACAACCUAAUAAAUACGAUAAGAAUGACUUUGCUGCUAGGAAGCACGGUAAAGAAUGGGAGCCAUGGGUUCAGAGACCUAUGCCCUUCCCUCCUAAGCCAUCCAAGAAAAAGGAUGAUGAGGAUUUUGAGCGUUUCGUUGAGAUGAUAAGACCCAUCUUUCUGCAGAUGCGGUUAACUGAUAUGCUCNNNNNNNNNNNNNNNNNNNNNNNNNNNNNNNNNNNNNNNNNNNNNNNNNNNNNNNNNNNNNNNNNNNNNNNNNNNNNNNNNNNNNNNNNNNNNNNNNNNNAUUUUCUCUUGCUGUUUCUAUGUUUUGAAGUGCUCGUGACCGUCGUUGCACACAUUUUGCAUUCAUGCCAUCAUAUCUUGCGGUGCUUGCAACUUUUGAUCCGUAGCUCCGUUGGAGAUGUGCUUUAUGUGUAGAUUGCUUGCCUUGACGGGUAGAAUCACGUGAAACUAUUUGUUUUUCUGUUUAACAAAUAAUUAAAUGCAUUAGUUCAGAUCUGGACAGAAUUGUAAAUUAACAUGUGAGGUCGUUUCGGAGAUGCUAUAUGUCAUUUCCGACCUCAUUUAAAAUGUUUAGAUAGGUAGUUUAAUUUCCACUUCACCUGUUACAUGUUUGACAACAUUAAUAUUGCCGUGUAAAUAAUCGGGAUAGAACUAAAUAAUUAACGUGGAGUUUCGUCAAUAUGAAACUCGUUGCAUAUUGAACUUCACUUAAUGUGUAGUGUUUGAUUGUGUGAUUUGACAUGCCGUGUCUUGCAUGUAUUCAGCUGCUCAUGCAUCAUUUGUGUUGUGCAUCAUGUGGUGAAUUCCGUGUGUUGAUUUGUGUCUCCGGUUUGCUUCGUCUCGAUAGAGUUCCGNNNNNNNNNNNNNNNNNNNNNNNNNNNNNNNNNNNNNNNNNNNNNNNNNNNNNNNNNNNNNNNNNNNNNNNNNNNNNNNNNNNNNNNNNNNNNNNNNNNNGGGCAUAUUUCCAACAUAAAGAACGAUUGCUUAAUCUAUGAAUGAAAUCUAUGCUUACUGAAUUUUAGUUGCAAAAAUUAGAUAGUGCUAGUGAUUUUUAGUUGCAAUUUUUAUCAAAUGGCAGUGUUAUAAGGUUGACAAAGGGCAAUGUUACUAGAGCAACAAAUGUCAAUCUUUCUAAUUUCACAAAUGGCAAUAUAUACCCAAUGUGACAGAUGCAAAUCUUACCAAAUUUUUUGUACGUGGUUGCACACGGUUCAUCCGAACAAAUCAUUUGCGUUGAAGGGGUGUACCAAUCCCGCGUGCCAGAUUUUCUCUUAGCUUAGCGACGUAGGAACCAUAGCUCUUGCUUUGCAUACCGUCUCAAUCUGAACUGUUUGCCAUGAAGCGAUGCACAUGUCCUACGCGACAAAUUUUAGGUUGGCUUCUGGGGAAGGACCAUAGCUCUCGCUUUGCAUACGAGUGAUCUAUUUAAAACGUUUGUGAUGAAGAUCUGCACAAAACCCGCGCGUCAUAUUUUUCCUCGCACGCCUCCCGUCUACUCAAGCAGUUUUCUGCACGGCACCUCAUAGGCAUUACAAUUGGGACGCGUGGCAUCGCGUGAAUGGUUAACAGAACACACAUGAUUUAAAUUAUACAUACAUUUGAGAUGAUAAGGUGGCAUCUAUUUGUUUCAAAAUACCUUUGUUGGCUAUUGAUUCGAGUGCACCUACUCUCAAAUUAAAAACAAAAAAUACCACAACAUGUCGGGUGCCAUUCCAUGAUAGCAUGCCAAGUUUCAUGAAUUUCAGACGAGUUUUGGAUUUACUAGAAUUUUAAAACCAAGUAUCUCAAUGUUUGCGGCCGAGGCACGAUGUCGAGGUGUUCGAAGUUCAUUCCCAUUUCUUGCGAGGGACCUAAGAAUGCACCCAAGGACACACAUUUGAUUUUUCAACCCAUUUAUAUGCACUGGAGCAUGUGCAUGUAGUUCAAAUUUGAAUUAUGCAUAUAAAGUGCCUAGAAAACUUAGUUAAUGUAUAAAAAUGUCCAACCAAACCCCGGAAAAAUCGAAAUUUUAACAAGACACUCAUAUUGCUCUAUGUUGCCACUAGGAAAAGAAUUGUAAGCAAGAAGAGGCAACGAAUAUCGUCUCAUCCACGGAGGAGGCACAUUCCCUAUCAGAACCAUGAGACUUGUUGUGAGAAGCUCUCAUUUGUAACAAGCUUAUACCGAAACCUGCUCCGGAUGGGACAAUUUUUUUACCACAUCAUGUUGAUGCCGUUCAAUGAUAGCAUGCCAAGUUUCAUGAAUUUCAGAAGAGUUUUGGAUUUACUAGAACUUUAAAACCAAGUAUCUCAAUGUUUGCGGCAUUGGCAGGAUUAGGCCUGGGCAUUUGGUAUAAAGCGUUUUUUUUCAAAUUCGUUUAACAAAAAUGGAAACCGAAAAUGACAGCUAAAAAUAGCUAACCGAGAUUUCGGUUAACCGAGUUAUUCGGUUUAGUUUUCGGUUUAUACCGUAAUUGCCCGACACGCCAAAAUAGUUUUAGCUUCGUCUAUAUCAGUGUCCAACCUGCGUUGUUAUAUAGCCUGCCUACCCACCCUUUUGUCCAUCACGGACAAAGGUGGGACUAAACGAUUAACUGGCAACACUCCAUGCUGAUUUAAAUGCGGAUGCUAACACUAAAAAGAUGCCCAACUACAAAUAGCAUGGGACUUGGCAUGUCCGGUGAUACGUCUCAAACGUAUCUAUAUUUUUUGAUGUUUUCACGCUGUUAUCUUGCCUUCUUUGUAUGUUUUAUGUACCUUCUUAUAUCUUUUUGGGACUAACUUAUUAAUUCAGUGCCAAGUGCCAUUUCUUGUUUUUUCCGUGUUUUUGACUCUUUUCAGAUCUGAUUUUGGAAUGGAGUCCAAACGGAAGAAAAACCCCGAAAUGAUUUUUUCCCGAAUGGAAGAAGUCUAGGGGGCUUUUGGGCCAAGCCAGGUGGGCUCCAGGGAGCCCACAAGCCCCCACUCCGCCACCAGGGGGGAGGCGGCGGUGGGCAGGCUUNNNNNNNCCCUGGCCGCCCCCUGACCUAGGUCUUUGGCCUAUAAAUUCCCAAAUAUUCCGCAAAAAANNNNNNNNNNNNNNNNNNNNNNNNNNNNNNNNNNNNNNNNNNNNNNNNNNNNNNNNNNNNNNNNNNNNNNNNNNNNNNNNNNNNNNNNNNNNNNNNNNNNNNNNNNNNNNNNNNNNNNNNNNNNNNNNNNNNNNNNNNNNNNNAAAUCAGGGGAGCCUCAAGCUUCCGUUUCCGCGAGAUCUCAUCUGGAGAUCCUUCCCAGCACCCUGCCGGAGGGGACUUUGGGGUUGGAGGGCUUCUUCAUCAUCAUCAUCGCCCCUCCAAUGACUCGUGAGUAGUUCACUUUAGACUUACGGGUCCGUAGUUAGUAGCUAGAUGGCUUCUUCUCUCUCUUGGAUCUUCAAUACAAAGUUCUCCAAGAUCUUCAUGGAGAUUUAUUCGAUGUAAUCUUGUUUGGCGGUGUGUUUGUCGAGAUCCUAUGAAUUGUGGACUUAUGAUCAGAUUAUCUAUGAUAUAUAUUUGAGUCUUUGCUGAUUUCUUAUAUGCAUGAUUUGAUAUCCUUGUAAGUCUCUCCGAGUCUUGGGUUUUGUUUGGCCAACUAGAUCUAUGAUUCUUGCAAUGGGAGAAGUGCUUGGUUUUGGGUUCUGCCAUGUGGUGACCUUUCCCAGUGACAGUAGGGGCAGCAAGGCACACAUCAAGCAGUUGCCAUUAAGGGUAAAAAUAUGGGGCUUUUAUUAUUGGUUUGAGAUUAUCCCUCUGCAUCAUGUCAUCUUGCUUAAGGCGUUACUCUGUUCUGAUGGACUUAAUACACUAGAUGCAUGCUGGAUAGCGGUCGACGUGUGGAGUAAUAGUAGUAGAUGCAGAAAGUAUCGGUCUACUUGUUUCGGACGUGAUGCCUAUAGAAAUAAUCAUUGCAUAGAUAUCGCCACGACUCUGCACAGUUCUAUCAAUUUCUCGACAGUAAUUUGUUCACCCACCAUCUACUUGCUUUCAUGAGAGAAGCCACUAGUAAACACUACGGCCCCCGGGUCUAUUCACAUCCAUCGUUUACAUCUCUGCUUUUACUUUGCUUUGUUACUUUGUUGCUUUGAGUUCUCACUUGGCAAACAAUCUAUAAGGGAUUGACAACCCCUUCAUAGCGUAGGGUGCAAGCUUUUGUGUUUGUGCAGGAUCUUGAGAUACUCUUCUGCCGGAUUGAUACCUUGGUUCUCAAACUGAGGGAAAUACUUACCGUCGCUGUGCUACAUCACCCUUUCCGCUUCGAGGGAACACCAAUGCAAGGCUCCAAGGACACGGGGGAAAUCCUUUGCAUACUUUCCUAGGAAGUCCCUUAAGGCGUAGCCGUAGCUGAAGGAUUCCUGGUGCCGUCGACACAACUAUUUCUGGCGCCGUUGCAAGGGAUACACAUCAAACAUCAGAAGUAUUUCUGGCGCUGUUGCCGGGGAGGAGAAAUGAAGAUCUAUCCAAGUAGGUCUCACAAACUCUUCUCUUGCAUUUACUUUUGUUGCCCGUUGCCUCUCAUUUUCCUCUCCCCCACUUCACAUUUGCCUUUUUCGUUCGCCCUUUUCUCUCGCUUGCUCUCUGUUCACUUGUGUGCCAUGUGCCCUCAAUAUGCUUGCAUCUUCGCUUGCUAAAAAUCUAGUGAUAUGGAUCCUCAUCCACUUGCUAGUCUCUUUAAGAGACCCACUCGUGUGGAACAAAUUGCUAGUGAGUUGAGGGCAAUUGACUAUUUCUUUGGAGUUUUGCGUAAGAAGCGUGAAUCUGAAAAUUGUGAGCAAGAAAUUCAUGAAGUGAUUCACGAGGGCUCCUUGGAUUAAAAGCAUGAUUGCAAUGAUUUCACUAUAAAUCCUAUUAGUGACAAUCAUGCUAAAAAUAUGCAAAACCCUAAGCUUGGGGAUGCUAGUUUUGCUUUGUCCACUACUUGUUGCAAUAAUCAUGAUUGGGGUGAUGAUCUUUCUUAUAAUCUUGAAAAUUUGUUCAAACCUCAUGAUGAAUAUGAUAUUUGCAAUAAUAUUGAAAGUGGGUUUGGAGACGUCAUGACUUUAGUUGAUGAUAGUCCCACUAUUUUUGAAGAGCGUCAACUUUGCAUGCUUGUAGAUCAUGAAAAGAUAGCCUUAUGUGCUGGUUAUAUUGUUGAAUUCAUUCAUGAUGCUACUGAAAAUUACGAUGAGAGAGGAUCAUAUGCUUCUACUUAUUGCAAUAGUAUCAAGCUUCCUCUCCAUGUGUUGAAAUUUUUGAAGCUAUGCUUGUUUUGCCUUCCUAUGCUAGUUGAUUCUUACUCCAGCAAGUUGUUUGUUCACAAAAUCCCUAUGAAUAGGAAGUGUGUUAGACUUAAAUGUGCUAGCCAUAUGCUCCAUGAUGCUCUCGUUGUGUUUCAAUCCUUACCUUUUAUGUGAGCAUCAUUGAAAUCAAUGCCUAGCUAAGGGCGUUAAACGAUAGCGCUUGUUGGGAGGCAACCCAAUGAAUAAAUUUUUCUUUGCUUUUUUGCUUCCUGUUUUGUGUUUUCCACACUUUAAAAAUUCUGUUAUGAUUGUGUUUUUUGUGUCUCUUUUUGCGUUUGUGCCAAGCAAAACCGUUAUGAUUAGUCUUGAGGAUGAUCGUUUGGUCACACUGGAAAAGACAGAAACUUUCUGCUCACGAAAAGAAUUUUCAUUUUUGUUCUGUAAGAGCUUUUGAGUUGAUUCUUUUUGCUUAUGAUUUCUAUGCAAAUUAUGCAGACUGUCCUAAUGUUUCAGAAAUUUUGAAGUACCAGAGGUAUACUAAACAUACAGAUUGCUACAGACUGGUCUGCUGUUAACAAAUUCUAUUUUUGUUGUGUUAGUUGCUUAUUUUGAUGAAACUAUGGAUAGUAUCGGGGGGUAUUAGCCAUGGAAGAUUGAAAGUACAGUAACCCAACAUCAGCACAAGUAUAAUUUAAGUUUGCUACAGUACCUAAGAAAGUGGUGGUUUGCUUUCUUGUACUAAUGUUAUCACGAGUUUCUGUUUAAGUUUCGUGUUGUGAAGUUUUCAAGUUUUGGGUGAAGUUCUUAUGGACAAAAAGAUAAAGAGUGGCAAGAGCUCAAGAUUGGGGAUUCCCAAGGCACCCCAAGAGAUUCAAGGAUGCCGUAAACGCUUAAGCUUGGGGAUGCCCCGGGAAGGCAUCCCCUCUCUUGUCUUCAAUCCAUCGGUAACGUUACUUGGGGCUAUAUUUAUAUUCACCACAUGUUAUGUGUUUUUGCUUGGAGCGUCUUGUAUCGUAGGAGUCUUUUAUUUUUUUUGUGUCACAAUGAUCCUUGCUGCACACCUAGAGAGAGAUACAUGCUCACACCGUGAUUUUGUCGAGCUUCACUUAUAUCUUUUGGUAGACAAUUCGGCUCACAUGUGCUUCACUUUGUGACAGCCCGAUGCCGACGUUCCAGAAGAUUCCCCUCUCUUUCCGUUUUCGUCGUGUGGGUAUUUUCAUUUGUCGCAUCAUCAUCGCAUCAUGCACAUCAUCAGCAUUGCAUCGGCAUCUCGUUGCCGCCAGUUUUCAAAAUUUGCAUCCGUUGUUAGUUGCCGGUUAACGUUGUUGUUUGUUCCAAGCCUGACCGCACACGCACGCGCCCGCGACACCGUCGUAACCCUGUUUUUAAAGUGUGCGUAAAACUUUCUCUGAUCGGGUCGAGAUUUGACGUGCGAUCUCAUUUUAAUCUAGCUAGGCCGCCUGUCGAAUUUCGUCGCGAUCGGAGUCCGUCUGGUACCCGAACGGUCGACCGUAGCGGCACCGUAUUCGGUCUACCGUCGGACGUCUGUCGGUGUUUUAAAAUUCGUGCCGCGCCGCCCGUUUCCCCUCUCGUCUCCGGAUAUCUACACAACACGGCCACGUACCCAUUCCCUCGUGCGGAAUCGUCUGAAUCCGACCCCGCGGUUGGAUCCGGAUCGCGAUUCCGGUUAAUCGAGCCCCCCGUUUGUCUAUAUAUAGCCCCCAUGCCUUAAUUAGAGAGUCCUCCCUAAUCCCUCCUUGUUUUUGCGCCCCCACCAAACCCUAGCCGCCCCUGUCUCCCUCCUCGCGCCAGGCCCUCCCGGCCCAGAUCAGGGCCCGCUCGAGCCCAUCUGGGCCCGAGUUCCCACAGCAGCAGCCACCGCCGAUCCGGGCCAGCACCAGCGCCAGCACCGGUGCCAGCCACCGCUGACAGCGUUCCCGUGGUCUACUCCCGGCGUUGCUCCUCGCCAGCCGCCGGCCGCCACCUCCUCCCAUCGCUGCCGGCCAGCCGCCGCCUCCUUCCGUCGCUGCCGGCCAGCCGCAGCUCAUCCCGCCGUCAGAUCCGGCCGCCGCCUCGCCCACGCCUCUUCCCAGCCGCGCUGGUUCCCCGAUCUGCACCGCCGCCAUGCGCCGCCAGCCCGCGCCGCCCCGUUCCGGAUCCCGCCGCCCCGGUCGCCGGUUUCCUCGCCCCGCCUCGUCCGCAUGGCCGCCACCAUGGCUGCCCGCGAGCUCCUCGUGCGGGAGAGCCAGGGGGCUUGCCCGACCGCCCACUCGUGGCCCUCCCGUGGGCUGGCGCUAGGUGGGCUAUGCGGCCCAGCGCACCGCCUGCCUCCUCGAGGCCCAGCGCAGCCGGCUCCCCCCUUCGGCCCAGGCGUCCAGGCCGCCUCUUCCCCUUUAGCCGGCCUUUCGGCCCAAGGUGAGCCACCCCCGCUAAACCCCGCUCGGGCGCAUGCUAGUUAUCUAGCGCCCAUUUGCUAUUAGGCCCAUUUAGUAAUUUAGGUUUUUAUUCCGUUUUAGAUAAUUACAGUAAAUACGUAUAUUAAUAUGCCCGUAUCUUUUUAUUCGUAAGUCGGAACGAGGAGUACUUUAUAUGGUUUUGGGGUAGUUUUGCGAGUAGAACACGUUUCCGCAACUUGCAUAUUUUUUUUGACGUUGUUUGACGUAUCGUAUGCAUGGAUUUACAUGCUGUCUCAAUAGGAAAGUGCCCGCAUUUAUUUUCCGCGUGUGUUCGAAUAGCUCGAAUGCCAUGAUAGAAAUGCCUAUGUUUUAGGAAUUAUUUUUUCGUGUAUUUUAGAGUGGUCACUCGUAUUUUUGCGCGUAGGAUUAGCCGGUAGUUUAUUUUCCCGUAUCUAGGUGUUUAUCUCGCAUUAAUGUGUGACAUUAUUUCGUGUUGCAAACCCCACAUAUUUUAUAUGUUUCCGGGGUAGAAAAAUCCCAUGGAUUUUUUCUGUGCAAUUAGUUUUAGCUUUUGAGUAAGUUAGUUCGCGCGAUAUUUUGCCGUGAUGCCCUUUUGGUUAAUUCGUAGGAUUUAUUCCGUGCGUCGUUUGACGGAGUUGUCAACUAGAGAUGCCCUUUGGAUGUUUUGUUUAGCCGCUGGUAUUUUUGGUUGCAAUAGAAAUGCAUGUUUAGGUGUGUUUUGAUUGCCCUCAAGUUGCUUGAAACAGUGCUGUUUUAGAGUAGCUGAAAUAUUUCUAAGUCUGGGAUCUGUUAUUAUUUUGUUGCUGUCUUGUCUUGCUUGCAUCUUGUGAUCUGUAGCUCUUUUGAGGUUGGUCCAAUGGAGUAAGUUGUAGCCCUUGUGUUUCUCUAGCAUGCUGUGAAGUUUCAUGCCAUUUGGAGUCCUGUAGCUAUAGGUUUUGCUCCUGUCAAUAUAGCUUCAGAUCAAAAACUGCACUUUCAUGAGGUGUAAUUUUCACUAAGUCUGAAAUAGUGUGUGAGAUGCCGUUUUGUGUCUUCUUGUGCUAGUGCUCCUUGCUGCCAUGCUAGUGGUUGUUAGUUGUUUGUAGUAGUGCUUCUUGCCCUCUUCCGUGCCAUGCCUUGCAUGAGUUUAUCGGAGUUGUGUAGCUCGCAGUUGUGGGGCGUAGAAUAUGCUAUGUGGCUGAUUUUGGCAGCUUGUAGUCAUUUCUUGAUUUGCUCGUAGUUUUUGAACCGUAGCUCCGAUUUGAUCGUGUCCUACAUGAAACUUGCUUAGAAUCUCGUGUAGUUUCUUUUUCUCUUUCUGGUUGUUUGUUUUGAGGUGCUUGUGACCGUCGUUGCUCACAUAUUGCAUUCAUGCCAUCAUAUCUUGCGGUGCUUGUAUCUUUUGAUCCGUAGCUCCAUUGGAGAUGUUCUCUACGUGUAGAUUGCUUGCCUUGAUGCGUAGAAUCAUGUGAACCUAUUUGUUUUGCUGUUUAACAACUAAUUAAAAUCAUUAGGCCAGAUCUGGACAGAAUCGUAAAUUAACUUGUGAGGUCGUUUCGGAGGUGUUAUAAGACAUUUCCGACCUCAUUUAAAAUGCCUAGAUAGAUAGUUUAAUUUCCGCUUCACCUCUUGCAUGUUUAAUCACAUUUAAUAUUUCCGUGUACCUAAUCGGGAUAGAACUAAAUAAAUAGACGUGGAGUAUCGUCAAUAUGCAACUCAUUGCAUAUUGAACUUCACUUAAUGUGUAGAGUUGAUUAUGUGAUUGAUCAUGCCGUGACUUGCAUGUAUUCAGCUGCUCAUGCAUCAUUUGUGUUGUUGCACCGUGUGAUGAAUUCCGUGUGUUGAUUCGUGUUUCCGGUUUUCCCCGUCUCGAUAGAGUUCCGCAAGCGUGUCGGAUGUGAGGACCCGUUCGACUACGUCGGUUCGUCUGCUUCACGGAGGCAUUCUUCUUCCAAGCGGGAUGUCAGGCAAGAUGAUCAUUUCCCCAGAUACCAUUACUACCAUUGCCAUGCUAGUUUACCGUUUCUGUCGAUUAUGUCUCGUUGCCUACCACAUGUUAAAUACCAGCCUCUCAACAAUGCCAUGUUAACCUUCAACCUGUUCGACCUAGCAAACCACUGAUUGGCUAUGUUACCGCUUGCUUAACCCUGUGUUAGCGUUGCUAGUUGCAGGUGCAGUUGCUUCCAUGUGAUAACAUGGGUUCCUUGUUAUAUCACCAUAUUAAAUGCUAUUUAAUUUAAUGCACCUAUAUACUGGUAAAAGGUGGAAGGCUCGGCCUUUCUAGCCUGGUGUUUUGUUCCACCUUUGCCCCCUUAGUUACAAGCUACCGGUGUUAUGUUCCAUAAUCGAGCACUCCUAACACGAUCGGGGUUGUUAUGGGGACCCCCUUGAUAAUUUGUUUUAGAUUAAAGCUGGUCUGGCAAGGCCCAACAUUGGUACUACAUUUGCCUAAUCACCUAAUAAAAUUGCAUAGGGAUCCGCCGGCACCCGCGGACUAUUUUAAUCAACCCCCGGGCCAGUGCUCCUCAUGAGUAUUGGUCCAAAACAGAGCAGCUUAUUAACGCUACCCGGGGCAACUCGGCGUUUGGCGUGGUAACCAUCGCUCAUCCGUCGUGUCCUGAGAACGAGGUACGCGACUCCUAUCGGGAUCGUCGACACGUCGGGCGGCCUUGCUGGAUUAGUUUUACCUUUGACGAGAUAUCUUGUGCAUCGGGAUUCCGGUGAUGCUUUGGGUAAUCUCACAGUUGAGGUUUUCCACUAGGGAAUCCGACGAGAUCGCGAGCUUCGUGAUUGAGGAUUUCUAUGCGGCUUGUGGUAAUUUGUGAUGGACUAAUUGGAGCACCCCUGCAGGGUUAAAUCUUUUCGGAAAGCCGUGCCCGCGGUUAUGUGGCAACAUGGAUACUUUGUUUAACACUGGUUCUAGAUAACUUGAAGUUAACUUAAUUGAAACUUGCCAACUGUGUGCGUAACCGUGACUGUCUCUUUCGUGAGUUCUUUCUCCGAUCGGAGACACGGUGGGGUUAUGUCUGACGUAGGUAGGUGUUCAGGAUCAUUCAUUUGAUCAUCAGUAGUCACGUCCGUUAUGCGUAGAUCUUCCCCCUCUUAUUCUUGUACUCGUAAGUUAGCCACCAAAUAUAUGCUUAGUCGCUGCUGCAACCUCACCACUUAACCAUACCUCACCCAUUAAGCUUUGCAAGGGAUACACAACAAACAUCAUCCGGCUACUCGCGUGGUCAGCUUGGCCCAUGUGACAUUUUCUGUCGCUCGCGCACGCGCUCGAGGCUACUGGCAUGGAAAUUUUGUGUGUAGCGACAUAGGCGCGUGAGAAGCCUCUACUGGUCUGUACGUUGACACAGUCCCUACGUACAUUCGGGUUUGCUUUCGGUAAACUGAGCAAAAACCGAACCGACCGAACCAAGUUCGGUUAUCAGAGGUGAAAACCGAAUUUUUUUGUAACAUAAUUAAAAACCAAAAUUUCGGUUUAUUCAGUAUCGGUAUCGGUUCGGUCUCUGGUUUGUCGGUAUUUAUGCCCACCCCUAGGCAGGAUGCCGGGGUGUUUGAACUUCAUUCCCAUUUCUUGCAUGGGACCUAAGCAUGCACGCGAGGACACACAUUUUAUUUGUCAACCCUUUUUUCUUCACUCAAGCAUGUGCACAUCGUUCAAAUUUGAAUUAUGCACAUAAAAUGACGAGAAAACUCAGUUAAUGUAUAAAAAAUGUCCAAACGAACCCCAAAAAAUUCCAAAUUUUAACAAUACACUCACGUUGCCACUAGGGAAAAAAUUGAAAGCAAGAAGAGGCAACAAAUAUCAUUUCAUCCACGAAGGAGGCACAUUCCCUACCAGAACCAUGAGGCUUGUUGUGAGAAGCUCUGGUUUGUGAGAAUCUUAUACGCAAACCUGCCCCAAAUGGGACAAACUUUUUACCACAUCAUGUUGAUGUCGUUCAAUGAUAGCAUGCCAAGUUUCAUGAAUUUCAGAUGAGUUUUGUAUUUACUUAAAUUUUAAAACCAUCUAUCUCAAUGUUUGCGGGCGAGAGAGGAUGCCGAGGUGUUUGAACUUCAUUCACCUUUCUUGCAUGUGACCUAAGGAUGCAUGCAAGGACACAUAUUUGAUUUUGCAACCCUUUUUUCUGCACUAGAGAAUGUGCAUAUAGUUCAAAUUUGAAUUAUGCAUAUAAAAUGCCUAGAAACUUGAGUUAAUGUAUAAACAUGUGCAAACGAACCGCAAACAAUUCCAAAUUUUGACAAGACACUCAUGUUGCUCUAUGUUGCUACUACAAAAAUGGAAAGCAAGAAGAGGCAAUGCAUAUCGUUUCAUCCAAGAAGGAGACACAUUCCCUACCAGAACCAUGAGGCUUGUUGUGAGAAGUUGUGGUUUGUGGGAAGCUUAUACCCAAACCUGCCCCAUGGGAUAACUUUUUUACCACAACAUGUUGAUGCCGUUCCAUGAUAGCUUGCGAGGUUUCAUGAAUUUCAGAUGAGUUUUGGAUUACUUGAAUUUUAAAACCAUGUAUCUCAAUGUUUGCGGCCAAGCGACGGUGCCUAUGUGUUUGACAUCCAUUCUCAUUUCUUGCGUGGGACCUAAGGAUGAAACCAAGGACACACAUUUGAUUUUUCAACCCAUUUUUAUGCACAGGAGCAUGUGCGUGUAGUUCAAAUUUCAAGUAUGCACAUAAAUAACUAGAAACUCAGUUAACGUAUAAAAAUGUCGAAAUGAACCCUGAAAAAUUCCAAAAUUGAACAUGACAAUCGUGUUGUUCUAUGUUGACACCGGAAAAAAUUUGAAAGCAAGAAGAGGCAACAAAUAUAGUUUCGUACACAAAGGUGACACGUUCCCUAUUGGAACCACGAGGCUUCUUGUGAGAAGCUUAUACCAAAACCUGCCCCAAAUGGGACAAUUUUUUUACCACAACAUGUUGAUGCCAUUCCAUGAUAGCAUGCCAAGGUUCAUGAAUUUCAAAAAAGUUUUGGAUUUACUAGAAUUUCAAAACCAAGUAUCUCAAUGUUUGCCAACGAGCCACACUGCUGAUGUGUUUGAAAUUCAUCCCCAUUUCUUGCAUGGAACAUAAGCAUUAACCCACGGACACAUAUAUGAUUUUACAACCCAUUUUGGAGCACUGGAGGAUGUGCAUGUUGUUUAAUUUUGAAUUAUGCACGUGAAAUGCCUAGCAAACCAAGUUAAUGUAUAAAAAUGUCCGAACGAACCCUGAAUAAUUCCAUUGUCUAGGUUAGCUAGCUUUUUUAAAAUGUUGAACUUGCUCAAUUAAGAAGUGUGGGUAUGUUGUAGGCUCUUUUGUGUACCCAAAUUAUGCAAUGACGUGGAUGACGACUAUAACGAGGGAAAUUUGGACCAAAAUUUGCACGUUCAAACUCAUCAUACACGGGGUAAGCUAUAUGAAUCAUUUGUGAUGUCCUUGCGCGCUAGUUUUUUCGCUUCACCGAGCCAAUUUUUUUGGCUUUCGUGGAAAUAUCCACCUCCCCGCCCCCCUUACCAAGAGCCACAUUUCCCCUAUUUCCGCCUUCCUUUCCAAGUUCAAAUCUUCACUCCUUGCUUGCAGAACCGCCUCCUCGCCGACGACCCGCCUUCACGCUGCUUGGCCUCGUCGAUCGAGACAGGUAAUCCACACCCGACCCCGAUUCUCCUCCUCCUUCUACAUCCCACAUGCCCCGACCACCGGCACAACACCUUCCACCCAAAUUACCGACCCCUACUCCAAAUAAUCCAUGGUGCACGUAGUAUAGCCAAGAGCUCAAGGAGCAUUUGGCAGCGGAGAAGCAAAUCACGGCCGCACGCAUGGAUGAGGUCGCAAUUGUUGUCAUUCGUGCCCAACCCCAGAUCUUGGAGGACCACCUCGUUGUCGCCUCGUGCACUGAUUCCGCGACGCGGUUAGCUACUUUAAAUGACAUCUCGUGGUGUUUUCUUGAGUCCAUAGUCGGUGCCUUCGACGAAGACUACAAUGUGUUUUCUGAGCGUGACCGUGCUUACAUCAACUCAAGAGACAACAGGUUGGUGCCCAGAGCGGCUCAGAUAACUCACCACUACGAGGAGGGCACCCACGAUGUGGAGGCCUCACCCUCUUCCAUGUCCAAUGAUCGAAUCAUCACCGAUAUCUGUGACGAUGAGGAGUAGCUUGUCUUAUUAGUUCACUAUAAGGAUCUAUGUGCAGUUAGCUACCUAAGCCGGUUAAUCAUGUUUGGUUUACCAAUUGCAUGUAUUGCUCAUGCCUUUCCUUAACAAAUUCUAGUGAGUUGUCCUAUGUACUUUUACCAUGCAAUCUGAUCCUCUAGUGUAUAUGUUCUAUAUGUCGUGAAAUGUGAUGCUCACUUAUUAACUGUUUGGUUAAUUUGUUGUCGUCUUCAGUUAAAUGUUUGGUUCAAUUCUGCAAUGUGAUGUUCAAUUCUUCUAGGGGCAAUUUUGUUUUGUCUUCCAUGCGAUAAAUAAAUCAAAUUUGGCUGUACAAAAUACAUGAGAAACAAAUACAGUUGAUAUAUUUCCAAGUUUUCAAGCAUGCUUGGUUUGGUUAACUGUCUGAUCUUCUAGUAUGUUAUACAUUGUGCAUUGUGGUGCUCAGUUAAUGUUUGAUUCAUUUGUUGUGCUGUUUAGUUAACUGUUUGGUUCAAUUCUUGAAUGCGAUGCUCAAUUGUUGUUGGUGCAUUUUUUAAUUGUCUACCAUGUGAGAAAUAAAUCGAAUUUGACUGUACUAAAUACAUGAGAAACAAAUACACUGAUAUAUUUCCAAGUUGUUAAGCAUGCUUGGUUGGUUUAACUAUCUGAUCUUCUAGAAUGUUAUACAUUAUGAAAUGUGGUGCUCAGUUAAUGUUUGAUUCAUUUAUUGUGCUUUUUGUUAAAUGUUUGGUUCAAUUCUUCAAUGCGAUGUUCAAUUGUUGUUUGUGCAUUUUUUUAUUGUCUACCAUGUGAAAAAUAAAUUGAAUUUGGGUGUACUAAAUACAUAAGAAACAAAUACAAUUGCUAUAUUUCCAAGUUGUUAAGCAUGCUUGGUUUGCUUAACUGUGUGAUCUUCUAUUAGGAGUAUGUUAUAUUGUGCAAUGUGGUGCUUAGUUAAUGUUUGGUUCAUUUAUUGUGGUGCUCAUUUAAUCUGCUGAAUCUGCAACGUGUUUAUUUUUUAUUAACAUAUUGUAUUCAUAGCAUGCUAACCCUCACUUAACUUGAUCAAUAACUACCUUAUAUGUGUUGCACGGAAACAAUGGUAAGCAUUGAGGUUUUCACAUGGAUGGUCCUUUGUCUAAUAGUAGCACAUCAUUGUGAAACUGCAGGAACGAUUCUAAUAUUUAGGUUUUUAACAAUUUGGUCCUGCACAUGUAGGUCCCGCUGACACAGGUUUUGACCCACCGUUCGACCCUUUUUUCAUAUGGGGAAAUGAGUUGUAAAUGAAUAUCAGUCAAGUCAAGAAACUCAGAAAGAUUGUUAGGAUAAAGAAAAUAGCGACAAAAAAAACAAGAUCUUUGUUUGCACAAUGAAGAAGACAUCACUGCACUACAAGAUAGUAUUAACUAUUAUACUUGUCUUUUUUAUUCCUUUGCACCAUUUCAAAUCUAGAGAAGAUAUUUAUGCAUAUCCUUGUUUUUAGGCCUAUCCAAAGCAGUCCACUCAUGAUUACCUCCAAACCACCUGUAUGGUGAGGAGGCAAGGAAGGUAUUCAUAUAACACCCACGGUACAAUCUUGAAGUCUUCCUGAAGAGGAUGAAGGAUGGACGGUCAAUUGAUACGUCUCCGUCGUAUCUAAUUUUCCGAACUCUUUUGCCCUUGUUUUGGACUCUAAUUUACAUGAUUUGAAUGGAACUAAUCCGGACUGACGCUGUUUUCAGCAGAAUUGCCAUGGUGUUGUUUUUGUGCAGAAAUAAAAGUUCUCGGAAUGUCCUGCAAAUUUACGGAGAAAUUUUCCGGAAUAAAUGAAAAAUACCUGCGCAAAGAUCCACCGGAGGAGGUGUGCUAGUGGGCCACAAGCCCCUGGGCCGCGGCCACCCCCUGGCCGCGCCGUGAGGGCUUGUGGGGCCCACGUGGCACCACCGCCUCCAAACUCAGCUCUAUAUCUUCCGUCUCGCCCGGAAAAAAAAUCAGAGAGAAGGAUUCAUCACGUUUUACGAUACGGAGGCGCCGCCACCCCCUGUUCUUCAUCUGGAGGGCAGAUCUGUAGUCCGCUUUGGGCUCCGGAGAGGGGAAAUCGUCGCCAUCGUCAUCAUCAACCUUCCUCCAUCGACAAUUCCAUGAUGCUCUUCAUCGUUCGCGAGUAAUCUCAUCGUAGGCUUGCUGGACGGUGAUGAGUUGGAUGAGAUCCAUCAUGUAAUCGAGUUAGUUUUGACGGGGAUUGAUCCCUAGUAUCCACUAUGUUCUGAGAUUGAUGUUGCUACUACUUUGCCAUGCUUAAUGCUUGUCACUAGGGCCCGAGUGCCAUGAUUUCAGAUCUGAACCUAUUAUGUUGUCGCCAAUAUAUGUGUGUUUUAGAUCCUAUCUUGCAAGUUGUAGUCACCUACUAUGUGUUAUGACCCGGCAACCCCGGAGUGACAAUAGCCGGAACCAGUCCCGGAGAUGACCAUAGUAUGAGGAGUUCAUGUAUUCACCAAGUGUUAAUGCAUUGGUCCAGUUCUUUAUUAAAAGGAGAACCUUAAUAUCCCGUAGUUUCCAUUAGGACCCCGCUGCCACGGGAGACAAUAGAUGUCAUGCAAGUUCUUUUCCCUAAGCACGUAUGACUACAUACGGAAUACAUGCCUACAUUAGAUUGACGAACGGGAGCUAGUUACAUGUCUCUCCGUGUUAUAGCUGUUACAUGAUGAAUCAUAUCCGUCAUACUCAUCCAUCACCGAUCCACUGCCUACGAGUCUUUUACUAUUGGUUCUUCUUACAUUACUUUGUCCAGGCUUGUCCCUUGCUACAAAGGGAUUGGGCCACUUUGUCGCUACUGAUGUCACUCUGCUGUUAGUGGCUGCUGCUUUCACUACUGCUGUUCCUUGCUACUUUGCUGUUACUUGUUGCAAGACCCUUUUCCGACACCAUUGCCGGGGAAGAAUAGUUCCCCGUCCAUGUGCAACUUGCUGGCGCCAUUGAUACAAUAGUUAGGAAUAGUCUGCCGUCAACAGAUCGUUUCUGACACCGUUGCUAUCAUACUACUUUGCUACUGAUACUUUGCUUGCAGACACUAAUCUUUCAGGUGCGGUUGAAUCUGACAAACUCAGCUGCUAAUACUUGAGAAUAUUCUUUCGCUUCCCCUUGAGGCAAAUCAACAAAUUUGGGUUGAAUACUCUACCCUCGAAAACUGUUGCGAUCCCCUACACUUGUGGGUUAUCAAGACUAUUUUCUGGCGCCGUUGUCGGGGAGGCACAACUAUAUUCUAUGAGUCACUUGGGAUUGACGUCUGCUGAUCACUAUGAGGAAUCCGAUAGAUCCAAGAACUAAGGUCUUUCCUUCCACUACGAGGACAGGUAAGGAACUGCCAUCUAGCUCUGCACUUGAUUCACCUUCAGUUAUGAGUAAGUUUUUGACAUCGCCUCCUGCUAGAAGUAUUGAUAUGUCGCCUGUGCUUGAUGAUGCUACUUCUGCUCUCCAUGAUGCUUAUGUUGAUGCUAUGCUUGAUACUAUGCCUGAUGAUGCUAUGCUUGAUACUAUGCCUAUUGAUGCUAUGCUUGANNNNNNNNNNNNNNNNNNNNNNNNNNNNNNNNNNNNNNNNNNNNNNNNNNNNNNNNNNNNNNNNNNNNNNNNNNNNNNNNNNNNNNNNNNNNNNNNNNNNNNNNNNNNNNNNNNNNNNNNNNNNNNNNNNNNNNNNNNNNNNNNNNNNNNNNNNNNNNNNNNNNNNNNNNNNNNNNNNNNNNNNNNNUUGAUACUGCUUUGCCACUAGGUGCAUUCCUUGAUGCACAACUUGCUAGCAUUGCUGCUAGAUGUGAUGAUACUUCUGAAACUACUAAUACUAUUGAAGUAGAACCUGCUAUUUUGCCUGCUAGAACUAGCUCUCCUAUGCCUGAAUUGCCUGAUAUGCCUGAUACGCGUUAUGUUAUGGAGGGAGAGAUAGCUGAGGAUUUCCUUGCGUGUAAGGAUAGCUAUGAUGUUGAGAAACUACUGCGCAAGUGGAAAGAAAAAUCUCUGAACGCUAGGAUGAAAUACGACAAGAAGUUUGCUACUUCGCCUAUCUUUGUGACCGAUAAGGAUUAUGAAUUCUCUGUCGACCCUGAGUUAAUCACUCUAGUCGAAUAUGAUCCUUUUCACGGUUAUGAGUCUGGAACGGUUGUAGCCCAUCUUACCAAACUGCAUGAUAUAGCCACCCUAUUCACUAGUGAGGAAAAGAUCCGCCACUACUAUAUCCUCAAGCUGUUUCCUUUCUCACUAAAGGAUGAUGCUAAGACCUGGUUCACUUCUCUUGCUCCUGGUUGUGUGCGUAGCCCCCAGGAUAUGGUCUACUACUUCUCUGAAAAAUGUUUCCCUGCCCAUAAGAAGCAAGCUGCCUUGCAGAAAAUAUACAACUUUGCUCAAGCUGAAGAAGAGAGUCUCCCACAAGCUUGGGGGAGGCUCGUCCAGCUACUGAAUGCUUUGCCUGAUCACCCUCUUGAGAAGAAUGAAAUACUUGAUAUCUUCUAUAAUGGACUUACCGAUUCUUCCAAAGACCACCUAGAUAGUUGUGCUGGUAGUGUUUUUAGGGAACAAACUGUAGAACAAGUUGAGAUUCUAUUGAAUAACAUCUUGUGCAAUGAGAAUGCUUGGACUAUUCCCGAACCACCUCCUAAUCCAACUCCGAAGAAAAAAGGUCUUCUAUUCCUCAGUCUCGAAGAUAUGCAAGAAGCUAAGAAAUCUAUGCGGGAGAAAGGCAUUAAAUCUGAAGAUGUCAAAAAUCUACCACCUAUCGAAGAGAUCCAUGGUCUUGAUAACCCGAUACAGGUAGUAGAAGUAAAUUAUGUGCGUAGGUUUGAUGAGAGUGAUAUUCCUUUUGAUAAACCUGCUAGCUUAUGCAUGGAUGAAUUUGAUAACUUUGUUGCCAAACAACAGAGUUUCAAUGAUUAUGUUAGUAGACAAUUGGAACAGAAUGCUCGUAUGCUUAGUCAUUUAAGUGCUUGUGUGGACAGAAAUGUGAAUGAUCUUAAGCUUCUGAGUAAAGAUGCCUCUAUGGUUACUACUCAGGUAGAACAAGUACUUAAAGCUCAAAAUGACUUGCUCAAUGAGUUGAAUGACAAUUCUGUCAGAGUCGUUACUAGAGGCGGUAGAAUGACCCAGGAACCUUUGUAUCCUGAGGGUCAUCCGAAGAGAAUUAAACAAGAUUCUCAAGGAGUUAGCACAGAUGGACCUAGUCAUCCUAGAAAGAAGAAGAAAGAUGAUAGGAACCUGUACGCUAGAAACCCUGUUGCUGCUACACCUGAGAGUCCAAACGAUGCCUCUGUCUCUGAUGCUGAAACACAAUCUGGUGAUGAACGUGAGCCUAAUGAUAAUAUCAAUAGUGAUGUUCAUGUUGAUGCUCAACCUAGCAAUGAAAAGGAUGUGGAGAUUGAACCUGUUGAUCUUGAUAACCCACACCCUAAGACUAAGAGAUACGAUAAGAAUGACUUCGUUGCUAGGAAGCACGGUAAAGAAAGGGAACCAUGGGUUCAUAAACCUAUGCCCUUUCCUCCCAAACCAUCCAAGAAAAAGCAUGAUGAGGAUUUUGAGCGCUUCGUUGAAAUGAUCAGACCCGUCUUUCUGCAAAUGUGUUUGACGGAUAUGCUCAAAAUGUCUCAGUAUGCUAAGUACAUGAAAGAUAUUGUGACUAAUAAGAGGAGGAUACCUGAGGUUGAGAUUUCCACCAUGCUCGCUAACUAUACCUUCAAGGGUGGAACUCCUAAGAAACUAGGUGAUCCCGGUGUGCCCACUAUACCUUGCUCCAUUAAAGGCAACUACGUUAGAACUGCGUUAUGCGACCUUGGAUCUGGUGUUAGUGUUAUGCCUCUCUCUCUCUUUAUCGUAGGCUUGAACUGGAUAAGUUGACACCCACUGAAAUCUCUCUGCAAAUGGCCGACAAAUCAACUACUUUCCCUAUCAGCAUUUGCGAGGAUGUGCCUGUUGUGGUUGCUAACGUCACUAUCUUAACAGACUUUGUUAUCUUGGAUAUUCCCGAGGACGAUGCCAUGGUUGUCAUCCUCGGAAGACCCUUUUUAAACACCACAGGGGCUGUUAUAGAUUGCAACAAAGGCAAUGCCACUUUACAUGUCAACGGUAAUGAGCAUACGGUGCACUUUCCGAAGAAACAAUAUCGAGUACAUUGCAUCAAUGCUAUCGAAAAACUUCAUCGAUUCUUAUUGGGAGCUUUGAAUGCCCUAUUCCUCGUGUCAAGAUGAUGUAUGAUUUGCUUGCUGGGGAAAUUCACAUCCCCAUUGAGGUGACCUAGUGACUAUUCGAAAAUUCUUCGUCUUCUUUUGCGAUUCGAGAAAGUUUUGUCGAGGGGAUUUGAUCAACCCCAUUGAUGGAUUUCUUUCGAUGACCAUGCGAUGGAUGAAUCAAGGAGUCACAAACCUCUGUUCGAAGCUUUCACCUUAGUUUGCUUAGAAGAAAAAUGAUAAAUUUAGUUUAGUUUUCACUAUUUUCUGUUUUAGCGUCGAGUAGAAAAGUACCCCGAAAAUAAAAGUUCUCCAAACGUCGUGAAAAUCAAGUAUGAUUUUUUCUGGAUUUUUUGAAAAAUACUGAGACGAAGAGCUUGUCUGGGGGAUGCACAAGUGAGCCACAAGCUGUGAGGGCGCGGACACCCCCCUGGCCGCGCCACCCAGGCUUGUGGGGCCCACAAGCACCCCCUCCACUCAUUCUUGCUCUCAUCUGGUUCUCCUACCUCCAGAAAAAAUCGUUUCGCAGCUCAAACCCGUAUUCUUGCUCCUCUUGCUGGGAUUUUUGAUCUCUUUGCUCAAAUCACCGUUCUCCAAACUGCUUUGGGGGAAAUUACUCCUUGGUAAGUGACUCCUCCAUUGGUCCAAUUAGUUUUUGCUCUAGUGCCUUAUACUCCGCGUAUUUUUGUUGCCUUGGUGACCAUGUUCUUGAGCUUUGCAUGCUGAUUUUAGCAGGUCCUAAGUAGUUUUGAUGCUUAAUAUGGCCUCUAGACACUUGUGGGAGUAGUUGCUACGAGUUUAGUUGAGCCUUGUUCACUUUUCCUUAGAAUCACUAAAAAUUUCAGAAAUUUUCAGAGAUAGAAAAGGGAAAAGAUGAGGAGGUUCUCAAGAGGCUCGUCAAGCCGUGACCCCAAGGAUGAUGGGAGUGAGAAGAAGCCCAAGUAUUUGGUCCCUCGAGUCGCAGAAGUUCGAGCGUGUGAGUGGCCAAGUGACGUGGUCUUACACGCCACUGGAAUUUAUGAGGACUUUCAUCACCUGGUGGAGAACGCAGGCCUUACCGCCUUCGUUGAAGAUAAGUGUCCACAAUACCUCCUCCUCACUAAUAUCUUCGUACAAAGCUUUAACUUCUAUCCGAGGAAGAAUCCUCCUAUGGUUGAGUUUAAACUUUAUGGUAUCCCACAGCGCAUGACACUUCAGGAUUUUUGCAAUGUUUGCAAAUUACCCUACUUUGGGGAUAUUCAUGAACCUCGUCCACGGGACUUGGAAGCUUUCAUCGAUACAAUUGUUGUAGGAGAGGAGAGAGGAGUGUCUUGCGCUAGAGCUGCUAGCACUCAUUUUCCCAUGCUUCGGUACUUCUCACUAUUUGUGGGAAAAUGUUUGAUUGGCCGUGGGAAGGCUGGGUCACUUAGUUCCCCAGAUCUUGUGGUCUUGCGCGAAGCCCUUUAUAAUGAUAAAACUUAUAGCUUGGGCGCUAUAGUAGCUCAACAGUUGAACAUGAACCGUUCUAAAGGCAUUGUCUAUGGAGGUAUCUAUGCUACUCGUCUUGCUAGACACUUUGAGAUACCUAUUAGACUGGAGGAGGAAGAAGAGAUUCUUCUUCCCGAGAGAUAUCUAGAUUACGAUAGCAUGGUUCGCCAUGACUUUCUUGAUAGAGAUAUAAAUAGAAGGGUGAUUUAUAACCUGGUAUUUAGUCAGGGUACUCGUGAGACUAUUACUUUGCCUGCUCCUUCUUUGUUCAAUCUUGAUGCAGGCAGGUACACUAUUAUGCCCUCGAACAUCUACGCAUAUUGGGGCUUGGCCCAACCACAGGUGCCCGUGCCCGAGCCACCAGUCGAGUACCAGACGCCAGUUUAUCAGUGGGAGCCAGAGGAGCUCACACAGAAGUGGCAUCCUCAGUCCACUCUGGAGUACCCUGGAGCUGGUUAUUUCCCACCUUGGGAGUAGACCAACUUAGGCCAAAAGCCUAAGCUUGGGGGAGUACGUGUUUCUCACCGACUUUACAUUUUUGCUUAUGCUUUCACUUUGUUCGUCGGUGUUCACACUUUGCCACUGUAUCAUCCAUGCUAGUUUAUUUUAUUUUUUUAGUUUUCUUUUCGUGUGUCUGUCUAGUUUGAGAAAAACCAAAAAGAUUUUCUUUUCUUCUUUUUGCUUGUUGGGAGCUUUCCCGUGUAGAUAGUUUUCUUUUUCUUUGGCUCAAGGUAGAAGAUAAUGGUUACAAUGUUUAGUGGCUCUUGCAUGCAUACCUGUUUAGCUUUCAAAGAGCCAUAUUACUUUGUCUUCUCCUUUGUGUUUGCCUGCAGAUUCCAGCGUAGUCCAAUGCACGAGCAUUCUUAUUAUUGUUCACAUCAUUCGGUCGUGCAAGUGAAAGGCAAUAAUGAUGAUAUGUGAUGAAGUGACUGAGCCUGGAAAAGCUGGUAUGAACUCGAUCUAUUUUGUUUUUGUAAAUAUGACUAGCUCAUCAUGCCCGAUUCAGCUUUGUUGUGAGAGAAACAUGUUUGCAAUGACAACUUAGAUAUCAUAGUUCCUUAUGCCAUGCUUACUUAGCUAGGAGCUUAUCAUGGUUUGUCUUAGUUGCCAACAUGAAUGUUGAGAUGACUAUGAUGUAGUAUGAUAGGAUGGUAUCCUCCUUUGAAUGUUUCAAGUGGCUUGACUUGGCGCAUGUUCACGCAUGUAGUAGAAACAAAAUCAACAUAGCCUCUAUGAUGAUCAUGUUCAUGGUGAUUUAUGUCCUACUCAUGCUUGCACUCAAUGUUAGUUAAUCUCAAUGCAUUUUGAUGACUCUUGUCUCUCUCUAGUUGGUCGCUUCCUAGUCUUUUGCUAGCCUUCACUUGUACUAAGCGGGAAUACUGCUUGUGCAUCCACCUCCAUAAACCCAAAGUUGUUCCAUAUGAGUCCACCAUACCUACCUAUGUGCGGUAUCUACCUACCGUUCCAAGUAAAUUUGCAUGUGCCACUCUCUAAACCUUCAAGAAAUAAUCUGUUUUGCAUGCCCGAACCACUCAUGUAGCGACAGGGGGCUAUUGGUAUCUUCCAUGCUAGGCGUAUUAUCCUCGAUAUGUGUUUAUUCACUAUCAUUCACGAGAAAGGGGCCGGUAAUUGGAAUUCCCAGUUCCAUGCUCAAAUCGAAAAGAUAAUUGCAAACAAAACUCCCCCAGGCUUGAUGUUGGUAUGGACGGUACCCGAGGAUUCGGCUAGCCGUGGAGUGUGAUUGAUUGGUGGUGCGGGAGUCAAAACUUUACUUUUCUGUUUGGGAACCACCUAUAGCAUGUGUAGCGGGGAAGAUGUUGAGAACUCUUAGUCAUUGCGUUGACAAUAAAAGCAUGCCACCCAAAAUUAUUAUCUCUGUUUUCAAAGCUUGAGCUCUGGAACCUCUGCAAAUCAAUGCUUCCCUCUGCGAAGGGCCUGUCUAUUUAUGUUCCUGUUGAGUCAUCCUCCUCUUACAAAAGCACCAAUUUGAGAGCACCUCUGUCAUUUUUAUGCUUUGCUUUUAACUGUGUUGAGUAUGACUGUGACUGGAUCUUCUUUGCCAUGAAUUACAAUGUUUAGUCAGCUCUUGGUCUUUGAAGGUGCUCUGCAUUUAUGUUUUGCGGUCUGAGAAAGAGCUUGCGAGAUACCAUCUGUUCGCACUGCUUCAUGUUGUUUUGAUUGAAGUGUUGACAUUUGAGACUUAUAAUUAUUUGCUCGCUAGUUGAUUAUGCCAUUGAUAUGAGUUUACGGUGAGACCUAGAUGUCAUUUGCUUAUGUGGUUUGCUUGUGAUCUUGCUGAAAUUCUGGUUAUGAGUUAGACUUAGUUGCAACAACAAGAUCAAACAGAGUUCGUCAAAGUUUUUCUUUUGUCUCUUGCAGUUUGUCAACUGAAUUGCUUGAGGACAAGCAAGGCUUUAAGCUUGGGGGAGUUGAUACGUCUCCGUCAUAUCUACUUUUCCGAACUCUUUUGCCCUUGUUUUGAACUCUAAUUUGCAUGAUUUUAAUGGAACUAACCCGGACUGACGCUGUUUUCAGCAGAAUUGCCAUGGUGUUUGUUUUUGUGCAGAAAUAAAAGUUCUCGGAAUGUCCUAAAGAUUUACGAAGAAUUUUUCCGGAAUAAAUGAAAAAUACCUGCGCAAAGAUCCACCGGAGGAGGUGUGUCAGUGGGCCACAAGCCCCUGGGCCGCGGCCACCCCCCUGGCCGCGCCGUGAGGGCUUGUGGGGCCCACGUGGCACCACCGCCUCCAAACUCAGCUCUAUAUCUUCCGUCUCGCCCAGAAAAAUAUUAGAGAGAAGGAUUCAUCGCGUUUUACGAUACGGAGGCGCCGCCACUCCCUGUUCUUCAUCUGGAGGGCAGAUCUGGAGUCCGUUUUGGGCUCCGGAGAGGUGAAAUCAUCGCCAUCGUCAUCAUCAACCUUCCUCCAUCGAGAAUUCCAUGAUGCUCUUCAUCGUUCGUGAGUAAUCUCAUCGUAUGCUUGCUGGACGGUGAUGAGUUGGAUGAGAUGUAUCAUGUAAUCGAGUUAGUUUUGACGGGGACUGAUCCCUAGUAUCCANNNNNNNNNNNNNNNNNNNNNNNNNNNNNNNNNNNNNNNNNNNNNNNNNNNNNNNNNNNNNNNNNNNNNNNNNNNNNNNNNNNNNNNNNNNNNNNNNNNNNNNNNNNNNNNNNNNNNNNNNNNNNNNNNNNNNNNNNNNNNNNNNNNNNNNNNNNNNNNNNNNNNNNNNNNNNNNNNNNNNNNNNNNNNNNNNNNNNNNNNNNNNNNNNNNNNNNNNNNNNNNNNNNNNNNNNNNNNNNNNNNNNNNNNNNNNNNNNNNNNNNNNNNNNNNNNNNNNNNNNNNNNNNNNNNNNNNNNNNNNNNNNNNNNNNNNNNNNNNNNNNNNNNNNNNNNNNNNNNNNNNNNNNNNNNNNNNNNNNNNNNNNNNNNNNNNNNNNNNNNNNNNNNNNNNNNNNNNNNNNNNNNNNNNNNNNNNNNNNNCUUAAUAUCCCGUAGUUUCCAUUAGGACCCCGCUGCCACGGGAGACAAUAGAUGUCAUGCAAGUUCUUUUCCCUAAGCACGUAUGACUACAUACGGAAUACAUGCCUACAUUAGAUUGUCGAACGGGAGCUAGUUACAUGUCUCUCCGUGUUAUAGCUGUUACAUGAUGAAUCAUAUCCGUCAUACUCAUCCAUCAUCGAUCCACUGCCUACGAGUUUUUUACUACUGGUUCUUGUUACGUUACUUUGUCCAGGCUUGUCCCUUGCUACAAAGGGAUUGGGCCACUUUGUCGCUACUGCUGUCACUCUGCUGUUACUUGCUGCUGUUGUCACUACUGCUGUUCCUUGCUACUUUGCUGUUACUUGUUGCAAGACCCUUUUCCGACACCGUUGCCGGGGAAGAAUAGUUCCCCGCCCACGUGCAACUUACUGGCGCCAUUGAUACAACAGUUAGGAAUAGUCUGCCGUCAACAGAUCAUUUCUGACACCGUUGCUAUCAUACUACUUUGCUACUGAUACUUUGCUUUCAGACACUAAUCUUUCAGGUGUGGUUGAGUCUGGCAAACUCAGCUGCUAAUACUUGAGAAUAUUCUUUCGCUUCCCUUUGAGGCGAAUCAACAAAUUUGGGUUGAAUACUCUACCCUCGAAAACUGUUGCGAUCCCCUACACUUGUGGGUUAUCAUGAAUCAUCCAGAGGCGCUGGCCUAAAGUUGCAAAGACCUUCAACAUCAAUGAAGGAUCAAUAUUUGCCUUCCGCAUCAACAGUUUUCUAGAUGAGAUUCAUGUGUCUAUCUACUGUCUAUGAUGCUAAUUUCCAAAGGUUAUAUAUGUUGCAUGUUAAACUUGGUGGUGGUGUAGUUGUGUAAUGGGGUAGCUAGCUAUAUGCCUAUAUGGUGUAACUGAGUGCUGAAGCUACAUGAUGUUGUACUCUAAUGUAUUUCAAUUACGAAAUCCUGGUUCCGUGAUAUGAUGAAAUAUAUUUUGUGCUUAAUAUAAAAGGUCAAUUUGUUUAAUAAAUGGAUUAUUGAUAAUAAGCCAAUUAGCACGCUAAUUGGGCUUCUGUAUUGCAAACGGUUAGUGAGAAAACACAGUGGGUGAUGGCCUAAGACAACACACACAGUUUCUCGGACAAAAACGUGUUGGAUCAGUGAACAAUCACACAUGACUUCCUCUUGAAAACUGUUUUGUGUUAGGCCUCCUUGCACAAAUGUUUUCCACAUAAAAAGUGUGUGUGAUGGACAACCUAUGCCACACAACUUCUUCUACGUACCAUGCACGAUGCAUUCAAGAACGCAAUCGAUAAAAUUAUUAAUAUCGUCGGCAAUGGCAAUACUAUCGUAGAUGAUUUGAUGGGGAAAAUUGUGUGUGAUGUAUGAGUGAAUAGAAACAAUUGUCCGAGAUUCAACGUGUGGGAUGUACAUACGAAUGGAAACGUUCUUCUUGGAUUGACUAUGUGGGACGUACAUACAAACAGAAACGAUUGGGCCUGUAUAAUUAUAUGCGAUGGCUAGCCCAAUCGCACACGAGCUCAUUUUGCGCAGCGUGUGUGACUGGAGGACCUAUCCUCGACGGUUUCUAGGUCAUGUGGGAAUGACUGCCCUAUCGCCCACACUCACUAGGCGAUGGUUUGAAAUGAUGUCACGGAAAGGGGUUAAAAAGGUUUGUAUAGCACGUUGCUAUAGCAGUGCUAGUCCCGUGUUGACAUAAGCCAUGGUGGAAUAGACAAGGCCACUUCUUCGUGUACCCCUUGUGGGUGGAGCCCUCCGUGGACUCUUGAAGCUAUUACCAUCCGUGGGUUGAAGUCUCCACUAAUGUGGACGUACGAUAGCACCACCUAUCGGAACCACGCCGAAAAUCGUCGUGUCAACCUUUGCGAUUGAUCUUCCAAUCCCUACCCUCUACUUACAUAUGCAUGUCAUUACUUUCCACUGCAAUACUUUUAGAUAUGCAUGUGUAGGGUGUGCUUGAUUUGUACAACUGCUAAAACUGGCCCACAACUAAAAUUGGGAGAAGGCUAGGUUUUCAUUUGGUUAAGUAGUCUAAUCACCCCCCUCUAGACAUACUUUGUGUCCUACAAGUGAUAAAAGAGCUUUGGUACCCAUUGCAUUGGUUUCACAACCUAGGAGAGUAUGGCGUCUAGUGAGGGAAAUUACCACCGUAGAGUUCCAUAUUUUUAUAUUACAAACUUUGCUAGUUGGAAGCACAAGAUGAAAAUGCAUAUUCUUGGUCAUAACCCCACUGUUUGGGUUGUUGUUCGUGUUGGUUUGCAAGGUGAAUUCUUUGGUGAUGGCAAAGAACUGAUCACGAAGCAACAACGGAAGAAUUGAAGAUGUUGCAAUACAAUACUCAAGCAUGCGACAUUCUAUUCAACUGCUUUUGCCCCGAAGGGUUCAACAAAAUCAGCCGUCUUGAGAAUGUCAAGUAAAUUUGGGACACUUUCAUUGAUAUGCACAAAGGUACUGAAUCCGUCAGGGAACCUAAGUUGUAUGUGAUACAAAGUUAGCUUGACAAGUUCAAGAUGAAAGAUGGUGAAUGAGUCGGUGAGAUGUACUCUAGGCUAGAUCUCAUCACAAAUGAGAUUGCCGGCUUAGGAAGAGAAGAGAUGACCAAAAAAUUCAUCAUUAAGAAGAUACUUAGAUCUUGUAUGGGAAGUAUGACACCCUGUGCACCUGAUCCAAAUGAUGCCAAACUACAAGGAUCUCAAGCCAACGGAAGUCACUGGAAGGAUUGUCGCCCAUGAAAGGUCACUCAAUGACAAAGAAGAGUUGCACAACAAGUAAAGCGGUGCUUACAAAGCUUCAAGUGAUGCUCCCUCGACUUCAAAUAAAAACCUUGUCACCAAUGAAGAGAUAAGACCCUUGGUUAGGAAAUUCAACAAAGAGAAGAGUCACCUAGAAGACGAAGCUCAAGAGAAGAGUCACCUUGAAGAGAGAGGAGGAGUAGAGAAAAUCGUUAUGAACAAAGACCCUCCCAGAGAAGUAAGGAAUCGGAGAAGAAGGACAAGUACACCAAGGUCCACUGAAGAAGAAGACAUCAAGCUCAUGUUGGUGAAUGGGUAUCCGACUCUGAGUCUAACAACCAAUCUGAGAGAAGCUACCACUCCAACUAAGACUAUAGUCAAGAUUAAGGUGUUGCCGGUCUUGCACUCGUAUCCUCCAACUCCUGUGACAUAUUUGAUUCACCAAAUGAAGGGAUUGGAAGUUGCUUCAUGGAUAAAGGCCCCAAGCUAUCACACCCCGAGUACUUUGACUUUAAUAGUGAUGAGGAUGGCAUGUUAGGAGAAGAUAACUUGCUCUUUGAUAAAACUAGUGAUAAAAAUGAAAAUGAACUUGAUGAUAAUCAUGCUAGUCAAGAUAAAUCGUAUGACGAUGAUAAUAAAUAGACUGAACGACUAACUAAAAAAACUAACACUCUUAAGUUAGCUCAUGAAUCUACUCUAGAAGAUCAUAUAGAUCUUGAAACAACUCAUGAGAAGCUACACUUAGAUAUGCUAAAUGUAGAGCAAGAGCAUGAGUUUCUAAAAGCAAUCAAUGAUGAUCUUCGAAACAAGAGUUCUUCUUUUCUAUCCAAACGAUUACUCUUGUCUACUUUUGUUCCACAACUUAAACCUAAUCACACUAGUAACAAAGGCAAGAAAUUUUCUUAACCUAGUAACAACAAUGCUAAUGCUAAAUCAAAUGAUGUUGUUGCUAGUAGCUCUCUUGAUUCCACUAAUGAUUCUAUUAGCCAAAUUACACUUGAGCAAGAAUUUUUUUUAUUGAAAGGAAUUAUAGAGAGAGGGGUCUUCAAGAGUCUUGCUGGAUGUAAGAAAUUCAAGGAAAUUUACGCAAGCUAGGAGGACACCGGAAGAAGCAAGGUGUUGGCAACUUCAAUGCCAACGGAUUUGAAUGGGAAGAAGGUCAAUACCCCAUCCCAAAGUUUGUUCCCCAAAAUGAGAAGCAUGAUCCUAGUAUCCCCAAAGGAACAAGCUCUCAAGAUGACCUUCCACCACAAGACCACAAGGGCAAGUACAAGCUUCAAGAGGAGAUUGACUCAUUUGAGGAAGAACAACACGCCAUGGUCAAGUGGAUUCCCAAGGGCACUACUAGCUCUACUUCAUCUAGUGCUACCACAACUCCAAGGAUCCCCAUCAAGUUGAUGUGGGUCCCCAAGAAUAAGAACUAGAGAAGUUCCUAAGGGGUGACUUCGCCAAUGAAAUUCACUCUUAUUCAUUUUGGCAAGAACUUGAUGCAAUCAACUCCAACCAUAUGCAUUAGUUCAUGGAGUCAUAGAUUGCCUUAAAGGUAAGCAAGGGACAAGGUAACUAAUGUAUCAAUGGACUUCAUCCGACAUGUACUUCACUCCAUGUCCAUAGAUAUCCUUGUAUUUGUUCAUUGUACUUAGUACUAACCAAUGUAGGUGAGAAGAGUAAGAAACAACGAGGAUUGCUCCCAACUCAAGAUGGUAUUCAUCAACAAUGAGCAUCCACCACUACUACACCUACAUGAAGUCUUCUACGACAAAACCCAAGUUAGUUUAUCCCUAUUAGGGGGAUGUCACAUCAAGGGGGAGCUUUACUCUAAUACUUGAGUAUAAUCAUCUCUUAAGGUGUGAAAAUAUUUAAAGCUUUAAGUAAACAUGGCAACCACACUUGUGCUUAAACGGUGAGUAUGACCUAUGAUCAAGUAUUCUUGCUUGGCUCCCAUGUCAAUAUACUUAUAUAUAGAUGCCUUUGUCAUCGCCAAAGUGCUUGGUAGAUACUAGAGUGGUUGUGCAUGUUUGCCAUGUUUUAUUUGACAUCUUAUUGUGUGAGCAUGUUGGUAUGCAUAUUUUUGCUUAUUCGAGGAUAUCCAAUUGUUGUUAUUUGGCUUUUCAUUUUCUUUGGCCCAUUGUAUAUACAAGAAUGCCUAGGUACCCCUCUCUAGCUAUGUAUGCUUUCUCGUCUCAAAUUCUAUUCAUGCUACAUCACAAAAUUUGAGCAAGAACUUUAGGGACACUUAGUGUGAGGAGCACUCGGAGAUCCAUCUCGACAGAAUCUGACUUCCAAAACCUCCCAUGUGCCACUUGGUGUGACCAACUCCAAAUCUCGGUCCCACCGAAGAACUAGGGUAGGUACCAGCGAUAAGUAAAUCUUGGCCUCACUGAAUUUCACUGUCACCAGAUAGUUAUGGAACUCAGUGGCACCGAUAUUUCCAACUCGGUGUCAACGACAGCAGGGGAUAUGUAUAUCCAGUGGACCCAACUUUUGAAAUUCAAUAGUCAAACAUCACACCCGCAAACCCCUUGAUGUCAUGCUCUCGUCUCCAGGACAUCGCCAUUCAUUUCCCAUGCACCCUCGCCGCAAGAGUGCUUGUCAUCAGCGGCAAUCUCUCCUGCCGCCACUGCCGUAGGAGGUCUUCAUCGAAAGUAGGGUAAAGACCUUGCCCCUAUUUGCAAUCCUUAAUCCAAUUCUUGCGCAAAUAGGUCAAGUACAUCUAUAAUCUACGAUUGCAAUACUCCUAUACAGAAGAAAACACCAUUAGAUUAAAGAACAAGAGGUUUUUAGGUUUAAUCAUCUGCAAACUGAAUCUUGGUGUUACCGAGUUAGAAAAAUUGGUCUCACCGAUUUAUGUUUUAGGGCUAUAGAGAACAAACUCGGUGAAACUAAGUUACUCUUUUCGGUGAAACCGAAAACUCUUCCAAGUUUCUGUAAAGGAGGUUGUUUGUCUCAGUGGCUCCGAAAUUCUUUACUCGGUGGAGUCGAAAUCCUUUUUGCAGAAAGUUAAACUUAAAACUUUGAGUUCAAAAUUUUGAAAACUUCUGUGAUCUGUGAUGCUCAUCCACUCCUACUAUUCUACUUCUAUUCACAUGGACAACUUGUUUUCUUGGUUGCUUGUCACCUUGUCAGUAUGUCAGGUUCACAUGAUAGCCAGAAUGAUUCCAGAGAACCCAGUGUGGAAAUGGACUCAGGCACUAGUACCGAGAUGACUAUUUCUGACCCAGGUACUCCAAGCUCCCAUGAUUUGCCGAAGGCAGCUACCAGGUCCAGAAAGAAGAUUAAUUCACAUGAGGAGGAUGUUGACUUAAUUCUAGAGGAAAGCGUUCCCCAAAAGCAAAAGGAGAGGAUCAUAGUCAAGAAAACCGUGAUAAAGGAGUAUGCCAGGACUGAAUCUAUGAGAGCUCCAGAGACAACUCAGAAAGGGAUGAAACUCACCCUUGAGAACCCCUCUUCCAAGAAAGCUAAGAAGCUAUGGCAGAAGAGAGCUAGGAAGAGAGUUGUGCAUGUUGUUAGAAGGCCAACUUCCAUGUAUGAAGAUCCAACAGAAGCUACUAAGGAAGAAGAGGAAGAGGAAACUGCUAAUCCAUCUUCUUCAAAGAAGAAGCUUAUGGAACAUGCUAUGCCAAGCAUGUAUGCACCCAAGAAUAAACCUUCUGCUCCUAAGUCUAAGAAGCUAGUAGCUCUUGAGAGGUAUACUAGGGAUAUACCUGCAAUAGGGAAGAACAAGGGCUCUGCAUCUAGAGAAACUAUUGCAGAGCAGGAAGAAGAUCUUUAUGUGCUGAGGAAGUUGAGAGCUCACUUGGCAUUGCACAAAGAUGCUCAUCCAGUUGUUGAGGACAUGAAAAAGAGAAGGGAUCAAGGUCCAAGACAGUGGAGAACUACAGAUCCCUAUGUUGUUAGGAGGAGAACAACUAUUGAUCCUCGCGUUCACACCAUGGAGCAACAAGAUUUCUAUGAGACACUGUUAUUGGACAAGAGUCCUGCAGUAAGUGACAUAAGAUAUGUAGACUGGGACUACACAAAGGAACAUGAGGACUUGUUCCCUCAUGUGAGAGAAAAUUUUAGGGCAAUUAAUAUUGAAGAUUUUGUUGGCAAAGAGAUGACUGCGUGGAAUGAUGAGAUGAUCAUGCAAUUCUACUUUACUGCACACUUUUAUCUAGAUGGUAGGAUUGUUUGGAUGACUGAAGGUCACAUGUAUGAGUCAACUUUGGAGGACUAGGCUACAAUCAUUGGUGCCCCAAAGGACCAAGAGGGUGACUUGGGUGUGUACUGUGAGCCAAAAAUGAUCAAAACAAUACGGCUAAUACAUACAAUCUAGUUCCCCACCAGUACUUGAAGACACACAAGAUUGGCUCCGUCUACUUCCUGCAAGCAGGGAUACCCACUACAAACACCAUUAUAAGGUACACCCUCAUGCCCAAGUUAGGAGAUGAGAAUAUGAUCAGAGGGUAUUCCAUCAACAUGCCACACCACAUUGAUUCUCACACAAGGAUUAGAGUGAUGGAUCUGAUAGUUGGGUCAGACAGGAGGACAUCUGCUGAUCAGAAGAGAUCAUGUGGAUAUGCUCCGUACAUUCAGAUGCUCAUCAAUGCCAAGAUUGGGAAGCAUGCAUAUCAACUUGAUCGUCCACGCUUGCCUCUUCAGCCAGAGUCCAAAGACAACGAGGUAGUGAUGGACCUUAGCCAUCCCAUCUCAGGUACAGCUCGUCAGCACACAGAGGCAGCAACAGAGGCACCCGCAGCCAGAGCAGCUUCGGCACCACACCUGAGAUCCAGAGAGGAGGAGAUGUAAUUUCUUGUCAGCACCAUCCAGAGGAUGGGGAAGAAUAUUUCUGAGAUUUUGUUGAACAAGAAGAGCCUUGAUAGGAUCAUGGAGACUAAAUUCCAUGACCUAUAUAUCAAAAUAACAGAGUUGGCUACCACUGUUGAGCAGCUAAUGCAUGAAGUUGAUCCAGUGCGGACACCUCGCUCCAGCAGUGAUGAUGAUGAUUUGUCUCUUCCUACGACUACUCAGUUCAGGACUCGGACUUGGUCUGCAGCUAUGCUAGUUCUAGAAGUUAGACCAUAUUCAUUAGCCCAAGCAUCAGCGCCUUCAGCUCCACCAGAUCCCGCACCUCCAGUGUCAACACCUCCACCUUAGAGGACGUUGAUGACGAGAUGAUGUAUAUACUUCUCGCACCUUGUUGGUUACCCCAAGUGGAAGGUUGAGAUGUAGUCAGCAGCAAGUUUUCCCUUACACGGAGACUCUAAGUUUUAUCGAACCAGGAGGACUCCUAUGAUCAACAAGUAGGUGUCUUCCACCCUGACGCUAGCAGAAGACAUGGACCUGCACACACACAAAUAACUUUGCUCCCAACGAGUACAGAGAGGUUGUCAGUCUCUCCGGCCUUGUAGUUUGCAAAGGAUCAAAACACAAGCGGGAAUGGUGAUAGUGAUUGCAAUGGAAAAGUAAAUAAAAGCGGUAAAUGAUGGAGGUGUAAACAAUGAUGAUGAUAUGGAUCGGAGUCACAUGAUGUUUACUAGUGAUGUCUCUCUCCCAAAAGACGAUAAACAACUAUGCUUGGGUAAACAAAUCACAGUUGGGCAAUUGACAUAAUUAUGAACGCACCGCAAUGCUAAUUAUGCUACUUGAUAGUUAAAGGUUCAAUAGUAAUGGGUACUACGCCAAGACAAGUAGACCGUUUAUUCAUUAGCGUCUACUUACUAAUCACCGACCUUGAGAUACCUAUCCAGAACAUCUCUCCGGUAUUAAGUUGCGAGCCCCAUCCAAAGUGUAAACUCAAAGCAACAUACAAUUGCAUUAACGAACUAUGCGUAAGGUAAACAAUCCUUGCAACCAUGGUCACAAGCACCGUUGUUUUCUCCCUCGUGGCAACAACACAUCCCCUAGUCUCAUGCUUCUGUCACUCAAGCUAGACAUCGAGGGGCAUGAACCCACAAUCAUGCAUAACACUCCCUCUUGGAGUUACAAUCUACUACUCGGCCAAAGCAAUAAAUAGGAAGGGAGAACAUGCAUGAAUCACUAAGGAACGUAAUAUAGAAGGAUAAUCAAAUAAAUAACUCAUAACAAUCUGAACAUAAUCUCAUAAUCCAUCGGAUCCCAACAAACCGAGCAUAGCAAUAGCAAUAGCAAUAGAAUUACAUAGAUGCCUUGAUCAUGUAGGGCAGCUCACAAGGACUAACCAUUGAAGCACAACAUUGGAGAGAAGACAUCACAUAAGUACUGGUCAUGGACCCAUGGUCCAAGGAGGACUACUCACGGCACGUCUGGGAAGCGUCCAUGGCGGUGGAGAAGCUCCCGGAGGUAAAUCCUCCCUCCAGCAGGGUGCCGGGAAGAGGUCUCCUCACGCUCCCGAUCUCGGAAGCGCUCCGGCGGCGGAACGAUAGAGAAAUUCGCGAUUCUGGAAGUCAUGGAAGGGUUUCCUCUCGGAGGACUAAAUAUAGGCCAAACAAGGGCACCGGAGGAGGUGUGGCCCAUCCAGGCGGCCUCCUGGCGCGGCCAGGGAGUAGGCGCGCCAGCAAGUUGCCUAGACGGCCCCUGGCCCCCCUCUGGCCCAUCUUCGGUGAUCUGGAAGCUUCCAUUUCGCUGAUUUUUUAUAUAUUUUACCUGGAAUUUUGUGGGCUUCGGAAAAUUGGGUAAAAGCCCGUGCAAAAUAGACAUCAACACACAGAAACCGACACUGGGUGCACUGAGUUAAUAGGUUAGUCCAAAUAUGUGUAAAAUGACAUAAACGUGUAGCAAAACAUAUAGCAAUGUCACCCAAAAGAUCAUCGAACAAGCAUAAAUUAUAGAUACAUUUGGGACGUAUCAGACAUCCGUCGAAGCUUUCGCCGAUGCUCUCGUGUCGACUCCAUCAACUGCUACCAGAGGAGAUCGAGCCCAGAGCGAUGCUUAGCUCUAGACCUUUGGACUUUUUGGUAACUUGUUGCCAAAGGGGGAGACAUGUAUAGAUCAUUAGGGCUUCAAGAGAGAGUGUUUUGUCUUUUAUUGAUCUCUUUUGGUUUUUCAAAACAUUUGGUCUUUUGGUCGUUUUAAACUUCGUUGUGUUUGAUCAUACACUCUGAUUGUUGAUUCUACUAUGUUAUAUCCUUGAGCUAUAUACGUGUUGAUCAUUCACACAUUUGUUUGGUGUUAUGUGCAUUACUAUUCAUUCAUAUCAUUUAUGGCCAACACCAAGAUGUAUGUAACAUGGAAGAGUGACUCAUGAUCCUAAUCGAUUGUGCAUUUGCAUUCAAAUGCAAAUUUAAAAUAGUGCACAAAUUUAGGGUGAGCUCUUGUUUUCACAUGCUUCUCAAAGCGAUGAUCCUAAUCAUUGAUUAUAUCUUUUGUUGAAUCUUUGAUCUAUAUAUUGUCAUCAAUUACCAAAAAGGGGGAGAUUGAAAGCACAAUUUCUUCCUAAGGUGGUUUUGGUAAUUAAUAACAACAUAUGUAUCAUUGAACUAAUGCUUCUAUCCAAGUAUAUUUCAGAAAAGCUCAAAGAAGCAUUGGCUAAAGUAUUGUGAGGAGAUACCCCUUGAUGCAAGGAAAAGGAAUAGGAUUGGCCAAGCUUCAAGCUACAAGACCCUACAUUUUAUAUUUGUGAGAAAUCACAUUGAGUCCAUAGGAAAUCCAAUACUAUUAAAAGUGGGGUGAGGUAUCUAUGGUGAUUGGUUGCUCAAGUGCUUAUAGAUAGCCACCAAAAAUACUCAGCCAUUCUCCCACAAUAUUCUCUAUCCAAAGCCUAAACAUCAAAAUCGAUGCCAUCAACAAUUUCCACUCAGCCCUACCGAUUUUUACAAAGACAAAACCUUUGCCAAACCCUAGAAUGUCGGUACCACCAACUUCCACUUUGGUGCCAAUGAAAAUUAGUGACCAACUUUCUGGUCUGAGAAUUGAAAUUUCGGAGUAUUUGGAAACUUCCCUAGGUCACCAUAUCGGUACCACUGAGAAUUCUAUAUCGGUCUCACUGAGAAUUCGAAAGUUGCCACAUUUAGUGUAACUCGGUGCUACCGAGAUUCAUUUCAGUUUCAUCAAGUUGGGCAAUAAUGUUGUAACGGUUGGAUUUUUAGAGAUGCCUAUAUAUACCCAUCCACCACCUCUCAUUACUAGAGUAAGCACUCAGAACACACACACUUGCCAUAUCCAUUUUUGAGAGAGAGAACCACCUACUCAUGUGUUGAGAUCAAGAUAUUCCAAUCCAUCCAUUAGAAACUUGAUCUCUAGCCUCCCCAAGUUGCUUUCCACCCUAUCAAUCUCUUCUACCCAUGUCAAAUCUGUGAGAGAGUGAUUGAGUGUUGAGGAGACUAUCUUUUGAAGCACAAAAGCAAGGAGUUCAUCGUUCUACCGCAUCUAUUACCUUUUGGAGGGUGGUGCCUCCUAGAUUGGUUUGGUGUCGCUUGGGAGCCUCCUACUUUGUGUUGUGGAGUUGAACCAAGAUGUUUGUAAGGGCAAGGAGAUCGCCUACUUCGUGUGGAUCAACCUGAGUGAGGCUAGUCCUGUGUGGACAUAAGUCAUGGUGGAAUAGACAAGGCCGCUUCUUCAUGGACCCCUUGUGGGUGGAGUCCUCCGUGGACUCUCGCAGCCGUUACCCUCCGUGGGUUGAAGUCUCCAAUAACGUGGACGUAUGAUAGCACCACCUACCGGAACCACACCAAAAAUUGUCAUGUCAACCUUUGCGUUUGAUCUUCCUAUCCCUACCCUCUACUUACAUUUUGAUGUCAUUACUUUCUGCUGCAAUACUCUUAGAUAUGCAUGUGUAGGGUGUGCUUGACAUGCUAUAGCUGCUAAAACUGGCCCACAACUAAAAUUGGGAAAAGUCUUAGUUUUUAUUUGGUCAACAAGUCUAAUCACUCCCCUCUAGACAUACUUUGGAUCCUACAGCAUGCCCCUUUUUAGUGACGUUGCGAGCUUGAUAAGUCAGGGUGGUCCAAUUUUAAAAAGUACUUUUUUCUACCCUAUAUAUAGGUUAUGGAGAAAAUACCAGGGUGGUCCAUGGACCACCUUGUCCACCCCCUAGAUACGCCACUGCCGCUUCUGCGAUCAGGACGACGAGACACUAAAUCACAUACUCUUAACAUGUGUGUUGGCACGAUCGGUAUGGCACAUGGUUCUUUCAGCAUUGGGCAAGCCGUAGUGGGUUCCUACCAUGGAGGCGGAGUUGGUCGAUUGGUGUAGUUCUUGCAGGGUAGAGGAUCUGGCCAUGAAGGAUGUGCGGGUCCUUAUCGUUCUUGGACUGUGGGAGCUCUAGAAGCAUCAUAGUGUGGUGGUUUUUAGGGUGCUUCGCCAUCAGACAUGGUAGUGAUUAGUAUAAUCACAAGAGAAUGUAAAGUGUGGAAGCUAGUUGGUCUUUUGAAGGGUGACUUCGCCACCUUCAUAGGAAGGCUAGCUAUGUGGGAUAUAUAGAGUAGUUAGUUACUAGAGAGUUGUAGUGAGGUGGAUGUGUAUUUAUCACAUUUAAUCCCAUGUAAGAAAUUUUGGGGCUCUUUUCCCUACCCUUCUUUUAUGCAUGAUACACACACUCGUGCGUAUUCUAGAAAAAAAUGCCUUCAGCGAGCAAAGUAAAAAAAUUUGAGAGUCAGGAGAGGGCAAUAUAUCAAGAUUCAUAUUUGGGUUUUCAAACUAAAAUCAUGACCAUAGUUUGCAGAUGAGAUGCAAAGUUAUCUCCUCUAUCUUUUGAAACUUUCCACCUAUAGAAUUAGGUUUCAUGUGGUAGACAAUUUUGAAUAUGGUUGGAAAUAGCGGUGGAAGAUAGCACAAAAACUAACUCCAUGGUGCACUUAUGUGGAGGGGUAUAUUCAUACGAUGAGCUUAGAUAGAGGGUGGCUAAUGUGCAUGGUCGUGGCCGCGUGUGGUUUUAGGUAGAGCGAUUAAUCCGUUAUUCCCAUUGCUAUCGUGCAUGUUAUUGCCUUCCUUUUCCGCUUUGCAACGCAAAAAGUUGUCCCGACCCCAGUUAGAUUUUUUUGGAGAAUUGAAAACACUUUAUUCACUCAAAAAGUUUUCACAAAUAGAAAGUUAUAUCCGGUCUAUCUAAGAGCCACACAUGUCGGCCAUGAUCUUGAGUAGUCAUUGUCUCUGUCAAGGAAUGAGCUUCACUGUUAGAAGGGAAAGAGGGAUCGGUGGAAUAGUUGAUUUAUUUCUGGAACCUCGUGGGCAUAUAUAUAGGAGUAAAUUAUCUACUUGGACUACAAGACAAGCUGUAAUACUUCCUAGUCUAUCUUAUGUUUCCAAUCUAAUAACAAUACUAAACAUCCCCCACAGUCACAACGGUAGCGACGCAAAUGGUGAGACUAGAGAAGAAUCUGAAGUUAAUCCAACGUUCAUCCCCCACAGUCGUAAAGGUAGAUGCAUCCCAGAAGUUGUAGUGCGAGUGAAAAACCGAUGAGGUUGCUCAAGCAAGGCGGUAGCCCUUUAUGCCAUUGUCGAGGUAGCCAAGAGCAUAGGAUGGUGGAGUUGUGGUCGAGGUAGCCGUGUGAAGAACGUCAUGGUCGAUGUUGAGUCAGGGUGGCCGGUGUCGAGGUAGUCACCGUGGAGCCGCGAGCGCAAGGAGGCGCCGAGUUAGUCAUGUGUGUAUUGACAUCGAAGUAGUGGUGCGCUAGGAAGAAGUCAUUGUUGGAUGCCGAAAGGAUCGAUAUGGUUGAUUAGAGAGGGGGGGGGGUGAAUACGCAACUCCUAAUUUUAACUUUUCCUAACAAAUUAGGUUUACCAACAAAUAGGUUGCCUAGAUAUGCAACUAUGUGAACAACCUAUAUGAUGCUAGCAACAACAACAAUACAAGCAGGCAAAUGAUGCAACAAAAGUAAAUCUUGCACAAAGUAAAGGUAAAAAAUAACCACAAGUCGAACUGGUAGAGAUGAGGAUGUGUUACUGAAGUUCCUUCCCUUUGUAGGGAAGUACGUCUCUGUUGUAGUGGUGUGGAGGCACAAUGCUCCGCAAGAAGCCACUAGGGCCACCGUAUUCUCCUCACUCACUCACACAAUGCGAGAUGUCGUGAUUCCACUAGUGGUGCCCUUGAAGGCGAUGAUCGAACCGAUACAAAUAAGGCUGGGGCGAUCUCCAUAACUUAAUUGGAGGCUCCCAACACCACCACGAAGCUUCACCACAAUGAAUGUGGAUUCGAGGUGACCUCUUUGUCGUGGUUUUGUCACGGCAAAUGUCCUCGUGAAAGGACUUAGUGAAGGAGCCAUCGCACCUUGGUGGCGACUCAAAGGGGGUGAGCGGAAGCGAGACUCAGAUUUACCUAGGUUCGGCCCCUCGUGUGGAGGUAAAAGCCUACGUCCUGCUUUGUGUAUAUUGAUGAUGGAUUCGAUUACAAGGAGGGCGUAACUAGCGUGAUCUAGCUCUCGAUAAUUUCUAACUUGAUCUAUGUGCCCCAGAGACUCGCCUUUAUAUACAGGUCGAGGCCCUAGGGUUUACAAAAGUCUUGGACACAUUGCAGAUCGUGCUCUUCCAUAUCUCUAAGUCACCGUGUUUACCAAGCCAGGAAACCUCCUUGGCGGCUUAUCUUCUUCAUCAAUCCUGAACCACCAUCCGACUCAUGGGACCCCGCGGUAGGCCUCGGCAUUCGGUAUAAACCGAAAGUUCGGUUGCUACCGUUUUUUUUCAAAUUCGGUUAACUAAACUGGAAACCGAAAAUGACAGCUAAAAAUAGCUAACCGAGUUAUUUGGUUUAGUUUUCGGUUUAUACCGUAAUUGCCGGACACGCCAAAAUAGUUUUAGCUUCGUCUAUAUCAGUGUCCAACCUACGUUUCUAUAUAGCCUGCCUACCCACCCUUUUGUCCAUCACGGACCGAGGUGGGACUAAACGAUUAACUGGCAACACUCCAUGCUGAUUUAAGUGCGGAUGCUAACACUAAAAGGAAGCCCAACUACAAAUAGCAUGGGCCUUGGCGUGUCCGGCUACUCGCGUGGUCAGCUUGGCCCACGUGACAUUUUCUGUCGCUCGCGCACGCGCUCGAGGCUACUGGCGUGGAAAUUUUGUGUGUAGCGACACACGCGUGGGAGAAGCCUCUACUGGUCUGUACGUUGACACAGUCCCUACGUACAUUCGGUUUUGCUUUCGGUUAACUGAGCAAAAACCGAACCGACCGAACCAAGUUCGGUUAUCAAAAGUCGAAAACCGAUUUCUUGUGUACCAUCAUUAAAAACCGAAAUUUCGGUUUAUUCGGUUUUGGUAUCGGUUUGGUCUCCGGUUUGUCGGUUUUUAUGCCCACCCCUACCCGGCGGCCUUGUGAAGAAUAUCUCUCGACACGCCUCAGGCCUGGGCCAAGGCUUACACUAACCAUGUAUGAGUCGCCGCUUUUCUGACCCGACCCAAUUAGGGCGGGUCACACCGGAGGUAAUAUCCCCAACAUUAGGCGUGAGAUUGACUUGAAUUUAUUCAUGCCAAUGAACUUCCACGCUCACUAUGGGCGACUUGUACUACAUCCAUCCCUUUGAUAAGUGACAAGCCGCCAUCUCUCACAAAUUGUCUGAGCCGCCAGGUUAGUUAUUGAUGACAUCACCUUUUCCUCCAUUUCCGGGAUUUGUUUACAUAAUUUCCAACGGAUCUUUUUCGUCCUCAUCCUGCUAUCCCGAAAAUCUAGGUGCCAUAAUUGUUGGUUUUCAAUCUGUCGCCUCUAUUCCUGCGCCCGCCGCUUUGUCUCCAGCGCCAGGCCUUUAAAUAUCCAUGGGGGGAGGCAAUGCCACCUACCCCCACUUCCUUCUUCUAGACGCAUCAUCUUCUUCAAACACGCCUCGACUGCUUUGUCGCCACCGGAGCUGUGCCGCAAACCGUUGCCGUCCGGCCACUUCCUGACCCAGUUGAAGGUGCGGCCGCCGUCGUAGGUCUUCCUCGUUGGGCAUCUUCUUCUUCUUCCACGUAAACCUCCCUUUCUCAGUAGAGGUAGAUCCGAACCUUCAUAUUUCUUAGGGUGCCAUUAGAACUUCACGAAUGCCUCGUGUUCUUGCUUUUUGUCAAACCUAGAUGCGGCACCAUAGAUCUGUGAAAUAAUUAAUGCAAUAAUUCUUGUUAAAUCUCCUAUCAAUCCACUAUUUCUCCGCAGCUCAUAGAUCUACGCACCAUUUUCAUAAUGUUCUUCCGCGUUCUUGUAGUAUCUGAACCCUCGGCCAGGUUAUUUUUCUUUGCUGGAAACACUCGUAGAUCCGUAAAUUACCAUUUGAUGUUAGAAACAUGUUUGUCUCCAAUCAAGAAUGUUCCUAAGGAAAAAAAACCCUUUUUAGAGCCGCCACUCGUCACCCUUCACCAUGGCGAGUUAGAAUAUUCCCACAAAUACAUCUUUGAUCAUUUUAGCUAGCGAGUUAAAACAUUCCGUGGAUUCUGAUAACCCGCCCUGCUCCUUUCCUUUGUAGUUAUGGGCACUAUCUCAAAAUGCAACAGGCGGCCAACCAAAGUUAAUGAUGCUUAUCUUGAUAAGUUUGUUUUGGCGGGUUAUCUUGACCCCAAAGAAGUUGUUGGCUGGCGAACCGCCUUUGGCGAGACAAUUCCUCAACCCGCCGAAGGAGAAGUAGUUGUCUUCGCCGAUCACUUCGAACGAGGCUUCAAGCCGCGUGGCUCCAUGUUUUUCAGAGAUGCUUUGCACUUUUCCAACCUUCAUCCUCAAGACGUGUGGACAAACUCCAUCAGCAAUCUCUGUCAGUUCCAAGUGUUUUGCGAAGCUUAUCUGCAAAUAGAACCCACAGUGUUACUGUUUAGGAAAUUUUUUCAUCUGAACCGCCAGACCGAGUUCGCCAGCGGGCCCUGCUUGGAACUUGGGGGGUUAACAUUCAACGACGUCGUGAAUGCGGGUUCCCAUCUGUUCUUCUGCCCAACCAUCCCAAAGGCUGGGCAGAGUCUUGGUUCUAUUGCUGCGACACAUCUCCACCCGACGAGAACCCACUUCCGGGUUUCAGAGAAGAACGAUUGCCCAUGGAUUUCAAGCUUCCAGAAAAACUAACUGAAGAAGAAGAAUCAACUUUUAUCCCCGCUUUCUCCAAGCUAAGGUCUUUGACCAACAAUGGGCUUACUGGGAUUGACCUAAUCCGUUCUUGGGUGGAGUGGAGGAUUCUGCCUUUGAGUCGCCGGGAGGGCCAUAUGUGUGAGUAUGAUGGUAGCUUGAACCACCCCCAAUGUUUCUUCCAUACAAGUCUUACUCAAGAAGACAUUGUUGAAAUUAUCAAGAAGUUAACUAGCGAGCCCUUAGAGAACUGCACCAAGAUUGGUCUCAAGCCUUUCUGUCUCUCCAACCCGGCUCCAGUGGUAACAACCUAAGCCGCCUCCUUUUAUUCUUUCAAAAUGUUUACCCAUGUUCCUAAUCCGAACUGUCACUAUAUCAAUCAGAGUAGUUCAGCGUUUUGGUCUCAAAAGCCCAAAGUGACUGUCCAAAAAACAACCAAGCCGCCUCCCAAUAAGAAGAAGAACAAGGGCAAAGCCGUCGCCAAGGAGUCAUCUAUCGUUGGCGAGUCUCGAGCCUCCGAAGAGCAAUCAGAGGUAAAAGUUACCUUUUCCUUAUUAUUGCGCACUAUCUUAUACUUAUGCUCCAUUACCUUUGUCCGUAGGAUGAUGGCUAUGGAAGCCAGGAUGACGCUGUCGAGGUAAUUUCUAUUUCUUCCGACUCAACUUCUUCUCCCCCCAAGACGGCCAGGUGAAUCUGUGCAAAAGUUCCCAUGUCUCACCCGAAUGCUCAUUUGGACCCCAAUUUCCUUUUGAAGAAGGCGAGUUACACCCCUAAACGCCAUACCCGAAGCCAUUCCGGCGACUUAAUGUCUGGGUUACCCGAAAAAGCAACUGGUUGAGAACGACAAAGUGAGGUAUGUUCCCACAAGUAUCUUUUCCUUCUUGUAUAAGAUUUGCUCGCCAUUCGUUCACUCCUUGAAUUUUCGCUCAUCUCGUUUCACCUCCUUCAUCUUGCGACUCAGUAAUGUCGACUCUCCCCCCAAUGAUUCGUGUUCAGGGGCAAGUUCCUUUACUAGACUUUUUUUCUUUCCAAUACCGAUGCAUGUCUUAACUUUUUUGCUUUUACAUCUCAGAGCACAAGCAAAGAAAAGGAAAACUAGCGGCUCAUCUUCUGCUACUAAGGCAGCUGAAGUAUUUGGUAUGAGCGGCCCUGUCCUAGAAUUUGGUGCAGAACCAGCGGCGACUGAUGAUGACCUUGUGGAUGAUUUUCCUGAUGUCCGGAUUGAUCCUUCAAGCCCUCUGAAGGAGCUAACUGAAAAUGUUAACCCACCAAGCACUUCCAAGGCGCCUGAAGACCUAGAUACCUUAGUUGUUACUGGUACUGGUCACUCUAAGCCUGCAACUGUGGUGUUAACAAAACAUGCAUCCAAAGAGGCCCACUCUUCUGCAGAACAAGACAUUACCAAGCUGAAGCUUCCCAAUUAUGAGAAACUUGAAUUUGAGCAACUCUACUCUGGUUUCGUAAGUCGUCUGGAAACAAGCUAUGAAAUGGAAAAGAGCUUGGCCAAUAUGAUGCGGAUAAAACAUGAGGUACGUCCUUUGUUAUUUGUAUUUCCACCCAUUAGCUUUCCAGAAGACUAGUUUCCUUUGAUGAAUUUUGUUAUGUGAGAGACCCAUAUCUUCCUGUAGCCCCCAAGGGCCGGGUCAUCUUUUAAAAGAUGAGUCGGGUCUUGAAUCUAGUAAAGAACUUCAACCUAUAGCCCCCAAGGGCCGGGUCAUCUUUUGAAAGAUGAGCCGGGUCUUGAAUUUAAUAAAAAAAACUUCAACCUCUAGCCCCCAAGGGUCGGGUCAUCUUUUGAAAGAUGAAUCGGGUCUUGAAUUUAGUAAAAAACUUCAACCUGUAGACCCCAAGGGCCGGGUCAUCUUUUCAAAGAUGAGUCGGAUCUUGAAUUUAGUAAAAACCUUCAACCUGUAGCCCCCAAGGGCCGGGUCAUCUUUUGAAAGAUGAGACGGGUCUUGAAUUUAGUAAAAAAACUUCAAUCUAUAGCCCCCAAGGACCAGGUCAUCUUUUGAAAGAUGAGCCGGAUCUUGAAUUUAGUAAAAAACUUCAACCUAUAGCCCCCAAGGGCCGGGUCAUCUUUUGAAAGAUGAGACGGGUCUUGAAUUUGAUAUGACUUGAAAAGAAUCAUACAUUAGCCCCCAAGUGUCAGGGAUGUUGCUUGUAAUAGUUCUGAAACUUGCUUCCCCAAAAUUUAUUUGCAGGAAUCCUUGACUCGGGCCGACUCAAUCUUGGAUAGUUUGAAAGAAAACUUAGCCGAACAGCAGGAUGCUCGAGCUAAGUUUGAAGAGAAAUAUCGCCUGACCCUUGCUGACAUGGAGAAGAUGAAAGUUGAACAUCAGAAAUUUGAAAAGAAAGCCCAUGCUGAUCAAGCCGCCAUCGUGAAGCGGGCGGAACAAGCCGAAGAAAAACUAGAAGCCGCUCUGCAAGAACUCUCCGGCUUAAAACAUCAGAUCUCCAACAUGACCCAAGCCAUCUUUGGUAAGGAUCAAUUCCCCUCAUCUAAAAAGGGCUGCAAAGUAUUUCAAAUGCUAAUUAUCUCAUUCUACCCUUCGUAGGUCCGCGAGCCUCCCACCUGCAGAAAGACUACAUUGUAAAGCUGAAGGCGAUUUAUACGUUCACAGAGUAGUUGUACACGGGAGACAUGAUGACCAUGAAGGCCGUGAUGGGCAACAAAGAGCCCAUAAAGUCCAUAAAACACAUGCUGGGUUGUCUAUCAACAUUGCCGCCACAAGUGGAAGAAUUAAAAAGAUCAGCCGCUAGGAAAGGAGCACUGACCACUUUAAGCCGGUGUCUGGCAUAUGCUCCUGAACUUAAGCCGGAGGAGGUCGGUGCUGGAUUUCCAGAAUUGAAGGAUGAUGAGUCGUAGUUCACCGAAGAGGACUACAACCAAUCUAUGCAAGCAUCUCGCACUGCGGCAACUCAGCUAGUAGCCAGCCUGGACUUAGGAAAAUACCAGGCAGCUUAUGAUGAGAGCAAUAAAAAGGUGACUCCUCCUUCAUACGAAGUCACCAACCUGACUCCUUGACGCCGUAAGAAUCCCUUUGACUUUGAUGUAAAUCUGUCUGCCAUCUUGAGCGAUGAAGAUGAGUUCGUCGCCUUGACCAAUUGCAAUUGGAAACUGGGCAACUUACAGAUCGAAGAUGGAGAAAGCUCGAAGCAGGGUGAUUCAAAGGCAGCUUGAAGUGACUGAGCAUGAAGUCGAUUCUCAAAGAAUAUGGUGAUCUUUUUCUGAUCGGGAGAUGAUUCCCGGGUGGCCUAGUGAGCCAUGUAAUAGUCUUAGGUAUCUGGAAAACAGUGUCACAACCAUAUCUUAUGUUGUUUGGAAGUUUUAACCUUCAGUAAUAUGAAUCGCCCUUUCCAAACCUGUGUCAUAGUUUGACAAAAAAAAUUCUUCAACCUGUUUAUGAGGGAAAACAUCAUAAGCUGACUCAAUGAGUCGCGACAAGUAAUAAACCGGCCCAGUGGGUCACGGCGAGUUGUAAACAAGGAGCCGGCUCAGUGAGUCGCGGCGAGUUAUACAAAUGUUUUAUUCAACCUUGCGGCAAUGCCACGAAGGUAGUCAUAAAAUUUGUCGGCUCGAUGAGUUACGAUAGGAUAGGACGAGUUUGCAAAACUCUAGUGCUACCCCAAGAAGGCUUUUGCAACAACCCAAGUUAUUUAGACCGACUGAUCAGGCGCGGGUCAAGCUUCAGUGAAGCAGGUUCAGUGAACCAACGGUUUGUCUAUUUUCCAUGUGUUGGCUCUUGCUGGCACCUUUCAUGUUUUAACCAAGGCAAGUUGAGGGUCCAAAAGCGGAUUGACUCGCCAAGAGUACAUGGGUCCAUAGGGCGAUUCGUCCAACACAUAGUCCAGUAUAACCAUUUGUAAUGCGGUAAUUUUUCGCUAGCCAAGAGGGUAUUCAGGCUGAACUCAGUGAGUGGAAGCCCCUAAGUGACCUAUGAUUAGGGGAAAAACCAGACAUGGGAUUGUAGAAGCGUAUCCGCUCUUACUGCAAAACGACUUGGGAGCUAGUAGCCCCCAAGUAAGCCGGCUUAAUUCUCAAAAUCAUAUAAGGCGCCCAUGUUUGAACCGUGCAACGUGGCAACUUUGGUCCUCUUUGGCUUACCAGUAUCCAGUUUUUAAAUAAGCACAUCAUGGCGACUUAUGCUCUUUGAUACUUAUAGCGUCCAUGCUUGGACGACUUAUAGAACAAUAAAGACUCAUGCUUUCAAGAAGCUGAAACGGCACAGGACCCCGAAGUUCGUGGGUGCCGGCUCUAUUGCUUUAUAAAUAAAAGAUUACAAAUUUGAGAUUGUAAAAAUAAAUAAGGAGCCCGUGGCUCUAAGUGUAGUAUGGCCGCAAGUGGGCGAUGUUCCAUGGGCGAGUUGUCUCAACCUCUGUCGUUGGCAGAUACGUCUCCAACGUAUCUACUUUUCCAAACUCUUUUGCCCUUGUUUUGGACUAUAAUUUGCGUGAUUUGAAUGGAACUAACCUGGAGUGAUGCUGUUUUCAGCAGAGUUGCCUUGGUGUUACUUUUGUGCAGAAAUCAAAGUUCUCCAAACGUCCUGAAAAUUUACGGGGAGUAGUUUUGGAAAAUAUCAAAAAUACAUGCGCCAGAAUCCACCUCAGGGGGUGGGCCAGUGGGCCACAAGCCCCUGCUCCACCACCACCCCCUGUUGGCGGUGGGCAGGCUUGUGGGGCCCACAGGCCUCUGCCGCCCGCAACUCCAGCUCUAUAAGUUGUCUUUUGUCCCAGAAAAAAUAAAAAAGAGAAGUUUUCGUCGCGUUUUCGAUACGGAGGCGCCGCCACCACCUGUUCUUCAUCUGGAGGGCAGAUCUGGAGUCCGUCUUGGGCUCCCUAGAGGGGAAAUCGUCGCCAUCGUCAUCAUCAACCUUCUUCCCUCUCCAAUUCCAUGAAGCUCUUCGUCGUUCGUGAGUAAUCUAUUCGUAGGCUGGCUGGACGGUGAUGAGUAGGAUGAGAUCUAUCAUGUAAUCGAGUUAGUUUUCACGGGGAUUGAUCCCUAGUAUCCACUAUGUUCUGAGAUUUGAUGUUGCUACUACUUUGCCAUGCUUAAUGCAUGUCACUAGGGCCCGAGUGCCAUGAUUUAAGAUCUGAAAUUAUUAUGUUGUCACCAAUAUNNNNGUGUUUUAGAUCCGAUGUUGCAAGUUGUAGUUACCUACUAUGUGUUAUGAUCCGGCAACCCCGGAGUGACAAUAACCGGAACCACUCCCGGUGAUGACCAUAGUUUGAGGAGUUCAUGUGUUCACCAAGUGCUAAUGCGUUGGUCCGGUUCUUUAUUAAAAGGAGAACCUUAAUAUCCCGUAGUUUCCUUUUGGACCCUGCUGCCACGGGAGGGAUGGACAAUAGAUGUCAUGCAAGUUCUUUUCCCUAAGCACGUAUGACGACACAAGGAAUGCAUGCCUACAUCACAUUGACGAACGGGAGCUAGCCACAUAUCUCUCCGUGUUAUAACUGUUGCAUGAUGAAUAUCAUCCAAACAAAUCACCGAUCCAAUGCCUACGAGUUUGUCCUACUGUUGCUACUGCCGUUACUUGUCUUGCGCUGCUACUACUGUUGCUACUGCCAUUACUUGUCUUGCUGUGCUGCUACUACUAUUGCUACUGUUGUUACUUGUCUUGCUCUGUUGCUGCCGCUACUGUUGCUACUACUGUCGCUUGCUACUGUUGCCACUUGCUACUGCUGUCACUACUGCUGUUCCUUGCCACUGUUAUUGCUCGUUACACUGCCGAUACCCGCUACUUUGUUGUUACUAAUUCGCUGUUACUAUUGUGCUUGCAGAUACUAAUCUUUCAGGUGUGGUUGAAUCUGACAAAUUCAGCUGCUAAUACUUCAGAGUAUACUCUCAUCUCCUGUAUGGCGUACCUACAAAUUUGGGUGGAAUACUCUACCCUCGAAAACUGCUGCGAACCCACGCGCUGGUGGGCCAUCAACAACAUUCUUCUAGUUUCAUUGCCGGGGAGUGCUAUCAGCAUUCUUCCGGUGCCGUUGCAGGAGAAGGUUAGUUGUUUAUAAGCAUUCGUCUAGCUAACACUAGAGAUUGCAGGAUCAGCCCUUUUCUGGAGUCAUUGCCAGGGAAGCACAGCUGACGUCAACAAUUUUCUGGCGCCGUUGCCGGGGAGGUAUUGCUAUAUUCUCUGAGUCACUUGGGAUUUAUAUCUGCUGAUCACUAUGAAGAAUUUGAAGGAUCCGAAGACCAAAGUCUUGCCUUCAACUACGAGGGGAGGUAAAGAAUUGCCAUCUAGCUCUGCACUUGAUUCACCUUCAGUUAUGAGUAAGUUUGCGACAUCACCUCCUGCUAGAAAUCUUGAUAUGUCGCAUGUGCUUGAUGAUGCUUGUGAUACUACUGCUAGAGAUGCUAUGCUUGAUACUAUGCCUGAUACUGCUAGAGAUGCUAUGCUUGAUACUAUGCUUGAUACUGCUAGAGAUGCUAUGCUUGAUACUGCUUUGCCUGACGAUGCUAGAGAUGCUAUUAUGCCUGAUGAUGCUAUGCUUGAUACUGCUAGAGAUACUCCUUUGCCUGAUGUUCCAUUGGGAGCGUUCCUUGAUACUCAUAUUGCUAGAGUUACUGCCAAUGCUCGUGAUGCUUCUGAUACUGCCGAUGCUAUUGAGAUAGAACCUGCUUUUGCUCCUGUUAGACCUAGCUCUCCUAGAUAUGAAUUGCCUGGUAUACCUGAGGGUUAUGUUAUGGAGGGAGAGAUAGCUGAGGAUUUUCUUGCGUGUAAGGAUGCCUAUGACGCUGAGAAAUUAAUUCUCAAGUGGAAGGAAAAAUCUCGGGAAGUUAGGAUGAGAAAUGAACCGAAGUUUGCUACUUCGCCUAUCUUUGUCACCGAUAAGGAUUAUGAAUUCUCUGUCGACCCUGAGNNNNNNNNNNNNNNNNNNNNNNNNNNNNNNNNNNNNNNNNNNNNNNNNNNNNNNNNNNNNNNNNNNNNNNNNNNNNNNNNNNNNNNNNNNNNNNNNNNNNGGAAAGCUGACGGCAUCUCUUCCUAAAACAGAAGACGAAGUAGGUUUGGGUUUGUUGGAUUGGAAACUGCUGAAAGGUUCAACGAUUUUUACUCGCCUACUAUAUAUAAGAACAAAAACAAAUUCCGCGUGCGUUCGUUCCUUACAUUUGUCACGCGACGGCAGGAAGAAGAGCUAAUGUGAAAAUCCCCUUUGGUGUGCUGAAGAUCAAACACAAGACAUAUGUUGCCUUGACCGCUUCCCCUAGGACUGAUUAUCCACCGCCGCUGUCUCCAGUCUAAUUAACCUCGCUUUGCUGACUGGCCCUGUCCCAGAAUCCAUCCCAAUAAUCACCGUCAGCGAGAAAACAAACAAAGCCAAGCGAAACAAAACGCGUCCGCGUGGUCGCGUCCUUCCCUUCUUCUUCUCACCUUUGCCUCCUCUUCCAGCUCUCAGUAACAGCGGCAUCCGGCGCCACUAAUUAAUUGCAGCUGUAGCACCGCCCGCCCGCCCGCUCCGUGGAGCUUACAAGCACCAGCGAGGAGAGUCGAGGCGCGCACGUGGGUGGGUCUGCGCGCGCCGUCCACCUCCUUCACCACCGCCACCAGGCCACCGUCGUCGUCCUAGAUCCAACAGCCUUUGCCCUGGACUUCCUCAGCGGCUAGUGGCGGAGGGACGCGCGAUGGCUGCCGGCCGUGGGCUCCCGCUCCUCCUCGUCCUGGCCGCCCUCCUGGUCGGGCUCGCCUCCGCUUCCCCCUUCAUCUCCGGUGCGCUCCCUGCUCCUGCUCUGCUCUGCUGUCUCGGCGGUUCGCGUUACGCUUCGCAGCGGCUUGUGUUCUGACGGAUUACUCUCGUCGUGCUGUUUUUUUUUUUUUUNNNNNNNNNNNNNNNNNNNNNNNNNNNNNNNNNNNNNNNNNNNNNNNNNNNNNNNNNNNNNNNNNNNNNNNNNNNNNNNNNNNNNNNNNNNNNNNNNNNNGUGGACACCGUGUUGUCGCGUGGACGAAAGUUUGCAUGCCAAGGUGGGCUGGGAGUUCCGGAUUUACUGGCUGAAUCUAGCCCCUCGAAGCCCAAUGGCCUUGGCUGCAAUGCACGCACACACACUUCGAGGCCUUAGAAGGGGUUUGGCAUCAAAGUACCGGCGAAGGCGAGAGCGAUCUUUCAGACAACAGCAACCACUACUGUGGGGGACGGCCAAAACACGCUCUUUUGGGAAGACAAGGUGGAUGCAAGGGCUCGGGAUUCAGGACUUGGCGCCAAGACUAUAUAUCCGCACUUCGCCAAGAGUCUAAAGUGUUCGGACAGUAUUUGACGAGCUGUAAGAUGGCACUUGGGCCAGAGAUGUCGGGCUCAACAUAUAUCACCCAACGCUCGUGGAAUUCCUUACCACCCGGGAGCAAACACAAGAUGUUCAGCUAGCUCCCAACGAGCGGGACACCACAUGGUGGGCUUGUGAGAUAAUGGAUGCUACACCGCAAGCUAUGCUUACGCAUCAAAGUUUUGAGGCCGACAAGUGGCGCCGUACGCGGUAUUCGUGUGGAAAUCAAAGGCCCCGCUCCAGUGCCAUUUUUUCUCAUGGUUUGCGGCCCAGAACAUGUGCUGGACGUCGGAUCGCCUUGCACGACACGACCUACCCCAUCAAGACGCAUGUGAAAGCACAAUUUCCCCCUAAGGUGGUUUUGGUAAUUAAUAAUAACAUAUGCGUCAUUUAACUAAUGAUUCUAUACAAGUAUAUUUCAGAAAAUUUCAAAGAUGCAUUGGUUAAAGGAUUGUGAGGAGAUACCCCUUGAUGCAAGGAAAAGGAAUAUGAUUGACCAAGCUUCAAGCUACAAGACUCAACAUUUUAUAUUUGUGAGAAAUCACAUUUUAGUUCAUAGGAAAGCCAAUACUAUUAAAAGGGGUGAGGUAUCUAUGAUGAAUUGGUUGCUCAAGUGCUUAGAGAUAGCCACCAAAAAUACUCAGUCAUUCUCCCACAAUAUUCUCUGUCCAAAGCCUAAACAUCAAAAUCGAUGCCACCAAAAAUUUCAACCCGGCCCUACCGAUUUUUACAGGGACAUAACCUUUGCCAAACCCUAGAAUGUCGGUACCACCAACUUCCACUUUGGUGCCAAUGAAAAUCAGUGACCAACUUUCUGGUCUGUCGAUUUCAAAAAUUGAAAUUUGGAGUUUUGAAGUCGGCCUCACCGAGAUUUGGUAACUGCCCUAGGUCACCAUAUUGGUACCACCAAGAUUCCUAUAUCGGUCUCGCUGAGAAUUCGAAAGUUUCCACAUUUAGUGCAACUCGAUGCCACCGAGAUUCGUUUUGAUUUCACCGAGUUGGGCAAUAAUUUUGUAACGGUUGGAUUUUUGGAGAUGCCUAUAUAUACCCAUCCACCACCUCUCAUUCGUAGAGUAAGCACUCAGAACACACACACUUUCCAUAUCCAUUUUUCAGAGAGAGAACCACCUACUCAUGUGUUGAGAUCAAGAUAUUUCAAUCCAUCCAUUAGAAACUUGAUCUCUAGCAUCCCCAAGUUGCUUUCCACCCAAUCAAUCUCUUCUACCCAUGCCAAAUCUAUGAGAGAGUGGUUGAGUAUUGAGGAGACUAUCUUUUGAAGCACAAGAGCAACGAGUUCAUCGUUCUACCACAUCUAUUAUCUUUUGGACGGUGGUGCCUCCUAGAUUGGUUAGGUGUCGCUUGGGAGCCUCCUACUUCAUGUUGUGGAGUUGGACCAAGAAGUUUGUUUGGGCAAGGAGAUCGUCUACUUCGUGAAGAUCUACCCGAGUGAGGCUACACUACCACAAGAUUGUCCAAACACGACACUACAAUCAGAGACCCUUCAAUGAAACUGUAUGCGAUGCAUUAAUCGCAAACGGUGUUGUAAGAAAACCGUAAAAAAUGAAAAAAACUAUUUGUGAUGGCACAGACAUCAAACACGAUUCAGAUCAGAGCUGCGUGUGCGAUGCAUGGCAAACAGUUAAUCCAUAUGAAUUAUUUGCGAUUAUACAGAACAAUAGAAACAGUCAGCCAAAUGAGGGUGUGUGCGAUAUACGAAAUAAAGUUCAGUGGGAUGAAUUGUCUGUGAUUAGGCAACACAACAGAAAUGUUCAGCAAGAUCAAGGUGUGUGCGAUGGAGGGCAUAUAGUUCACUUGGAUGAACUGUUUGCGAUGAGUCAAUGUUGGGGAUCGUAGUAAUUUCAAAAAAAUUCCUACGCCAUACAAGGAUGUAUCUAUGGAGAUACCAGCAACGAGUGAAGUAGUAGAGCAUCUUCAUACCUUUGAAGAUCGCUAAGCGGAAGCGUUGCUAGAACGUGGUUGAUGGAGUCGUACUUGCAGCGAUUUAGAUCGCGGUAGAUUCUGAUCUAUGCACCGAACGACGGUGCCUCCGUGUUCAACACACGUACAACCCGGUGACGUCUCCUCCUUCUUGAUCCAACAAGGAGAGAGGAGAAGUUAAGGGAGAGCUCCGGCAGCACGACGGUGUGGUGGCGGUGGAGCUACGUGGUUCUCCGGUAGGGCUUCGCCAAGCGUUGCGGAGGAGGAAAAAGAGAGAGGUAGGGCUGCGCCGUGGGAGAGAGAUGAAUUGUUGUGUCUCAAAAAUCCCCAAACCUCAAGUAUAUAUAGUAGGAGGGAGAGGGAGGGCUGCCUUGGCCCCUCAACCAAGGAGGAGAGGUUCGGCCGAGCUAGGGAGGAGUCCACCUCCCACAAGGGAGGUGGAUUCCUUCCUUUUAAAUCCUCUUUUGCCCCAUCUCUUUAUCCCUAGCCGCAUGGGCCUUUAGGGAAGGCCUUGGCCAGCCUAAUAAGGGAUGGUACACCUCCUCUAACAGCCCAUAAAGUCCUUUGGUCGUCACACCCCUCCCCGGGGUCCUCCGGCACCCUCCCGGCACUCCCGGUACACUACCGAUGAGCCCGAAACUUUUUCGGUGACCAAAACAGGACUUCCUAUAUAUCAAUCUUUACCUCCAGACCAUUCCGGAGCUCCUCGUGACGUCUGGGAUCUCAUCCCGGACUCCGAACAAACUUCGGUAACCACAUACUAUUCCCUUUACAACUCUAGCGGCAUCAAACCUUAAGUGUGUAGACCCUACGGGUUCGGGAGACAUGCAGACAUGACCGAGACAUCUCUCCGACCAAUAACCAACAGCGAGGUCUGGAUAUCCAUGUUGGUUCCCACAUUUUCCACGAUGAUCUCAUCGGAUGAACUAUGAUGUCAAGGAUUCAAUCAAUCCCGUAUGCAAUUCCUUUUGUCUACCGGUAUGAUACUUGCCCGAGAUUCGAUCGUCGGUAUCCCCAUACCUUGUUCAAUAUCGUUACUGGCAAGUCUCUUUACUCGUUCUGUAGCACAUCAUCCCAUGACUAACUCCUUAGUCACACCGAGCUCAAUAUGAUGAUGGAUUACCGAGUGGGCCCCGAGAUACCUCUUCGUCACACGGAGUGACAAAUCCUAGUCUUGAUUCGCACAACCCAAUACACUUUUGGUGAUACCCGUAGUGCACCUUUAUAAUCACCCAGUUACGUUGUAACGUUUGAUACACCCAAAGCACUCCUACGGUAUCUGGGAGUUGCACAAUCUCAUGGUAUAAGAAAAUGAUACUUGACAUUAGAAAAGCUUUAGCAGACGAACAUCACGAUCUAGUGCUAUGCUUAGGAUUGGGUCUUGUCCAUCACAUCAUUCCCCAAUGAUGUGAUCCCGUUAUCAACGACAUCCAUUGUCCAUGAUCAGGAACCCAUGAUCAUAUAUUGAUCAACGAGCUAGCCAACUGAGGCUCACUAGGGACACAUUGUGAUCUAUAUAUUCACACAUGUAUUACGGUUUCCGGUUAAUACAAUUAUAGCAUGAAUAAUAGACAAUUAUCAUGAACUAGGAAAUAUAAUAAUAACCACUUUAUUAUUACCUCUAGGGCAUUUUUCCAACAGUCUCCCACUUGCACUAGAGUCAAUAAUCUAGUUACAUUGUGAUGAAUCGAACACCCAUAGAGUGCUGGUGUUGAUCAUGUUUUGCUCGUGGAAGAGGUUUAGUCAACGGGUCUGUGACAUUCAGAUCCGUGUAUACUUUACAAAUUUCUAUAUCUCCAUCCUGGAUGUAUCCACGAAUGGAGUUGAAGUGGCGCUUGAUGUGCUUGGUUUUCUUGUGAAACCUGGGCUCCUUUGCAAUGGCAAUAGCUCCAGUUUUGUCACAGAACAGAGUCAUCGGGCCCGACGCACUUAGAAUCAUUCCUAGGUCGGUGAUGAACUCCUUCAUCCAGACUCCUUCCUGUGCUGCUUCCGAAGAAGCUAUGUACUCCACUUCACAUGUAGAUGCCGCCACGAUGCUUUGCUUGCAACUGCACCAGCUAACUGCCCCAUUAUUCAAAAUGUACACGUAUCUGGUUUGUGACUUGGAGUCAUCAGAAUCUGUGUUGAAGCUAGUAUCGACGUAACCCUUUACGACAAGCUCUUCGGCACCUCCAUAAACGAGAAACAUAUCUUUAGUCCUUUUCACGUACUUAAUGAUGUUCUUGACCGCUGUCCAGUGAUCCACUCCUGGAUCAUUCUGGUACCUCCCUACCAAACUUAUGGCAAGGUUCACAUCAGGUCUGGUACACAGCAUGGCAUACAUGAUAGAGCCUAUGGCUGAAGCAUAGGGGACGAUACUCAUCUUUUCUCUAUCUUCCACCGUGGUCGGUCGUUGAGUCGCACUCAACCUCACACCUUGUAAUACUACAAGAACCCCUUCUUAGCCUUCUCCAUAUUGAACUUCUUCAAUAUCUUGUCAAGGUAUGUGCUUUGUGAAAGACCUAUGAGGCGUCUCGAUCUAUCUCUAUAGAUCUUGAUGCAUAAUAUGUAAGCAACUUCUCCAAGGUCCUUCAUUGAAAAACUCUUAUUCAAAUAGGCCUUUAUGAUUUCCAAUAGUUCUAUAUCAUUUCCCAUCAACAAUAUGUCAUCCACAUAUAAUAUGAGAAAUGCUACAAAGCUCCCACUCACUUUCUUGUAAAUACAGGUUUCCCCAUAAGUCUGUACAAACCCAAACGCUUUGAUCACCUCAUCAAAGCGAAUGUUCCAACUCCGAGAUGCUUGUACUGGCCCAUAGAUGGAGCGCUGGAGCUUGCAUACCUUGUUAGGAUUGCUAGGAUCGACAAAACCUUCCGACUGUAUCAUAUACAAUUCUUCCUUAAGAAAGCCGUUCAGGAAUAUUGUUUUGACGUCCAUUUGUCAGAUUUCAUAACCAUAGAAUGCGGAAAUUGCUAACAUGAGAAGGUCUCAUCGUAGUCAAUCCCUUGAACUUGUCGACAACCCUUAGCGACAAGUCGAGCCUUAUAGAUGGUCACAUUACCAUUCGCGUCAGUCUUCUUCUUGAAGAUCCAUUUUUUUAUGGCUCGCCGAUCAUCGGGCAAGUCCACCAAAGUCCAUACUUUGUUCAAAUACAUGGAUCCUAUCUCGGAUUUCAUGGCCUCAAGCCAUUUGUUGGAAUCCGGGCCCGCCAUCGCUUCUUCAUAGUUCGAAGGUUCACUAUUGUCCAACAACAUGAUUUACAUGACAGGGUUGCCGUACAUUAUGGUGCGGAACGUACCCUUGUCGACCUUCGAGGUUCAAUAGCAACUUGAUCCGAAGCAUCAUGAUCAUCAUCAUUAACUUCUUCUCUUGCCGGUGCGGGCGCUUCAGAAACAUUUUCUUGCGCUGCGCUACUCCCCGGUUCGAGAGGAGGUAUAAUUACCUCAUCAAGUUCUAUUUUCCUCCCACUUACUUCUUUCGAGAGAAACUCUUUCUCUAGAAAGGAUCCGUUCCUAGCAACAAAGAUCUUGCCUUCGGAUCUAAGAUAAAAGGUGUACCCAAUAGUUUCCUUAGGGUAUCCUAUGAAGAUGCAUUUUUCUGGUUUGGGUUCGAGCUUCUCUGGUUGAAGUUUCUUCACAUAAGCAUCGCAACCCCAAACUUUCAGAAAUGACAGCUUAGGUUUCUUGCCAAACCAUAAUUCAUACCGUGUCGUCUCAACGGAUUUAGACGGUGCCCUAUUUAAAGUGAAUGCGGUAGUUUCCAAUGCAUAUCCCCAAAAUGAUAGCGGUAAAUCAGUAAGAGACAUCAUAGAUCGUACCAUAUCUAAUAGAGUGCGAUUACAACGUUCACACACACCGUUACGCUGCGGUGUGCCUGGCGGCGUGAGUUGUGAAACAAUUCCACAUUUCCUUAGGUGCGUGCCAAACUCGUGACUCAAAUAUUCUCCUCCACGAUCAGAUCGUAGAAACUUUAUUUUCUUGUCACGUUGAUUCUCCACCUCAUUCUGAAAUUCCUUGAACUUUUCAAAGGUUUUAAACUUGUGCUUCAUUAAGUAGACAUACCCAUAUCUACUCAAAUCAUUAGUGAGGGUGAGAACAUAACGAUAGCCUCCGCGAGCUUCAAUGUUUAUUGGACCGCAUACAUUAGUAUGCAUUAUUUCCAAUAAGUUGGUUGCUCGCUCCAUUAUUCCGGAGAAUGGUGUCUUGGUCAUCUUGCCCAUGAGGCACGACUCGCAUGUGUCAAAUGAUUCAAAAUCAAGAGACUCCAAAAGUCCAUCAGUAUGGAGUUUCUUCAUGCGCUUUACGCCGAUAUGACCAAGGCGGCAGUGCCACAAGUAUGUGGGACUAUGAUUAUCAACCUUACAUCUUUUGGUACUCACACUAUGAAUAUGUGUAUCAUCACGAUCGAGAUUCAUCAGGAAUAAACCAUUUACCAGCGGGGCAUGACCAUAAAACAUACCACUCAUAUAAAUAGAACAACCAUUAUUCUCAGAUUUAAAUGAGUAGCCAUCUUGCAUCAAGCGAGAUCCCGAUACAAUGUUCAUGCUUAAAGCUGGUACUAAAUAACAAUUAUUAAGCUUUAUAACUAAUCCCGAAGGUAGAUAUAGAGGUAGCGUGCCGACAACGAUCACAUCGACCUUGGAACCAUUCCUGACGCGCAUCGUCACCUCAUCCUUAGCCAACCUACGCUUGUUCCGCAGUUCCUGCUUAGAGUUGCAAAUGUGAGCAACAACACCGGUAUCAAAUACCCAGGAGCUACUACAAGCGCUGGUAAGGUACACAUCAAUAACAAGUAUAUCACAUAUACCUUUGACGUUGCCGGCCUUCUUGUCCGCUAAGUACUUGGGGCAAUUCCGCUUCCAGUGACCGAUUCCCUUGCAGUAAUAGCACUCAGUCUCAGGCUUGGGUCCUUUCUUUUACUUCUUCCCGGCAACUGGCUUACCGGGCACGACAACUGCUUUGCCGUCUUUCUUGAAGCUUUUCUUACCCUUGCCCUUCUUGAAACUGAUGCUCUUUCAUGAUUUCUACCUCCGCAGAUUUCAACAUUGAAUACAACUCAGGAAUAGUCUUUUCCAUCCCUUGCAUGUUGUAAUUCAUCACAAAGCCUUUAUAGCUUGGUGGAAGCGACUCGAGGAUUCUGUCAAUGACCGCAUCAUCUGGAAGUUCAACUCCCAGCUGAGUCAAGCGGUUGUGCAACCCAGACAUUCUGAGUAUGUGCUCACUGACAUAACUAUUCUCCUCCAUCUUACAGCUAAAGAACUCGUCGGAUACUCCAUAUAUCUCGACUCGGGCAUGAGCUUGAAAAAUAAUUUUCAGAUCCUCGAACAUCUCAUAUGCUCCGUGAUGCUCCAAACGCCUUUGGAGCCCCGGUUCUAAACUGUAAAGCAUGUCGCACUGAACGAGAGAGUAGUCAUCACUCCGCGAGUGCCAGGCGUUCCCAACGUCCUGAUCUGCCGCAGGAACGGGAGGAUCACCUAGUGGUGCCGUAAGGACAUAUGCCUUCUUGGCAGCAUUGAGGAUGAGCUUUAAGUUACGAGCCCAAUCCGCAUAGUUGCUCCCAUCGUCUUUCAGCUUGGUUUUCUCUAGGAACGCGUUGAAGUUGAAUGAGACAUUUGCGUUGUCCAUUUGAUCUACAAUAUUUGUAAAUACACUAUUAGACUAAGUUCAUGAUAAUUAAGUUCAUCUAAUCAAAUUACUAAUGAACUCCCACUUAGAUCGACAUCCCUCUAGUCAUCCAAGUGACACAUGAUCCACGUCGACUAGCCCGUGUCCGAUCAUCACGUGAGACGGACUAGUCAUCAACGGUGAGCAUCUCUAUGCUGAUCGUAUCAACCAUACGACUCAUGUUCGACCUUUCGGUCUCCCAUAUUCGAGGUCAUGUCUGUAGAUGCUAGGAUCGGCGAGUCAACCUAAGUGUUCUGCGUGUGUAAACUGGCUUACACGCGUUGUAUGCGAUAGAAUCUAUCACACCCGAUCAACAUGUGGUGCUUCGAAACAACGAACCUUCGCAACGGUGCACACUUAGGGGAAUACAUAUCUCGAAAUUUUAAUGAGGGAUCAUCUUAUAUUUGCUACCGUUGUUCUAAGCAAUACGAUGUAAAACAUGAUAAACAUCACAUGCAAUCAUAUAGUGACAUGAUAUGGCCAAUAUCAUCUUGCUCCUUUGAUCACCAUCUUCGGGGCACCAUGAUCAUCAUCAUCACCAUGGGUAUCGUAGUAAUUUCAAAAAAAUUCCUACGCCAUACAAGGAUCUAUCUAUGGAGAAACCAGCAACGAGUGAAGUAGUAGAGCAUCUUCAUACCUUUGAAGAUCGCUAAGCGGAACCGUUGCUAGAACGGGGUUGAUGGAGUCGUACUCGCAGCGAUUCAGAUUGCGGUAGAUUCUGAUCUAUGCACCGAACAACGGUGCCUCCCUGUUCAACACACGUACAGCCCGGUGAUGUCUCCUCCUUCUUGAUCCAGCAAGGAGAGAGGAGAAGUUGAGGGAGAGCUCCGGCAGCACGACGGCGUGGUGGCGGUGGAGCUAUGUGGUUCUCCGGCAGGGCUUCGCCAAGCGCUACGGAGGAGGAAGAAGAGAGAGGUAGGGCUGUGCCGUGGGAGAGAGAUGAAUUUUUGUGUCUCAAAAAUCCCAAAACCUCAAGUAUAUAUAGGAGGAGGGAGAGGGAGGGCUGCCUUGGCCCCUCCUCCAAGGAGGAGAGGUUCGACCGAGCUAGGGAGGAGUCCACCUCCCACAAGGGAGGUGGAUUCCUUCCUUUUAAAUCCUCUCUUGCCUUAUCUCUUUAUCCCUAGCCGCAUGGGCCUUUAGGAAAGGCCUUGGCCAACCCAAUAAGGGCUGGUCCACCUCCUCUAACAGCCCAUGAAGUCCUUUGGUCGUCACACCCCUCCCGGGGGAGGGGGUCCUCCGGCACCCUCCCGGCACUCGUGGUACACUACCGAUGAGCCCGAAACUUUUUCAGUGACCAAAACAGGACUUCCUAUAUAUCAAUCUUUACCUCCGGACCAUUACAGAGCUCCUCGUGAUGUCCGGGAUCUCAUACGGGACUCUGAAGAACCUUCAGUAACCACAGACCAUUCCCUUUACAACUCUAGCGUCAUCAAACCUUAAGUGUGUAGACCCUACGGGUUCGGAAGACAUGCAGACAUGACCGAGACAUCUCUCCGGCCAAUGACCAACAGUGGGGUCUGGAUAUCCAUGUUGGUUCCGACAUGUUCCACGAUGAUCUCAUCGGAUGAACCACAAUGUCAAGGAUUCAAUCAAUCCCGUAUGCAAUUCCCUUUGUCUACCGAUAUGAUACUUGCCCGAGAUUCGAUCGUCGGUAUACCCAUACCUUGUUCAAUCUCGUUACUGGCAAGUUGUUGGGGAAAGUUGCAUGGGAAACAAAAAAAUUCCUAUGCACACGGAGACCUAUCAUGGUGAUGUCCAUCUACGAGUGGAGAUUAGAUCUACAUACCCUUGUAGAUCGCACAUCGGGAAGCGUUAAGAAACGCGGUUGAUGUAGUGGAACGUCUUCACGUCCCUCGAACCGUCCCACGAACCGUCUCGCGAUCCGUCCCGCGAUCCGUUCAUAUCUAGCGCUGAACGGAUGACACCUCCGCAUUCAGCACACGUACAAGUCAACAAUGAUCUCGGCCUUCUUGAUCCAGCAAGCAAGACGGAGAAGUAGAUGAGUGCUCCGGCAGCAUGAUGGCGCUCCGGUGGUGGUGAUGAUCUACUCCUCAGGGCUCCGCCUGAGCUCCGUAGAAAUCUGAUCUAGAGGUAAAACUAUGUGGAAUAGGCUAGAGUUGCACGUGGAAAAGUUGUGUCCCAAAAAGCCCUAAACCACCACUAUAUAUAGGAGGAAGGGGGAGGGGCUAGCCUUGAGGCACAAGGCCUCAAGGUGCACCGGCCUCCAGGAGGAGGAGGACUCCUCCUCCAAUUCGGUUUGGGAAGGACUCCUUCUCUUCCUUCCCACCUCCCACCUCCCUCUUUCCUUUUUGUUUUUAUGUUCUUUUGGUAUUUUCUUAUGUGGCGCCAUAGCCCUCUUGGGCUGACUCCACCAGCCCAAUAAGGACUUGUGGCGCCACCCUAGGGCCUUGGGCUCACUCCCGGGUGGCUGGGCCCCUCCCGGUAAACACCCCGAACCCAUUCGUCACUCCCGCUACACUACCGGAAUUGCCCGAAACUUUCCGGUGACCAAAUGAAACCAUCCUAUAUAUCAAUCUUCGUUUCCGGACCAUUACGGAAACCCUCGUGACGUCCAUGAUCUCAUCCGGGACUCCGAACAACAUUCGGUAACCACCCAUAUAACUUAACUGUACUAAAACAUCAUCGAACCUUAAGUGUGCAGACCCUACGGGUUCGAGAACUAUGCAGACAUGACUAGAGACACUCCUCGGUCAAUAUCCAAUAGCGGGACUUGGAUGCCCAUAUUGGAUCCUACAUAUUCUCCAAAGAUCUUAUCGAUUGAACCUUAGUGCCAAGGAUUCAUAUAAUCCCGUAUGUCAUUCCCUUUGUCCUUCAGUAUGUUACUUGCCCGAGAUUCGAUCGCCGAUAUACGCAUACCUAUUUCAAUCUCGUUACCGGCAAGUCUCUUUACUAAUUUCGUAAUACAAGAUCCCNNNNNNNNNNNNNNNNNNNNNNNNNNNNNNNNNNNNNNNNNNNNNNNNNNNNNNNNNNNNNNNNNNNNNNNNNNNNNNNNNNNNNNNNNNNNNNNNNNNNNNNNNNNNNNNNNNNNNNNNNNNNNNNNNNNNNNNNNNNNNNNNNNNNNNNNNNNNNNNNNNNNNNNNNNNNNNNNNNNNNNNNNNUUACCGAGUGGGCCCCAAGAUACCUCUCCGUCACACAGAAUGACAAAUCCCAGUCUUGAUCCAUACUAACUCAACGGACACCUUCGAAGAUACCUAUAGAACACCUUUAUAGUCACCCAGUUACGUUGCGACGUUUGAUGCACAUAAGGUAUUCCUCCGGUGGCAGUGAGUUAUAUGAUCUCAUGGUCAUAGGAAUAAUACUUGACACACAGAAAACAAUAGCAAUAAAACAACACGAUCAAUAUGAUACAUUCAUAGUUUGGGUCUAGUCCAUCACAUGAUUCUCCUAAUGAUGUGAUCGAGUUAUCAAGCAACAACAAUUUCACAUAGUUAGAAAACCUUGACUAUCCUUGAUCAACUGGCUAGCCAACUAGAGGCUUGCUAAGGACAUUGUUUUGUCUAUGUAUCCACACAUGUAUCUAUGUUUUCAUUCAAUACAAUUAUAGCAUGGAUAAUAAACGAUUAUCUUUGUAACAGGAAAUAUAAUAAUAACUAUUUAUCAUUGCCUCUAGGGCGUAUUUCCAACAGUCUCCCACUUGCACUAGAGUCAAUAAUCUAGUCCUCACAUUGCCAUGUGAUUUACAUUGUAAUAAAUCUAACACCCAUACAGUUCUGGUGUUGAUCAUGUUUUGCCCAUGGAAGAGGUUUAGUCAGCGGGUCUGCUACAUUCAGAUCCGUGUGCACUUUGCAAAUAUUCACGUCCUCUCCUUCGACGUAGUCGCGGAUGAGGUUGAAGCGUCGUUUGAUGUGUCUGGUCUUCUUGUGAAACCUUGGUUCCUUUGCUAGAGCAAUGGCACCAGUGUUGUCACAGAACAUAGUUAUUGGAUUUAGUGCGCUCGGCACAACUCCAAGAUCCGUCAUGAACUGCUUCAUCCAGACACCCUCCUUUGCUGCCUUCGAGGCAACCAUGUACUCCGCUUCACAUGUAGAAUCUGCUAUGAUGCUUUGCUUGGAACUGCACCAGCUUACCGCAGCCCCAUUAAGAAUAAAUACGUAUCCGGUUUGUGACUUAGAGUCAUCUGUAUCGGUGUCAAAGCUUGCAUCGACGUAACCCUUUAUGACGAGCUCUUCAUCACCUCCAUAAAUGAGAAAAAUUUCCUUAGUCCUUUUCAGGUACUUAAGGAUAUUCUUGAUCGCCGCCCACUGAUCCACUCCUGGAUUACUCUGAAACCUGCCUGCCAUACUUAUGGCCAAGCUGACAUGUGGUCUAGUGCACAACAUUGCAUACAUGAUAGAACCUAUGGCUGAAGCAUAGGGGACGGAACUCAUUUGUUCUCUAUCUUCUGUAGUUGCUGGGCACCGAGUCUUACUCAAUUUUAUACCUUGUAACACUGGCAAGAACCCUUUCUUGGACUGUUCCAUUUUGAACUUCUUCAAAACUUUAUCAAGGUAUGUACUUUGUGAAAGUCCUAUCAGGCGUCUCAAUCUAUCCCUAUAGAUCUUAAUGCCUAGAAUGUAAGCAGCUGCUCCUAGGUCCUUCAUAGAGAAACUUUUUUUCAAGUAAUCCUUUACGCUCUCCAAAAACUCCACGUUGUUUCCAAUCAGCAAUAUGUCAUCCACAUAUAAUAUUAGAAACGCCACAGAGCUCCCACUCACUUUCUUGUAAAUACAAGAUUCUCCAACCACUUGUAUAAACCCGAAUGCUUUGAUCACCUCAUCAAAGCGCUUAUUCCAACUCCGAGAUGCUUGCACUAGUCCAUAAAUGGAUCGCUGGAGCUUGCACACUUUGUUAGCAUUCUUUGGAUCGACAAAACCUUUGGGUUGCAUCAUAUACAACUCUUCCUUAAGAAAACCGUUAAGGAACGCCGUUUUUACAUCCAUCUGCCAGAUUUCAUAAUCGAAAAAUGCAGCUAUUGCUAACAUGAUUCAGACGGACUUAAGCAUCGCUACCGGUGAGAACGUCUCAUCGUAGUCAACUCCUUGAACUUGUGAAAAACCCUUUGCCAGAAGUCGAGCUUUAUAAACUAUCACAUUACCGUCUGCGUCCGUCUUCUUCUUAAAGAUCCAUUUGUUCUGAAUAGCCUUGCGGCCUUCAGGUAGUACUUCCAAAGUCCACACUUUGUUUUCGUACAUAGAUCCUACCUCGUACUUCAUGGCCUCCAGCCAUUUGUUGGAAUCUGGGCCCACCAUUGCUUCUUCAUAAUUCGCAGGUUCAUUGUUGUCUAACAACAUGAUUGAUAAGACAGGAUUAUCGUACCACUCAGGAGUAGUACGUAUUCUUGUCGACCUGCGAGGUCCGAUAGGAACUUGAUCCGAAUUUUCAUGAUCAUCAUGAUCAACUUCCUCCUCAAUCGGUGUCGCAACGACAAGGGUUUCCCCUUGCCCCGCGCCACCCUCUAGAGGGACUAGAGGUUCGACAACCUCAUCAAGUUCUAUCUUCCUCCCACUCAAUUCGUUCGAGAGAAACUACUUCUCAAGGAAAGCUCCGUUUUUAGCAGCAAACACUUUGCCCUCGGAUUUGAGAUAGAAGGUGUACCCAACUGUCUCCUUUGGGUGACCUAUGAAGACGCACUUUUCCGCUUUGGGUUCCAGCUUUUCAGGCUGAAGCUUUUUGACAUAAGCAUCACAUCCCCAAACUUUAAGAAACAACAAUUUUGGUCUUUUGCCAUACCACAAUUCGUAUGGUGUCAUCUCAACGGAUUUUGAUGGUGCCCUAUCUAAAGUGAAUGCAGAUGUCUCUAAUGCAUAACCCCAAAAUGAUAACGACAAAUCAGUAAGAGACAUCAUAGAUCGCACCAUUUCUAACAAAGUACGAUUAUGACGUUCGGACACACCAUUACGCUGUGGUGUUCUAGGCGGUGUCAACUGUGAAACAAUUCCACAUUGUCUUAAGUGAGCACAAAACUCGAAACUCAGAUAUUCACCCCCAUGAUUAGACCGUAGGAACUUGAUCUUCUUGUUACGAUGAUUUUCAACUUCACUCUGAAAUUGCUUGAACAUCUCAAACGUUUCAGACUUGUGCUUCAUCAAGUAGAUAUAUCCAUACCUACUCAAAUCGUUAGUGAAGGUGAGAAAAUAACAAUAUCCGCCGCGCGCCUCCACACUCAUCGGACCGCACACAUCGGUAUGUAUGAUUUCCAACAAGACACUUGCACGCUCCAUUGUUCCGAAGAACGAAGUCUUAGUCAUCUUGCCCAUGAGGCAUGGUUCGCACGUGUCAAGUAAUUCAAAGUCAAGUGACUCCAAAAGUCCAUCGGAAUGGAGUUUCUUAAUGCGCUUUACACCAAUAUGACCUAAGCGACAGUGCCACAAAAACAUGGCACUAUCAUUGUUAACUCUAAAUCUUUUGGUCUCAAUGUUAUGUAUGUGUGUAUCGCUAUCAAGAUUCAAUAUGAACAAUCCUCUCACAUUGGGUGCAUGACCAUAAAAGAUAUUACUCAUAGAAAUAGAACAACCAUUAUUCUCUGACUUAAACGAGUAACCGUCUCGCAAUAAACAAGAUCCAGAUAUAAUGUUCAUGCUUAACACACGCACUAAAUAACAAUUAUUUAAGUUCAUAAGUAAUCCUGAUGGUAACUGAAGUGAAUCUAUGCCGACGGCGAUUGCAUCAACCUUGGAACCAUUUCCCACGCGCAUCGUCACUUCAUCCUUCGCCAGCCUUCGUUUAUUCCGCAGUUCCUGUUUCGAGUUGCAAAUAUGAGCAACAGAACCGGUAUUGAAUACCCAGGCACUACUACGAGAGUUGGUUAAGUACACAUCAAUAACAUGUAUAUUGAAUAUACCUAAUUUUUCCUUGGCCGCCUUCUUAUUAGCCAAAUACUUGGGGCAGUUGCGCUUCGAGUGACCCAGUCCCUUGCAAUAAUAACACUCUGUUUCAGGCUUAGGCCCAGCCUUGGGUUUCGUUGUCAGAUUGGCAACAGGCUUGCUGCUCUUCUUGGAGUUACCCUUCUUACCUUUGUCGUUUCUCUUGAAACUAGUGGUCUUAUUGACCAUCAACACUUGAUGCUCUUUCCGGAGUUCUGACUCUGCGACUUUCAGCAUCGCGAAUAACGCGCCAGAUGACUUGUUCAUCCCUUGCAUGUUAUAGUUCAACACAAAGCUCUUGUAGCUUGGUGGCAGUGAUUGAAGAAUUCUGUUAGUGAUAGCCUCUUGCGGGAGUUCAAUCCCCAGCUAAGCUAGACGGUUUGAGUACCCAGACAUUUUGAGCACAUGUUCACUGACAGACGAAUUCUCCUCCAUCUUGCAAGCAUAUAAUUUAUCUGAGUUCUCAUACCUCUCGAUCCGGGCGUUCUUCUGAAAGAUAAACUUCAACUCCUGGAACAUCUCAUAUGCUCCAUGACGUUCAAAGCGGCGUUGAAGUCCUGGCUCUAAGCCAUACAAGACUACACAUUGAACUACUGAGUAGUCCUCCUUACGUGUUAACCAAGCGUUCUUAACAUCUUGGUCAACCGUAGCGGGUGGUUCAUCUCCUAGCGCAGCAUUAAGGACAUAAUCCUUCUCCCAGCUUGCGGGAGCAACUUAAGAUUAUGAGCCCAGUCUAUAAAGUUGCUUCCAUCAUCUUUCAACUUAGCUUUCUCUAGGAACAUAUUAAAAUUCAGCGUGAGAGUUGCGUGAGCCAUUGAUCUACAACACAAAUAUUGCAAAGUGGAAUUAGACUAUGUUUAAGAUAAAUAGAGUUUAAUUAAUCAAAUUACUAAUAAACUCCCACUCAAAAAGUACAUUUCUCUAGUCAUUUGAGUGGUACAUGAUCCAAAUUCACUAACUCAAGUCCGAUCAUCACGUGAGUUGAGAAUAGUUUGAGUGGUAAGCAUCUCUAUGCUAAUUAUAUCAACUAUACGAUUCAUGCUUGACCUUUCGGUCUCAUGUGUUCCGAGGCCAUGUCUGCACAUGCUAGGAUCGUCAUGUUUAACCCGAGUGUUCCGCGUGUGCAACUGUUUUGCACCCGUUGUAUGUGAACGUUGAGUCUAUCACACCCGAUCAUUACGUGGUGUCUCAAAACGACAAACUAUCGCAAUGGUGCACAGUCGGGGAGAACGCAAUUUCGUCUUGAAAUUUAGUGAGAGAUCACCUUAUAAUGCUACCGUCGUUCUAAGAAAAAUAAAGUGCAUAAAAGGAUUAACAUCACAUGCAAUUCAUAAGUGACAUGAUAUGGUCAUCAUCUUGUGCUUCUUGAUCUCCAUCACUUAAGCACCGGCAUGAUCUUCUUGUCACCGGCACCACACCAUGAUCUCCAUCAUCAUGAUCUCCAUCAACGUGUCACCAUCGAGGUUGUCGUGCUAUCUAUGCUAUUACUACUAAAGCUACGACCUAACAAUAUAGUAAACGCAUCUACAAACACAAACGUUAGUUUAAAGACAACCCUAUGGCUCCUGCCGGUUGCCGUAGCAUCGACGUGCAAGUCGAUAUUAACUAUUACAACAUGAUCAUCUCAUACAUCCAAUAUAUCACAUCACGUCAUUGGCCAUAUCAUAUCACAAGCAUACCCAGCAAAAACAAGUUAGACGUCCUCUAAUUUGUUGUUGCAUGUUAUAUGUGACUGCUGUGGGUAUCUAGUAUGAUCGCAUCUUACUUACGCAAAAACCACAACGGAGAUGUGCAAAUUGCUAUUUAACCUCUCCAAGGACCGCCUCGGUCAAAACCAAUUCAACUAAAGUUGAAGAAACAAGCACCCGCGAGUCAUCUUUAUGCAACAAGGUUGCAUGUCAAUCGAUGAAACCAGUCUCUCGUAAGCGUAGGAGUUAUGUCGGUCCGGGCUGCUUCAAUCCAACAAUACUGCUGAAUAGAGAAAAGACUAAGGAGGACAGAAAAUCGAACAUCACCGUCCACAAAACCUUUUGUGUUCUACUCGAGAUAACAUCUACGCAUGAACCUAGCUCAUGAUGCCACUGUUGGGGAAUGUUGCAUGGGAAACAAAAAACUUCCUACGCACACGAAGACCUAUCAUGGUGAUGUCCAUCUACGAGUGGAGAUUAGAUCUACAUACCCUAGUAGAUCGCACAACAGGAAGCGUUAGGAAACGCAGUUGAUGUAGUGGAACAUCUUCACGUCCCUCGAACCGUCCCACGAACCGUCCCGCGAUCCGUCCCACGAUCCGUUCCGAUCUAGCGCCGAACGGAUGGCACCUCAGCGUUCAACACACGUACAACUCGACGAUGAUCUCGGCCUUCUUGAUCUAGCAAGCAAGACAAAGAAGUAGUUGAGUUCUCCGGGAGCGUGACGGCGCUCCGGUGUUGGUGAUGAUCUACUCUUGGAGGGAUCCGCCCGAGCUCCGCACAAAUCCGACCUAGAGGCAAAACUAUGUGGAAUAGGCUAGAGUUGCACGUGGCAAAGUUGUGUCUCAAAAAGCCCUAAACCACCACUAUACAUAGGAGGAAGGGGGAGGGGCUAGCCUUGAGGCACAAGGCCUCAAGGUGCACCGGACGCCAGGAGGAGGAGGACUCCUCCUCCAAUUCGGUUUGGGAAGGAGGAGUCCUCCUCUUCCUUUCCACCUCCCUCUUUCCUUUUUCUUUUUCUUCUUUUGGUAUUUUCUUAUGUGGCGCCAUAGCCCUCUUGGGCUGACUCCACCAGCCCAAUAAGGACUUGUGGAGCCACCCUAGGGCCUUGGGCUCACUCCCGGGUGGGUGGGCCCCUCCCGGUAAACACCCGGAACCCAUUCGUCACUCCGGGUUCACUGCCGGAAUUGCGUGAAACUUUCCGGUGACCAAAUGAAACCAUCCUAUAUAUCAAUCUUCGUUUCCGGACCAUUACGGAAACCCUCGUGACGUCCAUGAUCUCAUCCGGGACUCCGAACAACAUUCGGUAACCACCCAUAUAACUUAACAAUACUAAAACAUCAUCGAACCUUAAGUGUGCAGACCCUGCGGGUUCGAGAACUAUGCAGACAUGACCCAAGACACUCCUCGGUCAAUAUCCAAUAGCGGGACCUGGAUGCCCAUAUUGGAUCCUACAUAUGCUCUGAAGAUCUUAUCGGUUGAACCUCAGUGCCAAGGAUUCAUAUAAUCCCGUAUGUCAUUCCCUUUGUCCUUCAGUAUGUUACUUGCCCGUGAUUCGAUCAUCGGUAUCCGCAUACCUAUUUCAAUCUCGUUACCGGCAAGUCUCUUUACUCAUUCCGUAAUACAAGAUCCCNNNNNNNNNNNNNNNNNNNNNNNNNNNNNNNNNNNNNNNNNNNNNNNNNNNNNNNNNNNNNNNNNNNNNNNNNNNNNNNNNNNNNNNNNNNNNNNNNNNNNNNNNNNNNNNNNNNNNNNNNNNNNNNNNNNNNNNNNNNNNNNNNNNNNNNNNNNNNNNNNNNNNNNNNNNNNNNNNNNNNNNNNNNNNNNNNNNNNNNNNNNNNNNNNNNNNNNNNNNNNNNNNNNNNNNNNNNNNNNNNNNNNCCAUACUAACUCAACGGACACCUUCGGAGAUACCUAUAGAACACCUUUAUAGUCACCCAGUUACGUUGCGACGUUUGAUGCACAUAAGGUAUUCCUCCGGUGGCAGUGAGUUAUAUGAUCUCAUGGUCAUAGGAAUAAUACUUGACACACAGAAAACAAUAACAAUAAAACGACACGAUCAAUAUGCUACGUUCAUAGUUUGGGUCUAGUACAUCACAUGAUUCUCCUAAUGAUGUGAUCCAGUUAUCAAGCAACAACAAUUGCACAUAGUUAGAAAACCUUGACUAUCCUUGAUCAACUGGCUAGCCAACUAGAGGCUUGCUAGGGACAUUGUUUUGUCUAUGUAUCCACACAUGUAUCUAUGUUUUCAUUCAAUACAAUUAUAGCAUGGAUAAUGAACGAUUAUCUUUGUAAUAGGGAAUAUAAUAAUAACUAUUUAUCAUUGCCUGUAGGGCAUAUUUCCAACACAAGUCUCUUUACUCGUUUCGUGACACAUCAUCCCAUGACUAACUCCUUAGUCACACUGAGCUCAAUAUGAUGAUGGAUUACCGAAUGGGCCCAGAUGUACCUCUCCGUCACAUGGAGUGACAAAUCCCAGUCUCAAUUCGCACAACCCAACAGACACUUUCGGAGAUAUCCGUAGUGCACCUUUAUAAUCACCCAGUUACGUUGUGACGUUUGAUACACCCAAAGCACUCCUACGGUAUCCGGGAGUUGCACAAUCUCAUGGUCUAAGGAAAUGAUACUUGACAUUAGAAAAGCUUUAGCAAACGAAUAACACGAUCUAGUGCUAUGCUUAGGAUUGGGUCUUGUCCAUCACAUAUUCGCAUCAUUCCCCAAUGAUGUGAUCCCGUUAUCAAUGACAUCCAAUGUCCAUGAUCAUCUAUUGAUCAAUGAGCUAGCCAACUAGGGGCUCACUAGGGGCACAUUGUGAUCUAUAUAUUCACACAUGUAUUACGGCUUCCGGUUAAUACAAUUAUAGCAUGAAUAAUGGACAGUUAUCAUGAACUAGGAAAUAUAAUAAUAACCACUUUAUUAUUGCCUCUAGGGCAUUUUUCCAACAGUCAAGACAACAGAAACAGUUUAACUGAACAAGAUGUGUGUGAUAUGCGGCAAACGGUCCGAAAUCAGAAAUGUGUGCAAAUGCCGAUAAUAACACAGACGAUUACUGCUAAUAAGGCGUGUGAUUUUCUCUGUCUACAGAAUAAGAACACACACACACACACAGACGCACACACACACACACACAGACACGCACUGACAUAUAUAUAUAUAACUAAAAUAAACAUCCAAUUACAUAAGUGACUAUACAAAUAAUUCGCACACACCUUAGUAAACAUUUGCAUGCAUUCUAAACUAGGAGAAACGAUCAUCUACUUCUUGUGACGCUCCCACCAUUGCUCUGUGGCACAAUCCCUCGUCUGGGGUAGGACGAAGACACUUCCUCAUGUCAAUGAUCUGCGUGUACAUCUCGUAGCUUGUGUACACGUCGUUGACCGCGUACUUGAUGUGUUAUCCAUCCAGUCUCUGAUCCGAGGCACCGUUCCCGGCGUUCUGGUACUUCUUGCUCUCAUCCUUCAUCUUCAUGUAGUAGGGGUCGAUGAUGGCCGAGGCGAGGUCAACCAGGGAGUUCUGUUUGUUAUCGGUGCUGCACCAGACUUUGUAGCGGUCACGUAUGUUGACAAGAUUCUGGCAGUUCAAGCCCGAAACAUCGAGCGCUUUUUGAUCGUUGGUGGUGUCCACUGUAACGAAACUGUAGUCGGGGCUGUUGAUAAACCUGGCGAAACGCUCGCAGGUCCUUGUGGCCAUGUGGUAGUGGUAGGACGAGGACGUCAUGUCACACGCACAACUGGGCGGUGACAACCAUCUGAUCUUGCCCGCCACGACCGCUGGUGAGCUCGAAGUCAAAGGCGACCACUUGGUACAUGUCCUUAGUAAGCAAGUGAUCCAUAGUUUGGAUGGACCUCUCCAUUGAGAUCGGCUCGUUCGUGUACACCACCGAGAGGUCCUUCCCCCUCACGUGGGUGUCCACUAUGUGAUGCGUGGUGAACUGCCCCCCCCGUUGUCGUCGUCGGCCGCUCAGAGCGCCAUUGUAGCCACGGGGAGUGCCAUUGGAAAAGCUCGAUAUCCUCUCUGUAUGUGCCAUCAUGGGUGUGCUUAUUGUGUCGUGUGACGCGAGAGAUGAAGGUAAAUGGACAUGGGAAUAAAUGGGGGCGAGGCAGCCUGGAUUCUCGGCACGGCCGCAUGGCAGUUUUUGCAGCGAGUAACUGCAUCGUGGCGCGGCGCCCGUCGCAACCGCGUGCAUAAUGGCAACACGAAUGCACGUGAUCAUGUGCCGGCCCCAAACAUUGACAGCACACAUGGAGGGACACGGGCAGAGCGCCGAGAGGGACGCGAUAGAAGAACGCGUGCGGCGGGACGCGAGUAGAGCGCAUCGCGGCCGCCUCAAUCGUGAGAAACCACACACAUAUAACACUUGAACACGCAAGGAAUGGUCAUCUACAAGCCGUCCGACAGUGGAGAGCCAACGGCAUGAUGUGAAACUACGUCGCGUUCCACAUCACACGAUCGUCGAACAAUCAUUCGUGACGCUGCGUAGAGAGCGGACGUGUGCUACUACCUCCGUCUUGGUCUAUUAGUCCCCUUUAUAUUUUGUGCCAUAUUUUGACCUUAAAUUUAACUAACAAAAUGUUAAUGCAUGUUAUAAAAAUAAUAUAAUUGGAGGGUAUGUUCAAAUAUGAAUCCAACGGUAUAAUCUUUGGCGACACGCAUUCACAUUUUAGUAGUUAAAUUGCUAGUCAAAAUUUGGCACAAAAAUACAAAGAGGACUUAUAAACCAGUACAGAGGUAGUAGGUCAUUAAAUAACAAAUAUUAUUUUUUCAUUAACCGUUUGUGUACGUGUCGCUUCGUCCUCCUCUCGCACGUCUUGUGAGUUGUCACCCCGCUGCAAGCUUGGGCACCGUGCGGGUGUUGGCCAAGCGGUGGCUCAAAGUGACACCAAUGAAUCAUCGGUGAGCCCAUUCCCGCACAACCACAUAGGUUCCCGAGCUUUGCCACGCAAGCUUCCCGCCCGGCUCUACCAAAUCCCAAUGCUUACCGGCCUGCUAUAUAAACUCUCACGACCAUCGAGUCAUGCAUCGCAUUUUCCUCCUCCUCCCUGUAUCUUAUGUGGUCUGCUUCUCCCACAAUCGCCAAUGGCACCGGUCCGUCAUCGUCGCUCAGCCACUCCACCGUCAUGAGAGCACAUCUCCAGCUGGGAGGCCACACCGCAGCGGCGGUGUAGCCCAGAGUAGUGUAGUGUGCAUGGCAUCCCUGUUGGGUGUGCGCGUAACACCCACCACACGCUCUACCGCCACUGCGUGUCGAGAGCUGCUGCCAGCCGCCGUUGCUUCCACCCCACCGUAUGCCGCCAUGGCCUCCACACCAUCAUCGAAAGUCGGGGCAAUCACCCGCUCCACCGCCGCGGCCCGAAAGCGGGAGGUGGUCAUCAUGGCCGCCACACCACUGUUGGCCACUGUGUCCAUCACCCACUGUGCCACCAUGACCCGAAGGCGAGAGUUGACGGUCGUGGCUGCCAGUCCACCAUCGACCGCCGGGGUCAUCACCGGCCCUGCCACCGCCGCUCGAAGGAGGAAGGUGGAUCCCCACAUGUGCAUCAGCGACCUUGCGUGCUACAUCAAGUUCCCGCAGGAGGAGGAGGAGCGCCUGGUCGAGCACACAAAGAGUCUUACCGUUGUCUUGGCUGUAGCACACGCUGCCACAGAGGCGCGAAAUAAGAAGAUCUAUGAUGAGUCCCGCCACUUCGAGAUGAGUCGUCUAGAGUGGCACAGGGCGUUCAAGGUAAGCGUUGCUAAAGGUGCAACAGCGGCAUGCACCAUAUUCCAGUUGUCCAGCUCGUUAGUAGGCUCCUCCUCCUCUGCCUCGGCAGAGGAGCGGCUGCUGGAAGUAGUACAAAGCCCCUCCGUCGUAUUACUAUUUAGGGGCUAUUUUGUUCAGUUCAUCUGACUAUAGAUGUGGUUGAAAUGUACAUCAUACUUCAAAUUAGCUAGUAUAUAUAGUUGAACUAGCUAUUUCAGUAUGUGGUUGGCAACAAUUGGGGAAAAGGUUGGUCAGUUUAGCCGUCGAGUUGAACUGUUUGUAUAAAGUGUUGGGGAACGUCGCAUGGGAAACAAAAAUUUUCCUACGCGCACGAAGACCUAUCAUGGUGAUGUCCAUCUACGAGAGGGGAUGAGUGAUCUACGUACCCUCGUAGAUCGUACAGCAGAAGCGUUAGAGAACGCGGUUGAUGUAGUGGAACGUCCUCACGUCCCUCGAUCCGCCCCGCGAACAAUCCCGCGAUCAGUCCCACGAUCUAGUACCGAACGGACGGCACCUCCGCGUUCAGCACACGUACAGCUCGACGAUGAUCUCGGCCUUCUUGAUCCAGCAAGAGAGACGGAGAGGUAGAAGAGUUCUCCGGCAGCGUGACGGCGCUCCGGAGGUUGGUGAUGAUCUUGUCUCAGCAGGGCUCCGCCCGAGCUCCGCAGAAACGCGAUCUAGAGGAAAAACUAUGGAGGUAUGUGGUCGGGCAGCCGUGAGAAAGUCGUCUCAAAUCAGCCCUAAAACCUCCGUAUAUAUAGGUGGGAGGGAGGGGAGGAGGCAGCCUCAAAACCUAAAGGUUUGGCCGAAAUUGGAGGUGGAGGAGUCCUACUCCAAUCCUACUUGGAGUAGGAUUCCACCUUCCCACUUGGAAACUCUUUCCACCUUGUGUUUUUUCCUUCUCAAACCUUAUGGGCCUUAGUGGGAACUUAUUCCAGCCCACUAGGGGCUGGUUUAUCUCUUCCCAUAGCCCAUGAGACCCCUUGGGGCGUGACACCCCUCCCGAUGGUCCCCGGCACCCCUCCCGGCACUCCCGGUACACUACCGAUGAGCCCGAAACUUUUCCGGUAAUGCACGAAAACCUUCCGGUAACCAAAUGAGGUCAUCCUAUAUAUCAAUCUUCGUUUCCGGACCAUUCCGGAAACCCUCGUGACGUCCGUGANNNNNNNNNNNNNNNNNNNNNNNNNNNNNNNNNNNNNNNNNNNNNNNNNNNNNNNNNNNNNNNNNNNNNNNNNNNNNNNNNNNNNNNNNNNNNNNNNNNNUCGGUCUACUUGUUUCACACCUGAUGCCUAUAGAAAUAAUCAUUGCAUAGAUAUCAUCACGACUCUGCACAGUUCUAUCAAUUGCUCGACAGUAAUUUGUUCACCCACCGUCUACUUGCUUUCAUAAGAGAAGCCACUAGUAAACACUACGGCCCCCGAGUCUAUUCACAUCCAUCGGUUACAACUCCGCUUUUACUUUGCUUUGCUACUUUGUUGCUUUCAGUUCUCACUUGGCAAACAAUCUAUAAGGGAUUGACAACCCCUUCAUAUUGUUGGGUGCAAGCUUUUGUGUUUGUGCAGGAUCUUGAGAUACUCCUCCGCCGGAUUGAUACCUUGGUUCUCAAACUAAGGGGAAUACUUACCUCCGCUGUGCUACAUCAUCCUCUCCGCUUCGAGGGAACACCAACGCAGAAGGAUUCCUGGUGUCGUCAACGUGCCCAUUUCUGGCACCACUGGAAGGUCUUUUGUGCAGUAGCAUAACGGACAUCAAAAGCAUUUCUGGCGCCGUUGCUGGGGAGGAGAAAUCAAGAUCUAUCCAAGUAGGUCUCACAAACUCUUCUCUUGCAUUUACUUUUGUUGCCAGUUGCCUCUCUUUUUCCUCUCCCCCACUUCACAUUUGCCGUUUUCAUUCGCCUUUCUCCUUCGCCGUUUUCUCUUGCCCUUGCCGUUUUCCUUUGCCGGUUUCUUGCUUGCUUGUGUGCUUGUUGGUCUGUUGAAGACAUCAUGUCUGAAAACACCAAACUUUUUGACUUCUCGAGCACUAAUAACAAUGAUUUUAUUAGUACUCCGAUUGAUCCCGCCACUAGUGCGGGAUCGUAUGAAAUCAACGCAGCUUUGCUGAAUCUUGUUAUGAAAGAGCAAUUCUCUAGCCUUCCUAGUGAAGAUGACACAUCCCAUCUCAGUACCUUCAUUGAGCUUUGUGAUAUGCAAAAGAAAAGAGAUGUGGAUAAUGACGUGAUUAAGUUGAAACUUUUUCCUUUCUCGUUGCGAGAUCGUGCAAAAACUUGGUUUUCUUCUUUGCCUAAAAAUAGUAUCGAUUCCUGGGAUAGGUGCAAAGAUGCUUAAAUAUCCAAGUAUUUUCCGCCGACUAAGAUCAUCUCCUUACGUAACGAUAUCAUGAAUUUCAAGCAACUUGAUCAUGAACACGUUGCACAAUCUUGGGAGAGGAUGAAGCUUAUGAUUAGAAAUUGUCCUGCUCAUGGCUUGAGUUUGUGGAUGAUUAUACAAAUCUUUUACGCUGGCUUGAAUUUCACUUCUCGCAAUAUCUUGGACUCCACCUCAGGUGGAACGUUCAUGGAAAUCACGUUAGGAGACACUACAAAACUCCUAGACAAUAUCAUGACCAACUACUCUCAGUGGCACACUGAAAGGUCGCCUGCUAGCAAAAAGGUGCACGCUAUAGAAGAGAUUAACUCGCUUAGUGCUAAGAUGGACGAGUUGAUGAAUUUGGUUGCUAGUAGAAACGCUACCGUAGAUCCUAAUGACAUGCCACUAUCUUCUUUGAUUGAGAGUAGCAACGCUAGUUUGGACGUGAAUUUUGUUGGUAGGAACAAUUUUGGCAACAACAAUGCUUUAGAGGAAACUAUGUUCCUAGGCCUUUUCCUAGUAACUCCUCUAACAAUUAUGGCAAUUCCUACGGCAACACUUAUGGAAAUCACAACAAAUUACCCUCUGAUCUAGAGAGUAAUAUCAAUGAAUUCAUCAACUCUCAAAAGAUUUUCAAUGCGUCCAUAGAGGAAAAACUACUCAAAAUAGACGAUUUGGCUAAGAGCGUUGAUAGGAUGUCUUGUGAUAUUGAUGCUUUGAAAGUUAGAUGCGCUCCUCCCAAGAUCAACUUGGAUGAAACUUUGAAAGCUAUGCGUAUCUCCAUGAAUGAGAGCAAAGAAAGAACCGCCCAAAUUCGCGCUAGACAUGAAUGGUUUAAAAGGGUGUGUUCUAGUGAUGCAAAUCACGAAGAUCUUAAAGUUCUUGGUGUGUCUCCUCUUGAAUCUUUGUUUUCACGUGUCAAACCUACUUAUGGAGGGGCUGGAUAUGAAUCCACUUUGGUUGAAAAACGCCCCGAUGAUUCGGAGUCCACCCAUCUUGAUGAUAAAGGUGUGGAGAGUGGAGUAGAAGAAGUCAAAAAUUUGGGUAGUAAUGAAACUCCCACUUUGGAUUUCAAGGAAUUUAAUUAUUAUAAUUUCUCCUUGUUUGAAUGCAUUUCUUUGAUGCAAUCCAUUGCAAACUCUCCACAUGCUUAUAGCCAAAGCAAAGCCUUUACCGCGCAUAUCGUAGAUGCUAUGAUGAAAUCUCUUGAAGAGAAGCACGAACUAGAAGUAUAUAUACCUAGAAAACUUCAUGAUGAGUGGGAACCUACUAUCAAAAUCCAGAUCAAAAACUAUGAGUGCAAUGCUUUGUGUGAUUUGGGUGCUAGUGUUUUCACGAUUCCAAAGUCUUUAUGUGAUAUUCUUGGUUUUCAUGAGAUUGAAGAGUGUUCUCUUAAUUUGCAUCUUGCGGAUUCUACUGUCAAGAAGCCCAUGGGGAGGAUCGAUGAUGUUCUUAUUGUUGCAAAUAAGAACUAUGUACCUAUGGAUUUCAUUGUACUUGACAUAGAUUGCAAUCCUUCAUGUCCCAUUAUUCUUGGUAGACCUUUCCUAAGGACUAUUGGUGCUAUCAUCGAUAUGAAGGAAGGGAAUAUUAGAUUCCAAUUUCCCUUAAAGAAGGGCAUGGAGCACUUUCCUAGAAAGAAAAUAAUAUUGCCUUAUGAAUCUAUAAUGAGGGCUACCUAUGGUUUGAGCACCAAAGAUGACUAUACGUGAUUCCAUCACUUUCGCCUAGCUAAGGGCGUUAAACAAAAGCGCUUGUUGGGAGGCAACCCAACGAAUCUAUCCUUUUUCUUUCUGUUUUGUGUUUUCCACACUUUCAUAAUUCUGUUAUGAUUGUGUUUUUUGUGUUUCUUUUUGCGUUUGUGCCAAGCAAAACCGUUAUGAUUAGUCUUGAGGAUGAUCGUUUGGUCAUGCUGGAAAAGACAGAAACUUUCUGUUGACGAAAAGAAUUUUCAUUUUUUUCUGUAAGAGAUUUUGAGUUGAUUCUUUUUGCCGUUGAUUUAUACGCAAAGUCUUCAGACUUUCGUAAUUGUUCAGAAUUUUUGAAGUAACAGAGGUAUAUGAAACAUACAGAUUGCUACAGACUGGUCAGCUAUUAACAGAUUCUGUUUUUGUAGUGUUGGUUGCUUAUUUUGAGGAAACUAUGGAUAGUAUCGGGGGGUAUUAGCCAUGGAAGAUUGAAAGUACAUUAACCCAACAUCAGCACAAGUAGAAUUUAAGUUUUCUACAGUACCUAAGGAAGUGGUGGUUUGCUUUCUUGUACUAAUGUUAUCACGAGUUUCUGUUUAAGUUUCGUGUUGUGAAGUUUUCAAGUUUUGGGUGAAGUUCUUAUGGACAAAAAGAUAAAGAGUGGCAAGAGCUCAAGCUUGGGGAUGCCCAAGGCACCCCAAGAGAUUCAAGGAUGUCGUAAAAGCCUAAGCUUGGGGAUGCCCCGGGAAGGCAUCCCCUCUCUCGUCUUCAAUCCAUCGGUAACGUUACUUGGGGCUAUAUUUUUAUUCACCACAUGUUAUGUGUUUUUGCUUGGAGCGUAUUGUAUCAUAGGAGUCUUUUAUUUUUGUUGUGUCACAAUCAUUGUUAGAGCAUAUAUCUCCAUAUGUGGUUUUGGUAAUUGAUGACAAUUCCUAUGGACUAAUGGUUGCCUUAAGUUAUAUUUAUAGGAUUUGUCCAUAGGCACUUCUUGAAGUCCAUCUGUUGGGUUAAAGGAUUUUAUAUGAUGACCAAGGUGGUAUGCAAGGUAUUAUCCAAAGAAUGGUCAUAGAGACACAAGGUUGAUCAAGAUCGUCAGACAAAGAGUAAAUCAAGAUGAUCAACACACAAAGCGUACAAGAUGUACCGAGAGGGAUCAAGUGAUCCCAUGGUAUGGUAAGCAUUGUCCAGUACGUAUUUGUGUACUAACCCAUGGUCUUCUUGAGAGUUCUAUGUGGGGUUAGGUGUGUUUACAUAGGCUUGUGUCAAGAGGAUUAUCUCAUACAACCCAUGAAGGAUGACGUCAAGUGAUGGAGGAUGGUGGCAAUGGACUUGUGAAGAUAUGCUGAAGAGCGGCUCACCCAUAGUGUGUAUGGGGGAGCAAUCAACUAGUCUUCAUCAAGCCAACGCAAGCAAGAGGAAUAUCUCAUACAACCCAUGGAGGAUGACGUCAAGUGAUGGAGGAUGGUGGCAAUGGACUUGUGAAGAUAUGGUGANNNNNNNNNNNNNNNNNNNNNNNNNNNNNNNNNNNNNNNNNNNNNNNNNNNNNNNNNNNNNNNNNNNNNNNNNNNNNNNNNNNNNNNNNNNNNNNNNNNNUAUUAGCAGUUGAGUCGUCGGUUCAACCACACCUGAAAGAUUAGUAUCUGCAAGCAGGAUAUAAGCAGCAAAGUAGUAUGAUAGCAACGGUGCUAGGAAAGAUCUGUUCACAAGGCAGACUAUUCCUAACUGAAGUAUCAAUGGCGCCAGAAAAGUAUUGUAGCAGGUAGCAACAGUGUAACGAGUAACAGCAGUGGCAAGGAACAACAGUAGUGACAGCAGAAGCAAGUAGCAAUAGUAGCAAGUAACAACAACAUCAAGUAACAGUAGUAGCAACAGUAGUGGCAGUAGCAGCAGGACAAAGCAAGUAACAGUAGCAGCAACAGUAGUAACGGCAGCAGAGCAAAGCAAGUAACAGUAGCAGUGGGACAAACUCGUAGGCAAUGGAUCGGUGAUUUGUUGGAUGACAUUCAUCAUGCAACAGUUAUAACACAGAGAGAUAUGUGGCUAGCUCCCGUUCGUCAAUGUGAUGUAGGCAUGCAUUCCGUGUGUAGUCAUACAUGCUUAGGGAAAAGAACUUGCAUGACAUGUAUUGUCCAUCCCUCUCAUGGCAGCGGGGUCCAAAUGGAUACUAUGGGAUAUUAGGGUUCUCCUUUUAAUAAAGAACCGUACCAACGCAUUAGCACUUGGUGAACACAUAAACUCCUCAAACUAUGGUCACCGGGAGUGGUUCCGGUUAUUGUCACUCCGGGGUUGCCGGAUCAUAACACAUAGUAGGUAACUACAACUUGCAAGAUCGGAUCUAAAACACACAUAUAUUGGUGACAACAUAAUAAUUUCAUAUCUGAAUNNNNNNNNNNNNNNNNNNNNNNNNNNNNNNNNNNNNNNNNNNNNNNNNNNNNNNNNNNNNNNNNNNNNNNNNNNNNNNNNNNNNNNNNNNNNNNNNNNNNCCGUCUCUCUUGCUGGCUCAAGAAGGCCGAGAUCAUCGUCGAGCUGUACGUGUGCUGAACGCGGAGGUGCCGUCCGUUCGGCACUAGAUCGUGGGACUGAUCGCGGGACGGUUCGCGGGGCGGAUCGAGGGACGUGAGGACGUUCCACUACAUCAACCGCGUUCACUAACGCUUCUGCUGUACGGUCUACAAGGGUACGUAGAUCACUCAUCCCUUCUCGUAGAUGGACAUCACCAUGAUAGGUCUUCGUGCGCGUAGGAAAUUUUUUUUUUCCCGUGCGACGUUCCCCAACAGUGGCAUCAUGAGCUAGGUUCANNNNNNNNNNNNNNNNNNNNNNNNNNNNNNNNNNNNNNNNNNNNNNNNNNNNNNNNNNNNNNNNNNNNNNNNNNNNNNNNNNNNNNNNNNNNNNNNNNNNNNNNNNNNNNNNNNNNNNNNNNNNNNNNNNNNNNNNNNNNNNNNNNNNNNNNNNNNNNNNNNNNNNNNNNNNNNNNNNNNNNNNNNNNNNNNNNNNNNNNNNNNNNNNNNNNNNNNNNNNNNNNNNNNNNNNNNNNNNNNNNNNNNNNNNNNNNNNNNNNNNNNNNNNNNNNNNUACGCUUACGAGAGACCGGUUUCAUCGCUACGAGUAACCCCGUUGCUCAAAGAUGACUGGCAAGUGUCGGUUCCUCCAACUUUAGUUGAAUCGGAUUUGACCGAGGAGGUCCUUGGAUGAGGUUAAAUAGCAACUCAUAUAUCUCCGUUGUGGUGUUUGCGUAAGUAAGAUGCGAUCCUACUAUAUACCCUUGGUCACCACGUAAAACAUGCAACAACAAAAUUAGAGGACGUCUAACUUGUUUUUGCAGGUUAUGCUUGUGAUGUGAUAUNNNNNNNNNNNNNNNNNNNNNNNNNNNNNNNNNNNNNNNNNNNNNNNNNNNNNNNNNNNNNNNNNNNNNNNNNNNNNNNNNNNNNNNNNNNNNNNNNNNNCCGUCUCUCUUGCUGGAUCAAGAAGGCCGAGAUCAUCGUCGAGCUGUACGUGUGCUGAACGCGGAGGUGCCGUCCGUUCGGUACUAGAUCGUGGGACUGAUCGCGGGAUUGUUCGCGGGGCGGAUCGAGGGACGUGAGGACGUUCCACUACAUCAACCGCGUUCUCUAACGCUUCUGCUGUACGAUCUACGAGGGUACGUAGAUCACUCAUCCCCUCUCGUAGAUGGACAUCACCAUGAUAGGUCUUCGUGCGCGUAGGAAAAUUUUUGUUUCCCAUGCGACGUUCCCCAACAGUGGCGUCAUGAGCUAGGUUCAUGCGUAGAUGUCUUCUCGAGUAGAACACAAAAGUUUUUGUGGGCGGUGAUGUGCGUUUUGCUGCCCUCCUUAGUCUUUUCUUGAUUCCGCGGUAUUGUUGGAUUGAAGCGGCUUGGACCGACAUUACUCGUACGCUUACGAGAGACUGGUUUCAUCGUUACGAGUAACCCCCUUUGCUCAAAGAUGACUGGCAAGUGACGGUUUCUCCAACUUUAGUUGAAUCGGAUUUGAUCGAGGAGGUCCUUGGAUGAGGUUAAAUAGCAACUCAUAUAUCUCCGUUGUGGUGUUUGCGUAAGUAAGAUGCGAUCCUACUAGAUACCCUUGGUCACCACGUAAAACAUGCAACAACAAAAUUAGAGGACGUCUAACUUGUUUUUGCAGGGUAUGAUUGUGAUGUGAUAUGGNNNNNNNNNNNNNNNNNNNNNNNNNNNNNNNNNNNNNNNNNNNNNNNNNNNNNNNNNNNNNNNNNNNNNNNNNNNNNNNNNNNNNNNNNNNNNNNNNNNNNNNNNNNNNNNNNNNNNNNNNNNNNNNNNNNNNNNNNNNNNNNNNNNNNNNNNNNNNNNNNNNNNNNNNNNNNNNNNNNNNNNNNNAUCAUGUUGUAAUAGAAAUAUCGACUUGCACGUCGAUGGUACGGCAACCGGCAGGAGCCAUAGGGUUGUCUUUAUACUAACAUAUGUGCUUGCAGAUGCGUUUACUAUUUUGCUAGGAUGUAGCUUUAGUAGUAAUAGCAUAAGUAGCACGACAACCCCGAUGGCAACACGUUGAUGGAUGAUCAUGGUGUGGCGCCGGUGACAAGAAGAUCGUGCCGGUGCUUUGGUGAUGGAGAUCAAGAAGCACGUGAUGAUGGCCAUAUCAUGUCACUUAUGAAUUGCAUGUGAUGUUAAUCCUUUUAUGCACCUUAUUUUGCUUAGAACGACGGUAGCAUUAUGAGGUGAUCUCUCACUAAAAUUUCAAGACGAAAUUGUGUUCUCCCCGACUGUGCACCGUUGCGACAGUUCUUCGUUUCGAGACACCACGUGAUGAUCGGGUGUGAUAGACUCAACGUUCACAUACAACGGGUGCAAAACAGUUGCACACGCAGAACACUCGGGUUAAGCUUGACGAGCCUAGCAUGUGCAGACAUGGCCUCGGAACACGUGAGACCGAAAGGUCGAGCAUGAAUCGUAUAGUUGAUAUGAUUAGCAUAGGGAUGCUUACCACUGAAACUAUUCUCGACUCACGUGAUGAUCGGACUUGAGAUAGUGGAUUUGGAUCAUGUACCACUCAAAUGACUAGAGAGAUGUACUUUUUGAGUGGGAGUUCUUAAGUAAUAUGAUUAAUUGAACUAAUUGUCAUGAACAUAGUCUAAUGGUCUUUGCGAAUUACGAUGUAGCUUGCGCUAUAGCUCUACUGUUUUUUUAUGUUCCUAGAGAAAAUUUAGUUGAAAAUUGAUAGUAGCAACCUUUGCAGACUAAGUCUGUAAAACCGAGGAUUGUCCUCGUUGCUGCGCAGAAGGCUUAUGUCCUUAAUGCACCACUCGGUGUGCUGCACCUCGAGCGUCGUCUGUGGAUGCUGUGAACAUCCGACAUACACGUUUCUGAUGACUACACGAUAGUUCAGUGCAAAGUACUUAAUGGCUUAGAAGCAAGGCACCGAAAACGUUUUAAAACGUCACGGAACAUAAGUGAUGUUCUAAAGAGAUGAAAUUGUGAUUUCAUGCUUGUGCCCUUGUUAAGAGGUACGAGACCUCCAACAAGAUUCUUUGACCACAAAGUAAAGGAGAAAAGCUCAAUCGUUGAGCGUGUGCUCAAAUUAUCUGAGUACGACAAUCACUCGAAUCGAGUGGGAGCUAAUCUUCCAGAUGAGAUAGUGAUGGUUCUCCAAAAUCACUGCCACCAAGCUUUGAGAGCUUCAUGAUGAACUAUAACAUAUCAAGGAUAGAUACAAUGAUCCUUGAGCGAUUCGCGACGUUUGACACUGCGAAAGUAGAAAUCAAGAAGGAGCAUCAAUAGUUGAUGGUUUGAAAAACCACUAAGUUUCAAGAAAGGGGAGGGCUAGAAGGGAUACUUCGUGAAACGGCAAAACAGUUGCUGCGCUAAUGAAGAGACCCAAGAUUGAACCCAAACCCGAGACUAAGUGCUUCUGUAAUAAGGGGAACAGUCACUGAGGCGGAGCAACUCUAGAUACUUGGGAGAUAAGAAGGCUGGCAGAAGUCGAGAGAAGUAUAUUUGAUAUACAUAAUGUUGAUGUGUACUUUACUAGUACUCCUAGUAGCACGAGGGUAUUGGAUACCGGUUCGGUUGCUAAGUGAUUAGUAACGCGAAAUGAAAGCUACGGCAUAAGCGGAGACUAGCUAAAGGCGAGGUGACGAUACGUGUUGGAAGUGUUUCCAAGGUUGAUAUGAUCAAACGUCACACGCCCCCUCUACCAUCGGGAUUGGUGUUGAACCUAAAUAAUUGUUAUUUGGUGCUUGCGUUAAGCAUGAACAUGAUUGGAUCGUGUUUAUUGCAAUACGAUCAUUCAUUCAAAGAGAAUAAUGGUUACUCUAUUUGCUUGAAUAAUCACCUUCAAUGGUUUAUUGAAUCUCGAUUGUAGUGUUACACAUUGGUGCCAAAAGAUACGAGUUAAAUGAUGAUAGUACCACUUACUUGUGGCACUGCCGCUUGAGUCAUGUUAGUAUAUAAAUUGCAUGAAGAGGCUCCAUGCUGAUGGAUCUUUACUCACCUGAUUUCGAAUCACUAGUGACAUGCAAAUCAUACCACAUGAGCAAGGCCUUGUUUUCAUUGAGAUGAAACAAGAUAGUAACUUGUUGGAAGUGAUACAUUUUGAUGUAUGCAGUCCAGUGAGUGCUGAGGCACGCAGUGGAUAUCAUUAUGUUCUUACUUCACUGACGACUUGAGUAGAUACAGGAGUAUUUACUUAAUGAAUCACAAGUCUGAAAUAUUGAAAAGUUCAAUUCUGUUUCAGAGUGAAGUUCGUCGUAACAAGAGGAUAAACUGUCUACGAUAUGAUCAUAGAAAUGAAUAUCUGAGUUGCGAGUUUUUGGUACACAGUUAAGACAAUGUGGAAAUUGUUUCAGAGUUCGUGCCACCUGGAACAUCAUGGUGUGAUGAUGUGUCUGAACGUCAUAGCCACGCACUAUUUAGUAUGGUGCAUGCUGUGAUGUCUCUUAUCGAAUUACCACUAUCGUUUAUGGGUUAUGCAUUAGAGACAACCACAUUCACUUUAAAUAGGGCACCGCGUAUUUCCGUUGAGAUGACACAGUAUAGACUGAGGUUUAGAGAAAUCUAAACUGUCGUUUCUUGAAAGUUUGGGGCUUCGAAACUUAUGUGAAAAAGUUUCAGUCUGAUAAGCUCGAACCCAAAGCGGAUAAAUGCAUCUUCAUAGGAUAUCCAAAACAGUUGGGUACAUCUCCUAUCUCAGAUCCAAAAGCAAAGUGUUUGCUUCUAGAAACGGAUCCUUUCUCGAGAAAAGGUUUCUCUCGAAAGAAUUGAGUGGGAGGGUAGUAGAACUUGAUGAGGUUAUUAAAACCAUCACUUCAACCAGUGUGUAGCAGGGCAUAGGAAGUUGUUCCUGUGGCGCCUACACUAAUUGAAGUGGAAGCUGAUGAUGGUGAUCAUUGAGCUUCGAAUCAAGUUACUACAAACCUCGUAGGUCGACAAGGUCGCGUACUGCUGCAGAGUAGUACGGUAACCCUGUCUUGGAGGUCAUGUUGUUGAGAAACAGUGAACCUACGAGUUAUGGAGAAAGCGAUGGUGGGCCCAGAUUCCGACAAAUGGCUGGAAGCCAUGAAAUCCGAGAGAGGAUCCAUGUGUGAAAACAAAGUGAAUCACUAGCAGCGGUCAAAAUUUAUCCUUAGUAACAAAUGGACUAAGGAAUUUUUCUCGAUUAUGGAGGUGGUUAAAGAGUUCGUCGUAAAGGGUUACGUCGAUGCAAGCUUUGACACUAAUCUGAAUAACUAUGAGUAGUGAAACGGAUUCAUAUAGUAGAGUGGAUAUUUGGAGCAUUUUCGAAUAGCACGUAGUAGCAGCAUCUAUAAGAUGACAUAAAGAUUUGUAAAGAACGCACGGAUCUGAAAUUUUCAGAACCGUUGACUAAAACCUCUCUCACAAGCAAGACAUGAUCACACCCCAUAACUAUAUGGGUGUUGGAUUCGUUGGAAUCACAUGGUGAUGUGAACUAGAUUAUUGACUCUAGUGCAAGUGGGAGACUGUUGGAAAUAUGCCCNNNNNNNNNNNNNNNNNNNNNNNNNNNNNNNNNNNNNNNNNNNNNNNNNNNNNNNNNNNNNNNNNNNNNNNNNNNNNNNNNNNNNNNNNNNNNNNNNNNNCGUGUCCACGGUCAUGGACAACUUGAGCCGAAGGAACUGAAAUUAUCAGGAAUUCUCAACACCAUUAUAUAAACUUGAUCUGGGUAAUAUUGAUAACUUGGGUAUGAGAACUGGUUGGCGGAACCAUCUCAUUAACAACCAACAACGUAGUAAUAUUUUGCUUUUAGCCCCUCUUUUAUUGUAGGAGAAAACUUUGCUUUCCGCUAAAAAAACUUACAGCCCCACCUGCCAUAUAUGCAUAUAGUAUAGAUGAUAUUUUUAGCCCUCUCUUUUGUGACUUGCCGGCAUAUUCAAUACGCUGACCUACACGGCUGCAACGUCUUAUAUUGCAGAUAUUUUUCUUCGACGAGUAAGAGUACGAUUCAGGGUUACGGUCUACACUCAACUUGCCGUUGGUGUUUAUUGGGACUCCACUCCCUUGGCUGCUUCCGCUGAGAUAUUUAAGGUAUAUAUCAGUUUUACGCUAUUUUCGUGUGAUUGCACUUUGAUAUAUACAUUGAUGUACUGUGUGUGCCAGCAUACUGAUCCAGGGAUGGCACAGAUACACAGAGGCUUGACUCGUUUUGAGUCGGGUCGCUACAGAAAUGGUAUCAGAGCACAUGUUNNNNNNNNNNNNNNNNNNNNNNNNNNNNNNNNNNNNNNNNNNNNNNNNNNNNNNNNNNNNNNNNNNNNNNNNNNNNNNNNNNNNNNNNNNNNNNNNNNNNGCUCACCUAUGUGCACCAACAACUUAUGCUAAGCAAGAUAAACAACUAUGCGAUAGCAAGAUAUAUGACAAUAAACAAUAUGGCUAUCACAAAGUAAAGUGCAUAAGUAAAGGGUUCGGAUAAGAGAUAACCGAGGCACGCGGAGACGAUGAUGUAUCCUGAAGUUCACACCCUUGUGGAUGCUAAUCUCCGUUGGAUCAGUGUGGAGGCACAAUGCUCCCCAAGAUGCCACUAAGGCCACCAUAAUCUCCUCACGCUCUCGCACAAUGCAAGAUGCCGUGAUUCUACAAAGGGACCCUUGAGGGCGGUCACCGAACCCAUACAAAUGGCAAACCUUGGGGGCGGUCACCGAUACCCGUACAAAUUGCUCGGAGCAAUCUCCACAACCUAAUUGGAGACCCGGACGCUUGCCCGGAGCUUUACACCACAAUGAUUGAGCUCCGAGACACCACCAAGAUUCUAGGAUGCCAAUUCAUCCACGAAGAACAAUAUCUAGGGUACUAAGUACCAAAGGUAAUAAGCUUCUCAAACUUCACUUCCACGUAUCACCGUGGAGAACUCAAAUGAUGCAACUAAUGCAAUGGCAAGGGCACACGGAGUGCCCAAGUCCUUCUAUCCCAAAUCCCACCAAAGCAACUAAUGCUAGGGAGGAAAAUGAGAGGAAGAACGAAGAAGAACACGAAGAACUCCAAGAACUAGACCCAAGGGGUUCACCUCACUUAGAGGAGAAAGUGAUUGGUGGAAAUGUGGAUCUAGAUCUCCUCUCUCUUUUACCUCAAGAACUAGCAAGAAUCAUUGGAGGGAUUGAGAGUUAGCAAGCUCGAAGAAGGUCAACAAUGGGGGAAGAACACGAGCUAAAUAGAUAAGGCUCAAUGGGGAAGAAUACCACCUUUUAUAGGUGGGGGAAAAUCCAACCGUUAAGCCUCACAGCCCGCACAGAGCGGUACUACUGCUCGGUAGGUUCACCAACCAUGACGAGGCCAAAAAGUAUGCAAAAAACAGUCCGACGGAGCGGUACUACCGCUCCUGGAGCGGUAGUAACAAAUUACUACCUCUCCGGGGGCGGUACUACCGGUGGCACCACGAGCGGUACUACCGCUGGAUACUGAAACUGCUGUAACUUUCACAUACGGACUCCGAAUUCAACGAAACCAAGUUUGUUGGACAGCUAACGACAUGGGAUAACACAAUAUUGAUAGAAAUAUCAAUAGGAAGCAAGUGAGAAAAGCCCCAUAAGAAAAUGGUGAGAAACCUUCUUGGAAUAAGACCGGUAAAAACUCCCAACAUCGAAAACAUCAUAGAAGAUGCACAUGGAAUCCGUUUUCGAUGAACUCAAGCUUGUCAUGAAGAUGAACAUAAGCUCUAAAACUCACAAAGAGAAACACCAAACAAUAACCAAUAAGUAUGAUGCAAGGAUGCAAAUGGUUUGAGCUCUCAACGAAUGAUACGAUCAAGCUACUCACUUGAGAGCCCCCCUUGACAGUACGACAAUCUAUCCUAAAAGAGAAAACCUAUCAAGGGCAAACCUAUACCUUGCACCUCGUCCUCUUGAGCUAGAUGACGAUGAUCUUGGCUUCCUCAAGAUGGACCACCUUUCUUGCUUGCGUUGGCUUGAUGAAGAGUAGUUGAUUGCUCCCCCAUACACAAUAUGGGUGAGCCGCUCUUCACCAUAUCUUCACAAGUCCAUUGCCACCAUCCUCCAUCACUUGACGUCAUCCUCCAUGGGUUGUAUGAGAUAUUACUCUUGCUUGCGUUGGCUUGAUGAAGACUAGUUGAUUGCUCCCCCAUACACACUAUGGGUGAGCCGCUCUUCAGCAUAUCUUCACAAGUCCAUUGCCACCAUCCUCCANNNNNNNNNNNNNNNNNNNNNNNNNNNNNNNNNNNNNNNNNNNNNNNNNNNNNNNNNNNNNNNNNNNNNNNNNNNNNNNNNNNNNNNNNNNNNNNNNNNNGCAUAGCAUCAUCAGGCAUAGUAUCAAGCAUAGCAUCANNNNNNNNNNNNNNNNNNNNNNNNNNNNNNNNNNNNNNNNNNNNNNNNNNNNNNNNNNNNNNNNNNNNNNNNNNNNNNNNNNNNNNNNNNNNNNNNNNNNNNNNNNNNNNNNNNNNNNNNNNNNNNNNNNNNNNNNNNNNNNNNNNNNNNNNNNNNNNNNNNNNNNNNNNNNNNNAUCAUCAAGCACAGGCGACAUAUCAAUACUUCUAGCAGGAGGCGAUGUCAAAAACUUACUCAUAACUGAAGGUGAAUCAAGUGCAGAGCUAGAUGGCAGUUCCUUACCUGUCCUCGUAGUGGAAGGAAAGACCUUAGUUCUUGGAUCUAUCGGAUUCCUCAUAGUGAUCAGCAGACGUCAAUCCCAAGUGACUCAUAGAAUAUAGUUGUGCCUCCCCGACAACGGCGCCAGAAAAUAGUCUUGAUAACCCACAAGUGUAGGGGAUCGCAACAGUUUUCGAGGGUAGAGUAUUCAACCCAAAUUUGUUGAUUUGCCUCAAGGGGAAGCGAAAGAAUAUUCUCAAGUAUUAGCAGCUGAGUUUGUCAGAUUCAACCGCACCUGAAAGAUUAGUGUCUGCAAGCAAAGUAUCAGUAGCAAAGUAGUAUGAUAGCAACGGUGUCAGAAACGAUCUGUUGACGGCAGACUAUUCCUAACUAUUGUAUCAAUGGCGCCAGCAAGUUGCACAUGGACGGGGAACUAUUCUUCCCCGGCAAUGGUGUCGGAAAAGGGUCUUGCAACAAGUAACAGCAAAGUAGCAAGGAACAGCAGUAGUGACAACAGCAGCAAGUAACAGCAGAGUGACAGCAGUAGCGACAAAGUGGCCCAAUCCCUUUGUAGCAAGGGACAAGCCUGGACAAAGUAACGUAACAAGAACCAGUAGUAAAAAACUCGUAGGCAGUGGAUCGAUGAUGGAUGAGUAUGACGGAUAUGAUUCAUCAUGUAACAGCUAUAACANNNNNNNNNNAAGCAGCAGCCACUAACAGCAGAGUGACAUCAGUAGCGACAAAGUGGCCCAAUCCCUUUGUAGCAAGGGACAAGCCUGGACAAAGUAAUGUAAGAAGAACCAAUAGUAAAAGACUCGUAGGCAGUGGAUCGGUGAUGGAUGAGUAUGACGGAUAUGAUUCAUCAUGUAACAGCUAUAACACGGAGAGACAUGUAACUAGCUCCCGUUCGACAAUCUAAUGUAGGCAUGUAUUCCGUAUGUAGUCAUACGUGCUUAGGGAAAAGAACUUGCAUGACAUCUAUUGUCUCCCGUGGCAGCGGGGUCCUAAUGGAAACUACGGGAUAUUAAGGUUCUCCUUUUAAUAAAGAACCGGACCAACGCAUUAACACUUGGUGAAUACAUGAACGCCUCAUACUAUGGUCAUCUCCGGGAGUGGUUCCGGCUAUUGUCACUCCGGGGUUGCCGGGUCAUAACACAUAGUNNNNNNNNNNUGGACCAAUGCAUUAACACUUGGUGAAUACAUGAACUCCUCAUACUAUGGUCAUCUCCGGGACUGGUUCCGGCUAUUGUCACUCCGGGGUUGCCGGGUCAUAACACAUAGUAGGUGACUACAACUUGCAAGAUAGGAUCUAAAACACACAUAUAUUGGCGACAACAUAAUAGGUUCAGAUCUGAAAUCAUGGCACUCGGGCCCUAGUGACAAGCAUUAAGCAUGGCAAAGUAGUNNNNNNNNNNNNNNNNNNNNNNNNNNNNNNNNNNNNNNNNNNNNNNNNNNNNNNNNNNNNNNNNNNNNNNNNNNNNNNNNNNNNNNNNNNNNNNNNNNNNUAAGAUCUUCAGAGCAUAUGUAGGAUCCAAUAUGGGCAUCCAGGUCCCGCUAUUGGAUAUUGACCGAGGAGUGUCUUGGGUCAUGUCUGCAUAGUUCUCGAACCCGCAGGGUCUGCACACUUAAGGUUCGAUGAUGUUUUAGUAUUGUUAAGUUAUAUGGGUGGUUACCGAAUGUUGUUCGGAGUCCCGGAUGANNNNNNNNNNAAGGUUCAAUCGAUAAGAUCUUUGGAGAAUAUGUAGGAUCCAAUAUGGGCAUCCAAGUCCCGCUAUUGGAUAUUGACCGAGGAGUGUCUCUAGUCAUGUCUGCAUAGUUCUCGAACCCGUAGGGUCUGCACACUUAAGGUUCGAUGAUGUUUUAGUACAGUUAAGUUAUAUGGGUGGUUACCGAAUGUUGUUCGGAGUCCCGGAUGAGAUCAUGGACGUCACGAGGGUUUCCGUAAUGGUCCGGAAACGAAGAUUGAUAUAUAGGAUGGUUUCAUUUGGUCACCGGAAAGUUUCACGCAAUUCCGGCAGUGAACCCGGAGUGACGAAUGGGUUCCGGGUGUUUACCGGGAGGGGCCCACCCACCCGGGAGUGAGCCCAAGGCCCUAGGGUGGCUCCACAAGUCCUUAUUGGGCUGGUGGAGUCAGCCCAAGAGGGCUAUGGCNNNNNNNNNNNNNNNNNNNNNNNNNNNNNNNNNNNNNNNNNNNNNNNNNNNNNNNNNNNNNNNNNNNNNNNNNNNNNNNNNNNNNNNNNNNNNNNNNNNNAAAUUGUUGUUGCUUGAUAACUCGAUCACAUCAUUAGGAGAAUCAUGUGAUGGACUAGACCCAAACUAUGAAUGUAUCAUAUUGAUCGUGUUGUUUUAUUGCUAUUGUUUUCUGUGUGUCAAGUAUUAUUCCUAUGACCAUGAGAUCAUAUAACUCACUGCCACCGGAGGAAUACCUUAUGUGCAUCAAACGUCGCAACGUAACUGGGUGACUAUAAAGGUGUUCUAUAGGUAUCUUCGAAGGUGUCCGUUGAGUUAGUAUGGAUCAAGACUGGGAUUUGUCAUUCUGUGUGACGGAGAGGUAUCUUGGGGCCCACUCGGUAAUACAACAUCACACACAAGCCUUGCAAGCAAUGUGACUAAGUGUAAGUCACGGGAUCUUGUAUUACGAAAUUAGUAAAGAGACUUGCCGGUAACGAGAUUGAAAUAGGUAUGCGUAUAUCGGCGAUCGAAUCUCGGGCAAGUAACAUACUGAAGGACAAAGGGAAUGACAUACGGGAUUAUAUGAAUCCUUGGCACUGAGGUUCAACCGAUAAGAUCUUCAGAGCAUAUGUAGGAUCCAAUAUGGGCAUCCAGGUCCCNNNNNNNNNNCCGAAGGUGUCCGUUGAGUUAGUAUGGAUCAAGACUGGGAUUUGUCACUCUGUGUGACGGAGAGGUAUCUCGGGGCCCACUCGGUAAUACAACAUCACACACAAGCCUUGCAAGCAAUGUGACUAAGUGUAAGUCACGGGAUCUUGUAUUACGGAAUGAGUAAAGAGACUUGCCGGUAACGAGAUUGAAAUAGGUAUGCGGAUACCGAUGAUCGAAUCACGGGCAAGUAACAUACUGAAGGACAAAGGGAAUGACAUACGGGAUUAUNNNNNNNNNNUUUAUGCGUAUUUGAGUUAUAUGGUUGGUUACCGAAUGUUGUUCGGAGUCCCGGAUGAGAUCACGGACGUCACGAGAGUUUCCGGAAUGGUCAGGAAACGAAGAUUGAUAUAUAGGAUGACCUCAUUUGAUUAACGGAAGGUUUUCGGAGUUACCGGGAAUGUACCGGGAAUGACGAAUGGGNNNNNNNNNNCUCUCGGGUUAUGUCUCCAUAGUUCUCGAACCCGCAGGGUCUGCACACUUAAGGUUCGACGUUGUNNNNNNNNNNNNNNNNNNNNNNNNNNNNNNNNNNNNNNNNNNNNNNNNNNNNNNNNNNNNNNNNNNNNNNNNNNNNNNNNNNNNNNNNNNNNNNNNNNNNNNNNNNNNNNNNNNNNNNNNNNNNNNNNNNNNNNNNNNNNNNNNNNNNNNNNNAGAUGAGAUCACGGACGUCACGAGGGUUUCCGGAAUGGUCCGGAAAUGAAGAUUGAUAUAUAGGAUGACCUCAUUUGAUUACCGGAAGGUUUUCGGAGUUACCGGGAAUGUACCGGGAAUGACGAAUGGGUUCUGGGAGUUCACCGGGUGGGGCAACCCACCCCGGGGAAGCCCAUAGGCCUUGAGGGUGGCGCACCAGCCCUUAGUGGGCUGGUGGGACAGCCCAAAAGGGCCCUAUGCACAUUAGAAGAAAAAUCAAAGAGAAAAGAAAAAAAAGGGAGGUGGGAAAGGAAAGAAGGACUCCACCCACCAAACCAAGUAGGACUCGGUUUGGGGGGGNNNNNNNNNNNNNNNNNNNNNNNNNNNNNNNNNNNNNNNNNNNNNNNNNNNNNNNNNNNNNNNNNNNNNNNNNNNNNNNNNNNNNNNNNNNNNNNNNNNNUAGGGCGAAUUCAAUUGCGUCGGAUUCGUAUCAAAGUAAUCUUUCCGUUUGUAUCAUUAGUUUUAACUUUUCAACUUAUAAUUUUGAUCAAAUCAGAUUUAUCUAUUAGUGCCCAAAAGUGUUCACAUCGUUUUAAGCCGAUUAAAUGUUAUAUUGAAGUGUUUGUAUCUUUUGAUCCGCUAUUUCAAAUCUAGUAAUUCUUUUUUCUACACGCUCAUAUUGAUCUACUAUAUCCAAUAGCAUCAUUAGUUUCGACCUUCGAACCUUACAAAUUUGAGCGAUUCAAAUUUGUAUUCGAACAUUCAUUUGAUCUUAUCUUGCAAAUCUCACCACCCUUUUCAAUUGAUUCAUUUCACCCCUAAACACUCAUGUCAUAUAUUUUUGUACAUAACCAUCGUACUUCAGUUCAACUUCUCUUGACCUUUUUAAUGCAAAUUUAAUUCAUAUUUCAAUUCGCUAUAACUUGCGUUGUAGUGCUCCAUUUCAAGAAAUUCUUUCUACAAAUAAAUUCUUAUGUCUUAUACUAUUUGUCAAACAACAUUCAUGUUGUUCUCCCAAUAUUUUUGAUCAUCUCCCAUAGUGUAUGCAAGUCGAGCUUAUAUAGAAAUGGUUCCUCGUCCAUUAACUCUUUUGAUCUCAUUCAUGCCCCUUCACUUUACAACACACUUAGGACCUUUUUAUUAAACCUUAGUACGUUGUUACUUUGCACCAAGACAUGCUUUGUUCUUAUGUUCUCUUGGUUCUUCCUUUUUGGCUUGAAUGUUUAUUGAAUGCUAUUCAUUUACGAUAGAUUGCUCGGAGUGUGGCGAGUAGAAUUAUCAGGAUUAUGGGAGCGACUAUCUUCAUCAAGUAAUACCAGGCAAGUCACUUUGAUCAUACUAUCACCUAUGUUUUAUGCAUCGUAGUUCUACCAUCCUAUGCCCAAUUGCAUGCUGAGUAGGUACUUGAAAAUUAUGGUUACAUAUUGUAGUAUCAUGUGGUAGGCACCCAACAACCCCGUUACUUGGCCCGGGACGACAAAUUUCAUAUUGCUAUGCUUGAGUAGAUGGGAUUUCGGUUGAGUGCAUAACACGAGUGAUGCGAGGUUGAUUAAAUAAUCAAGACCGGUUAAGACAAGAUUUUCAAGACCUCGGACGCAAUGCAACUCUGGGUGAAGGACGGUUGAUCGGCUCCCUGGAGAACCCAGUGGAUGACCCGGGAUGCUAGAGAGGCCAUGACAUACUGCGGAAAGCUUCACCCAGGCUCAAAGAGACGGACGGAUAUUUUCAAGACCCAAGGCUUACCUGCACAGCCACAAGUCAUUAUGGGCUCUGGCUUGGUUGGACAACGCGGCGACUCUGGACAGGCGGUGCCAGCUGAUGUAGAAGAACGGUAGGAUUGGAUGGGCACCGACAGGGAUUCAGAGGGACCCCUUGAAAGACCAUGUUUUGAUCAUCCGGUCUUCAAACAUCCUGAAGUGCGAGGACAUACACGGAGGCGAUCAAAUCUUGUGGGGAACGUGUGCAAAACUCUGCAGAGUACUCAAACCCAAUCGAUUAGCCGUGUCCACGGUCAUGGACAACUUGAGCCAAAGGAACUGAAGUUAUCUGAAAUUCUCAACACAAAUAAUAAUAUUGAUGUGGGAAUUAUUAACAACAUGGGUACGAGAAUUGGUUGGUGGAACCUUCUCGUUAACAACCAACAAUGUAGUAACAUUUUUCUUUUAGCCCUCUCUUGAUGUAGGAGAAAACUUGCUUUUCGCAAAAAUCUUAUAGCCCCACCUGCCAUAUAUGCAUAUAGUAUAGAUGAUUACUUUCCACCCCUCUCUUAUGUGACUUGCCGGCAUAUUCAAUAUGCUGACCUACACGGCUGCAACGUCUUAUGUUGCAGAUAUUUUUCUUCGACGAGUAAGAGUACGAUUCAGGGUUACGGUCUACACUCAACUUGCCGUUGGUGUUUAUUGGGACUCCACUCCCUUGACUGCUUCCGCUGAGAUAUUUAAGGUAUAUAUCAGUUUUACGCUAUUUACAUGUGAUUGCACUUUGAUAUAUACAUUGAUGUACUGUGUAUGCCAGCAUACUGAUCCAGGGAUGGCACAGAUACACAGAGGCUUGACUCAUUUUGAGUCGGGUCGCUACAAAAAUCAACAUGGAUGAAACUUUGAAAGCUAUGCGUGUUUCCAUGAUUGAGAGCCAAGAAAGAACCGCCCAAAUUCAUGCUAGACAUGAAUGGCUUAAAAAGGCGUGUUCCCGUGAUGAGAAUCACGAAGAUCUUAAAGUGCUUGGUGUGACUCCCAUUGAAUCUUUGUUUUCUUGUGUCAAACCUAAUGAUUAUGGGGCUGGAUAUGAAUCCACUUUGGUUGAAAAGUGCCCCAAGGAUUCGGAGUCCAUCUAUCUUGAUGCUAAAAGCAUUAAAAGUAGAGUAGAAGACGUUAAAACUUUCAGUAGUAAUGAAAUUACUACCGUGGAUUUCAAGGAAUUCAAUUAUGAUAGUUGCUCCUUGAUUGAAUGCAUAUCUUUGACGCAAUCCAUGUUGAACUCUCCACACGCUUAUAGCCAAAACAAAGCCUUUACCGAUCAUAUCGUCAAAGCUAUGAUAAAAGCUCUUGAAUAGAAACUUCAAUUGGAAGUCUCUAUCCCUAAAAGCUUCAUGAUGAGUGGGAACCUACCAUUAAAAUCAAAAUCAAUAACUAUGAGUGCAAUGCUUUGUGUGAUUUGCGUGCUAGUGUUUCUGCGAUUCCAAAGUCUUUAUGUGAUAUUCCAGGUUUUAAUGAGAUUGAAGAGUGUUCUUUUAAUUUGCAUCUUGAUGAUUCUACUAUCAAGAAACCCAUGGGAAGGAACAAUGAUGUUCUUAUUAUUGCAAAUAGGAACUAUGUACCCGUGGAUUUCAUUGUGCUUGACAUUGAUUGCAAUCAUACAUGCCUUAUUAUUCUUGUUAGACCUUUCCUAAGGACUAUUGGUGCUAUCAUCGAUAUGAAGGAAGGGAAUAUUAGAUUUCAAUUUCCUUUAAGGAAGGCAUGGAACACGUUCCUAGAAAGAAAAUAAGAUAGCCUUAUGAAUCCAUGAUGAGGGCUACUUAUGGUUUGAGCACCAAAGACGACGAUACGUGAUUCUAUCGCUCCUAUGCCUAGCUAAGGGCGUUAAACAAUAGCAUUUGUUGGGAGCCAACCCAAUGAAUUUAUCUUUUUAUUUCUGUUUUGUUGCGUCCACACUUUCAUAAUUCUGUUAUGAUUGUGUUUUUUGUGUUUCUUUUUGUACUUGAGCCAAGCAAAACCUUUAUGACUAGUCUUGGUAAUGGUUGUUUGAUCCUGCUGGAAAAAGACAAAAACUUUUCGCUCACGAGAUGAUUUUUCAUUUUAAUUCAGAAAGAGAUUUUGAGUUGAUUCUUUUUGCUGCUGAUUGAUAUGCGUUUUCCCCAGACCGUCCUAAUUGUUCAGAUUUUUUGAGGUACCAGAAGUAUAGGAAGUAUACAGAUUGCUACAGACUGGUUUGUUUUUGACAGAUUCUGUUUUUGUUGAGUUGGUUGCUUGUUUUGAUGAAACUAUGGUUAGUAUCGGGGGGUACUAGCCAUGGAAAAGUGAGAAUACAGUAGCCCAUCAUCAAUAUGGAUGGAAUUUAAGUUUGCUACAGUACCCAAAGAAGUGGUAGUUUGUUUUCUUGUACUAAUGUUAGCACAAACUUAUGUUUAAGUUUUGUGUUGUGAAGUUUUCAAGUUUUGGGUGACGUUCUCAUGGACAAAAAGAUAAGGAGUGGAAAGAGCUCAAGCUUGGGGAUUCCAAGCCAAAUUCAAGGACACCAAAAAAUCCUAAGCUUGGGGAUGCCCCGGGAAGGCAUCCCCUCUUUCGUCUUCAAUCCAUCGGUAACAUUACUUGGAGCUAUAUUUUUAUUCACCACAUGAUAUGUGGUUUGCUUGGAGUGUCUUGUAUCUUAGGAGUCUUUUAUUUUUGUUGUGUCACAAUCAUCCUUGCUGCACACCUUUUUGAGAGAGAGAGAGACAUGCACUCAUCGUGAUUUUGCUAGAAUGCUCAUAGUGCUUCACUUAUAUCUUUUGAGCUAGAUACUUUUGCUCUUGUGCUUCACUUAUAUCUUUAGAUCACGGCAGUGCGUGAUUAGAUAGUUGGCUUAUGCUAUGAAAGUAGUCCCAAAUGUGCUAGGUACCCAAAGAGGAUGCAAAAACCUCCAUCUUCAUGUGCAUUGAAUAGAAAGAGAAGUUUUGAUUCCUCUCAAUUAGUUUUGAGACGUGGAUUCGGUAAUAUUGAGAGUUAUGUUAGUAGGGUGUUGUGAAUCUAGAAAUACUUGUGUUGAAGUCAGUGAUUCCCGUAGCAUGCACGUAUGGUGAAGCGCUAUGUUAGUAAGUCGGAGCAUAAUUGAUCUAUUGAUUGUCAUCCUUUGUGUUGAGGUCGGGAUCGCGCGAUGGUUUACACCUACCAACCCUUCCCCUCGGAGUAUGCGUUUAGCACUUUGUUUCGAUUACUAAUAAAAACUUUCGCAAUAAGCAUAAUUGAUCUAUUGAUUGUCAAGAGACUCUAAUAGUCCAUCAGUAUGGAGCUUCUUCAUGAGCUUAAUGCCGAUAUGACCAAGGCGGCAGUGCCAAAAGUUUGUGGGACUAUCAUUAUCAACUUUACAUCUUUUGGUACUCACACUAUGAAUAUGUGUAACAUCAUGAUCGAGAUUCAUCAAGAAUAAACCAUUCACCAGCGGAGCAUGACCAUAAAACAUAUCACUCGUAUAAAUAGAACAACCAUUAUUCUCUGACUUAAAUGAGUAGCCGUCUCGCAUUAAGCAAGACCCUGAUACAAUGUUCAUGCUUAAAGCUGGUACUAAAUAACAAUUAUUAAGGUUUAAACCUAAUCCCGAUGGUAGAUGUAGAGGUAGCGUGCCGACGGCGAUCACAUCGACCUUUGAACCAUUCCCGACGCGCAUCGUCACCUCGUCCUUGGCCAGUCUUCGCUUAUUCCGCAGUUCCUGCUUUGAGUUGCAAAUGUGAGCAACAGCACCGGUAUCAAAUACCUAGGAGCUACUACGAGCGCUAGUAAGGUACACAUCAAUAACAUGUGUAUCACAUAUACCUUUAAUGUUGCCGGCCUUCUUGUCCUCUAAGUAUUUGGGGCAGUUCCGCUUCCAGUGACCUUUUCCCUUCCAAUAGAAGCACUCAGUCUCAGGCUUGGGUCCAUUCUUUUUCUUCUUCCCGGCAUCUGGCUUACCGGGCGCGGCAACAGCCUUGCCGUCUUUCUUGAAGUUCUUCUUACCCUUGCCUUUCUUGAAACUAGGGGUCUUGUUGACCAUCAACACUUGAUGCUCUUUCUUGAUUUCUACUUCUGCAGAUUUGAGCAUCGAGUACAACUCGGGAAUGGUCUUCUCCAUCCCUUGCAUGUUGUAGUUAAGCACAAAGCCUUUGUAGCUUGGUGGGAGAGACUGGAGCAUUCUGUCAAUUAUAGCAUCAUCCGGAAGUUCGACUCCAAGUGAAGUCAGACGACCGUGUAACCCAGACAUUUUGAGUAUGUGCUCACUGACAGAACUGUUCUCCUCCAUCUUAUAGCUAAAGAACUUGUCGGAGACUUCAUAUCUCUCGACAUGGGCAUGAGCUUGAAAAACUAGCUUCAGCUCCUGGAACAUCUCAUAUGCCCCGUGUUGCUCAAAACGCCUUUGGAGCCCCGUUCCUAAACUGUAUAACAUGCCACACCUAACCAGAGAGUAGUCAUCACUCCGCGUUUGCCAGACGUUCAGAAUGUCCUGGGCUGCUGCGGGAGCGGGAGGGUCACCUAGCGGCGCAUCAAGGACAUAAGCCUUUUUAGCUGCUUCAAGGAUGAGCUUCAAGUUGCGAACCCAGUCCGCAUAGUUGCUACCAUCAUCUUUCAGCUUGUUUUUCUCUAGGAAUGCUUUGAAAUUGAGGUUGACGUUGGCCAUCUACAAUAUUUAUAAAGACAACUUUUAGACUAAGUUCAUGACAAUUAAGUUCAUUUAAUCAAAUUAAGUAUGAACUCCCACUUAAAUCGACAUCCCUCUAGUCAUCUAAGCGAUACAUGAUCCAUGUUGACUAACCCAUGUCCGAUCAUCACGUGAGACGGACUAGUCACCAUGGUGAGCAACUGCAUGAUGAUCAUAUUCAACCAUACGACUCAUGUUCGACCUUUCGGUCUCUUGUAUUCGUGGUCAUGUCUGUACAUGCUAAGCUCGUCGAGUCAACCUAGGUGUUUCGCGUGUGUAAAUCUGGCUUACACCCGUUGUAUGCGAACGUUAGAAUCUAUCACACCCGAUCAUCAUGUGGUGCUUCGAGACAACGAACCUUCGCAACGGUGCACACUUAGGGGAAUACGUUCUAGAAAUUUUAAGAGGGAUCAUCUUAUUAUUCUACCGUCGUUCUAAGCAAUAAGAUGUAAAACAUGAUAAACAUCACAAUGCAAUCAUAUAGUGACAUGAUAUGGCCAUUAUCAUCUUUGCUCUUUCGAUCUCCAUCUUCAGGCAUCGCAUGAUCAUCAUCGUCACCGGCGUGACACCAUGAUCUCCAUCAUCAUGAUCUCCAUCAUCGUGUCUCCAUGAAGUCGUCACGCCAACCACUACUAUCACUACUACUAUAGCUAACCGUUAGCAAUGAAGUAAAAGUAGUAAGCACAUGGCGUUGCAUCUCAUACAAUAAAUUAAGACAACUCCUAUGGCUCCUGCCGGUUGUCAUACUCAUCGACAUGCAAGUCGUGAAACCAAUUACAAUAACAUGAUCAUCUCAUACAUCAUACAUGCAACAUCACAACUUUGGCCAUAUCACAUCACAUGUCAAACCCUGCAAAAACAAGUUAGACGUCCUCUAAUUGUUGUUGCAAGUUUUACGUGGCUGAUUUGGGUUUCUAGCAAGAACGCCUUCUUACCUACGUGACAACCACAACGAUGAUAUGCCAAAUCUAUUUACCCUUCAGAAGGACCCUUUUCAUCAAAUCCAAUCCGACUAGAGUAGGAGAGACAGACACCCGCUAGCCACCUUUAUGCACGGUGUGCAUGUCUGUCGGUGGAACCAGUCUCACGUAAGCGUACGUGUAAAGUCGGUCCGGGCCGCUUCAUCCCACAAUACCGCCGGAAAAGAAUAAGACUAGUAGCGGCAAGCAAAUUGACAAAUCAUCGCCCACAACUUUUGUGUUCUACUCGUGCAUGGAAUCUACGCAUAGAAAACCUGGCUCGGAUGCCACUGUUGGGUAACGUAGCAUAAAUUCAAAAAUUUCCUACGUAUAUUCAGAUCUUCCUAUGGAGAGACCAGAAACGAGAGAGGGGUAAGAGCAUCUUCAUACCUUUGAAGAUCGCUAAGCGGAAGCGUUGCUAGAACACGGUUGAUGGAGUCGUACUCGCAGCGAUUCUGAUCUAGUGCCGAACUACGGCACCUCCUCGUUCAACACACGUGCAGCCCGGUGACGUCUCCCACACCUUGAUCCAGCAAGGAGGAGGGAGAGGUUGGGGAAGAACUCCAGCAGCACGACGGCGUGGUGUCGAUGGAGAGACGAGGUCUCCCGGCAGGGCUUCGCCAAGCACCGGCAGAGAGGAGGAGGAAGAGGGGCAGGGCUGCGCCAAGAGAGAGGGAAAACCGUGUGUCUCAAUGGCCAAAACCCCUCUAUAUUUAUAGGAGGAGGGGGAGGGGGUGCGCCACCCCUAGGGUUCCCCCUAGGUGGUGCGGCGGCCACCAGAUGGGAGGGGGGCGGCGGCUAGGGUAGGGAAAAGGGGGGCGCACCCUAGGUGGGCCUUGGGCCUCACCUGCGCCUAGGGUUUCCCUCCUCCCCUUUCUCUGGUGCGCAUGGCCUGGGUGGGGGGCGCACCAGCCCACCUAGGGGCUGGUCCCCACUUAGCCCAUUUAGCCUCCCGGGGUCGUUGCCCCCCUUCGGUGGUCCCCCGGGGCCACCUCCGGUGGUCCCGGUACAUUAUCGGUGACGCCCGAAACACUUCCGGUGUCCAAAACCAUCCGUCCUAUAUAUCAAUCUUUACCUCCGGACCAUUCCGGAGCUCCUCGUGACGUCCGAGAUCUCAUCCGGGACUCCGAAAAACUUUCGGUAACCUCGUAUAACAAUUCCCUAUAACCCUAGCGUCAUCGAACCUUAAGUGUGUAGACCCUACGGGUUCGGGAGACAGGCAGACAUGACCGACACACCUCACUGGCCAAUAACCAUCAGCAGGGUCUGGAUACCCAUGGUGGCUCCCACUUGCUCCACGAUGAUCUCAUCAGAUGAACCACAAUGUCAAGGAUCCAAUCAAUCCCGUAUACGAUUCCCUUUGUCUGUCGGUAUACCUAUACCUUGUUCAAUCUCGUUACCGGUAAGUCUCUUUACUCGUUCCAUAGCACGUCAUCGUGUGACUAACUCCUUAGUCACAUUGAGCUCAUGAUGAUGUUCUACUGAGUGGGCCCAGAGAUACCUCUCCGUCACACGGAGUGACAAAUCCCGAUCUCGAUUCGUACCAACCCAACAGACACUUUCGGAGGUACCCGUAGUGCACCUUUAUACUCACCCAGUUACGUUGUGACGUUUGAUACACCCAAAGCACUCCUACGGUAUCCGGGAGUUGCACAAUCUCACGGUCGAAGGAAAAGAUACUUGACAUUAGAAAAGCUUUAGCAUACGAACAAUACGAUCUAGUGCUAUGCUUAGGAUUGGGUCUUGUCCAUCACAUAAUUCUCCUAAUGAUGUGAUCCCGUUAUCAACGACAUCUAAUGCCCAUGAUCAGGAAACCAUGAUCAUCUAUUGACUAACGAGCUAGCCAACUAGAGGCUUGCUAGGGACACAUUGUGAGAUAUUUAUUCACACAUGUAUUACUGUUUCCUGUUAAUACAAUUAUAGCAUGAACAAUAGACGAUUAUCAUGAACAAGGAAAUAUGAUAAUAACCAUUUUAUUAUUGCCUCUAGGGCAUAUUUCCAACAACCAUGACCUCUCGGGUCCAUAGUAACUAGAUGGCUUCUUCUGUCUCUUGGAUCUUCAAUACAAAGUUCUCCAUGAUCUUCAUGGAGAUCUAUCCGAUGUAAUAUUCUUUUGUGUUGUGUUUGUCGAGAUCCAAUGAAUUGUGGAUUUAUGAUCAGAUUAUCUAUGAAUCUUAUUUGAGUUUCUUCUGAUCUCUCGUAUGGAUGAUUUCAUAUCCUUGUAAUUCUCUUCGAGUUGUGGGUUUUGUUUGGCCAACUAGAUCUAUGAUUCUUGCAAUGGGGGAAGUGCUUGGUUUUGGGUUCAUACCGUGCGGUGACCUCACCCAGUGACAGAAGGGGUAGCGAGGCACGUAUCGUGUUGUUUCCAUCAGGGGUAAAAAGAUGGGGUUUUCAUCAGUGGUUUGAGAUUAUCCCUCUACAUCAUGUAAUCUUGCUUAAAGCAUUACUAUGUUCGUCAUGAACUCAAUACACUAGAUGCAUGCUGGAUAGCGGUCGAUGUGUCGAGUAAUAGUAGUAGAUGCAGAAAGUAUCGGUCUACUUGUCUCGGACGUGAUGCCUAUAUGUAUGAUCAUUGCCUUAAAUAUCGUCAUGACUUUGCGCGGUUCUAUCAAUUGCUCGACACUAAUUUUUUCACCCACCGUGAUAUUUGCUAUUAUGAGAGAAGCCUCUAGUGAACACUAUGGCCCCCAGGGUCUACUCCAUACCAUAUUUUCAGCCUUACACUUUUUACUUCGUUGCACUUUCCGCCUUCAGAUCUCACUUUGCAAACAAUCUUGAAGGGAUUGACAACCCCUUUGAAGCGUUGGGUGCAAGCUUGUUUGUGUUUGCGCGGGUACUUUGGACUUGACGAGGCCCUCCUUCUGGAUCGAUACCUUGGUUCUCAAACUGAGGAAAAUACUUACUGCUCCUGUGCUGCAUCACCCUUUCCUCUUCAAGGGAAAAACCAACGCAAACCAGAGACAUAACAAGAAGAAUUCCUACGCGCUGCUACUGCGACAACAGACCUUCCCUGGCAACGGCGCCAGGAAUCCUUCUGUCACGGGCUACGCCUAUAGGGACUUCGUUGGCAAAUGUGCAAAGGAUUUCUUCACGGCCUUGGAGCCUUGCGUUGGUGUUCCCUUGAAGAGGAAAGGGUGAUGUAGCACAGCGGCGGUAAGUAUUUCCCUCAGUUUGAGAACCAAGGUAUCGAUCCAGUGGGAGGCUCGCAUCAAGUCACAAGUACCUGCACAAACACAAAGAGCUUGCACCCAAUGCUAUGAAGGGGUUGUCAAUCCCUUAUAGAUUUUUUGCAAAGUGGGAACUGAAAGCAAAAGGUAAACAAAGCAAAGUAAAAGUGAAAUUGGAGACAAUAGUUGUGAAUAGACCCGGUGGCCGUAGUGUUCACUAGACGGUGGGUGAACGAAUUAGUGUCGAGCAAUUGAUAGAACCGUGCAAAGUCAUGACGUUAUCUAUGGCGAUGAUUAUAUCUAUAGGCCUCAUGUCCAAAACAAGUAGACCGAUACUUUCUGGAUCUACUACUAUUACUCCACACCUCGACCGCUAUCCAGCAUGCAUCUAGUGUAUUAAGUUCAUAAGAACAGAGUAACGCAUUAAGCAAGAUAACAUGAUGUAGAUGGACAAUCUCAUAUCUAUGAUAAAAUCCCAUCUUGUUACCCUUGAUGGCAAAAACAUGAUGCAUGCCUUGCUACCCCUUCUGUCACUCGGAAAGGUCACCGCACGGUAUGAACCCAAAACCAAGCACUUCUCCCAUUGCAAGAAUCAUAGAUCUAGUUGGCCAAACAAAACCCAAGACUCGGAGAGACUUACAAGGAUAUCAAAUCAUGCAUAUAAGAAAUCAACAAAGACUCAAAUAUAAUUCAUAGAUAAUCUGAUCAUAAGUCCACAAUUCAUCGGAUCUCGAAAAACACACCGCCAAAGAGGAUUACAUCGGAUAGACCUCCAUGAAGAUCAUGGAGAACUUUGUAUUGAAGAUCCAAGAGACAGAAGAAGCCAUCUAGCUACUAACUACAGACCCGUAGGUCUGAAGUGGACUACUCACGAGUCAUUCGAGAGGUGAUGAUGUUCAUGUAGAAGCCCUCCAACUCCAAAGUCCCCUCCGGCAGGGCACCGGGAAGGGUCUCCAGAUGAGAUCUCGCGGAAACGGAAGCUUGUGGCGGCGGAAAAGUGUUUUCGGGGAUGCCCUGAUUUUUCUGGGGUUUUAGGGAAUAUAUAGGCGAAAGAGCUAGGGCAGGGGAGCUCCAGGGGGGCACAAGCUUGGUAGCCGCCCCCCCCCCUUGGUGGCGGCUACAGGGCUUGUGGGGCCCCUGUGGCUCUCCUGCCUUGGCCCUCAAGUCCCCCGAUCUUCUUUUGUUUUGGAAAAAAUUAUUUCGGGGAUUUUAUUCCGUUUGGACUCCGUUCCAAAAUCAGAUCUGAAAAGAGUCAAAAACACAGAAAAAACAGGAACUGGCACUUGGCACUGAAUUAAUAAGUUAGUCCCAAAAAGAUAUAAAAGGUAUAUAAAACAUCCAAAGUUGACAAUAUAACAGCAUGAAACCAUAAAAAAUUAUAGAUACGUUUGAGAUGUAUCAAGCAUCCCCAAGCUUAACUCCUGCUCGUCCUCGAGUAGGGAAGUGAUAAAGAAUGAAUUUUUGAUGCUUUCAUGCUACCUAGCAUAGAUGUCCUUUGUAACUCCUCUUACGUGACGUGAAUGUUCAGAUCCAUUAGAUUCAAAAUAAUAGUUUGCUAUUGAUGUGGAGACAAUAAUAAUUCAAGCAAACUAGCAAGGUAAUCAUGAACUUUCAAAAUGACAAGGCCAAAAGAAAGUUAUCCCUUCAAAAUCAUAUAGUCUGGCUAUGCUAUAUCAUCCUUGCACAAUGGAUUUAAAUCAUGCACAACCCCGGUAUUGGCCAAGUAAUUGUUUUCACACCUUUACUUUCUCAAACCUUUUCAACUCUCACGCAAUACAUGAGCGUGAGCCAUGGUCUUAGCACUAUAAGUGGAAUGGGGUGUGGUGGAGGUUGCAAGACAAACAAGGAGAAGAUGGUCACAUUAACUAGGCAUAUCAAUGAGCUAUGGAGAUGCUCAUCAAUAGAUAUCAAUGUGAAUGAGUAGGGAUUGCCAUACAAAUGAUGCACUAGAGCUAAGAGUAUGUGAAAGCUCUUAAAUAAAACUCGUGGGUCUGCAUCCAACUUGCUUGCUCACGAAAACCUAAGGGAAAUUUGAGGAAGCCUAUCAUUGGAAUAUACAAGCCAAGUUAUAUAAUGAAAAUUUCCCACUAGCUAUAUGGUGGUGACAAAACGAGAGACUCUCAAUCAUGAAGAUCAUGGUGCUUAAUAAGCACAAGUGUGGAAGGAUAGUAGCAUUGUCCCUUCUCUCUUUUUCUCUCAUUUUUUUGGUAGGCUCUUUGGCCUCUUUUAUUUUAUUUUUAUUUUAUUUUUAUUUAUUUUUAUUUAUUUUUAUUUUGGUGGGCAUCUUUGGCCUAUUUUUGUAAAUGGGCUUCGCUGGCCUCUUUUAUUUCCUCACAUGGGACAAUGCUCCAUCAAUGAUGAUCAUCACACUUACAACUCAAAACAUAGAGCAAUGAUGACUCUAUAUGGAAUGCCUUCGGUAGUGUACCAUGACAAUGAUCUAGCAUGGCAUAAACAUUAAUGGAAACAUCAUGCUAGCUAUCUUAUGAUCAUGAAAUGGCAAUGAAGAAGUUGUGGCACAUGUCAUGGUGGUAGUUGCAUGGCAAUAUAUCUCGAAAUGGCUUUGAAAAAACCAUAGUAGGUAGGUAUGGUGGCUGUUUUGAGGGAGCUAUACGGUGGGUUUUGUGCACCGGCGAAUGUUGCACGACACUAAGAAAUCAGCAAAGACUCAAAUAUAAUUCAUAGAUAAUCUGAUCAUAAAUCCACAAUUCAUCGGAUCUCGACAAACACACCGCCAAAGAGGAUUACAUCGGAUAGAUCUCCAUGAAGAUCAUGGAGAACUUUGUACUGAAGAUCCAAGAGAGAGAAGAGGCCAUCUAGCUACUAACUACGGACCCGUAGGUCUGAAGUGGACUACUCAUGAGUCAUUGGAGAGGCGAUGAUGUUGAUGUAGAAGCCCUCCAACUCCAAAGUCCCCUCUGGCAGGGCACCGGGAAGGGUCUCCAGAUGAGAUCUCGCGGAAACGGAAGCUUGCGGCGGUGGAAAAGUGUUUUCGUGGAUGCCCUGAUUUUUUCUGGGAUUUAAGGGAAUAUAUAGGCGAAAGAGCUAGGGCAGGGGAGCUCCAGGGGGGCCACAAGCUUGGUAGCCGCCGCCCCCCGUGGUGGCGGCUACAUGGCUUGUGGGCCCCCUGUGGCUCUCCUGCCUUGGCCCUCAACUCCGCCGAUCUUCUUCUUUCUAGAAAAAAUUAUUUCGGGGAUUUUAUUCCGUUUGGACUCCGUUCCAAAAUCAGAUCUGAAAAGAGUGAAAAACACAGAAAAAACAGGAACUGGCACUUGGCACUGAAUUAAUAAGUUAGUCCCAAAAAAGGUAUAAAAGGUAUAUAAAACAUCCAAAGUUGACAAGAUAACAACAUGAAACCAUCAAAAAUUAUAGAUACGUUUGAGACGUAUCACGCGCCAGGGAAGGACUUUUGUUGCCGUAGCAGUAUACAACGCCUAAUAACACCAUCUACUCCUUCUUUGUAAAGAUGUGGGUCAUCCCAAAAGUAAUGUCGUCAAUCAUAGAAGAAUUUUUCUUUUGUUUAUAGGUGAAACUAGGUGGAAUAUAUUUAGCAACAAUGUAGUUAGCAUAAUCCGCAUACCAAGUGGAAGGACGUGGAUGUCACCUAGAGGGGGGUGAAUAGGGCUUUAAAAUAAUUACAAUUUAGGCUUCAACAAAUGCGGAAUAAAGCUAACAUUUAAUUUGUCAAGCACAAAACCUAACACAACUAGGCUCACAUAUGUGCAUCAACAACUUAUGCUAGGCAAGAUAAAUAAUUAAGUGAUAGCAAGAUAUAUAACAAGAAAAAAUAUGGCUAUCACAAAGUAAAGUGCAUAAGUAAAGGGCUCGAGAAAGAGAUAACCAAGGCACGCACAGACGAUGAUGUAUCCCAAGUUCACACCCUUGCGGAUGCUAAUAUGUGUUUGGAGCAGUGUGGGGGCACAAUGCUCCCCAGGAUGCCACUAAGGCCAUCGUAAUCUCCUCACGCCCUCGCACAAUGCAAGAUGCGGUGAUUCCACUAAGGGAACCUUGAGGGUGGUCACCGAACACGUGCAAACAAGGUUGGGGCAACCUCCACAACUUAAUUGGAGGCUCCCGACAACACCAUGAAGCUUCACCACAAUGGAAUAUGGUUUCAAGGUAACCUCAAAUCCUCGGGGCAAUCUCCCAAUGCACGUACCUAAGAGGAGGAAGCCAAAGGCCAAGACCAUGCAGGACCCUGUGGGCGAACCAUCAGCUCAGGAGGAGGUACCGCCGGCAAUGCUAAUCCUUGUGCUUGAGGCAACUGGUCAGAAGCUUGGGAUUGCUGCUGAGAAGCUCUCUGUGGAUCGUCUUAUGAUAGAUCCUACUGCAUCCAAGACCCCGUCUGCUGAUGUUUAAACCAAUGUUGUUAUUGCUCUGUUUUGCUGGUUGUUCCGUUCGUCAUACUACUCUCGUUAUUUGUUACAAUUUUCUGAACCUUGGUUCUGUGGGUUAUUAUGUAACUCCACUUUUGGUAUAUCUCAUAGUUGUCAUGGAUAAUCGAUCUACGCAAAGUUGGCGCGUUCUCUGCUAGAAGGUGUGUGGGCUCAAUUCAGAUCAUAGGCAACAAGUUGUUCGUAACAAAACUGAUGAGAGCUUGGCCUCAGUAGUUUGCUUACACGAAACCAAAAUGCAGUCCAUUGAUUUUCGAUCAGCCAGAAGUUUUUGUCCUAAACGAUUCGACCAAUUUGCAUACUCCCCUUCUCGUGGUGCCUCUGGUGGGCUUAUAACUCUGUGGAACUCCUCUGUUCUUACUAGUACCUUAGUUGAGUGCCAGUCCUUUGGUCUAAUUAUAUCUUUUACCUCAAGUCAUACUGCUGAAUCUUGGACCCUGGUAAAUGUCUAUGGCCCUUGUCAGGGGGAGGCUAGAGAUCUUUUUGUCAGCUGGCUCUAUAAUCUCAACAUCCCUGCUGAUGCUAAUUGGUUGUUGCUUGGAGAUUUUAACUUUAUUCGCUCACCAUCUAAUAGAAAUCUUCCUGGGGCUGAUGUGAAUGAUUUGUUCAUUUUAAUGAGAUCAUUGGUCACCUUGGACUGCUUGAAUUACCUAUUAAGGGCAGAUCUUUUACCUCGUCCAAUAUGCAAGAUUCACCUCUGCUAGAACAAUUGGAUUGGUUUUUUACAUCUCCUACUUGGAUUUUAUCAUAUCCUCUGACACAGGUCCUCCCUUUGGCAAAAACUACAUCUGACCAUGUCCCCUGUGUAGUAACAGUUAACACUUUCAUACCAAAAUUCAAUCUCUUUAUAUUUGAAAACUACUGGGUUGAGAUGGAUGGUUUCAUGGAAUGUGUCAAGGACUCUUGGAAAAUUCCAUCCAGGAAAUGUCAUAUCACUGCUAUUGAAACACUUAUGUGAGGCCCUAAAGAAAUGGCAAACCAGCCUCUCUCAGUUGAAGCUCCUUAUUGCUUGAUGCAACCAGGUUGUGCUUUGCCUUGAUGAUCUGGAAGAGCUCAGACCCCUAUACAGACCCGAAGCUAACUUUGGGGUGACUGUAAAACUACACCUAGAUCAUCUAUUACACCUACAGUUCCUUUACUGGAAAAAGAUCCACAAUCCAAUUCAUCAAAGUUGGAGAAGAGAACACUAACUUUUUCCAUGCCAUGGCAACUGAAAGAUAUAGAAAAAAUUCCAUUUCCUCUCUUAAGCUGAAUGAUGGUUCUAUAAUCUUUGAUCAUGAGGAAAUUGCUGGAUGUUUCUGGACUUCCUUCAAGGACAGGAUGGGAUCCUCUCAGGGUAUUAAUAUGGCUUUUGACCCGCAGUCCCUAAUUCAGAAGGUGGAUGGGCUUGAUGUGCUAACAGAGCCUUUUACCAAGACAGAAAUGGAUCAGACUGUGCAAGAAAUGCCCACUGACAAGGCCCCUGGUCCAGAUGGUUUCAAUGGUCUAUUUUUUAAGAAAUGCUGGUCCAUUACCUGCUCUGAAUUUUAUCAACUUGCAGCUGAUUUCCAUGCUGGCAAUGCCAAGCUUGAAAACAUGAACUCAUCUUAUAUUACUUUCAUACCCAAAAAGAGUUCACCUGAACAAGUUGGUGACUUUCGACCUAUCUCUCUAACAGGGAUGGGGCUUAAGUUCUUAUCUAAAAUGGUGGCCAACAUACUGCAAUCGCAAGUUAUGAAAUGCAUACAAAAAAUAAGUAUGGCUUUAUGAUGCGGCAAAGAAAGUCCUUCCCUGGCGCUUAGGACUUCUUCUUGUUACUUCUUUGGCUUGCGUCGGUUUUUCCCUUGAAGAGGAAAGGGUGAUGCAGCACAUGAGCAGUAAGUAUUUCCCUCAGUUUGAGAACCAAGGUAUCGAUCCAGAAGGAGCGCCUCGUCAAGUCCAAAGUACGUGCGCAAACACAAACAAGCUUGCACCCAACGCUUCAAAGGGGUUGUCAAUCCCUUCAAGAUUGUUUGCAAAGUGAGAUCUGAAGGCGGAAAGUGCAACGAAGUAGAAAGUGUAAGGCUGGAAAUAUGGUGUGGAGUAGACCCUUGGGGGCAUAGUGUUCACAAGAGGCUUCUCUCAUAAUAGCAAAUAUCACGGUGGGUCAACAAAUUACUGUCGAGCAAUUGAUAGAACCGCGCAAAGUCAUGAUGAUAUCUAAGGCAAUGAUCGUGCAUAUAGGCAUCACGUCCGAGACAAGUAGAGCGAUACUUUCUGCAUCUACUACUAUUACUCCACACAUCAACCGCUAUCCAGCAUGCAUCUAGUGUAUUGAGUUCAUGACGAACAGAGUAACUCUUGAAGCAAGAUGACAUGAUGUAGAGGGAUAAUCUCAAACCAAUGAUGAAAACCCCAUCUUUUUACCCUUGAUGGCAACAACACGAUACGUGCCUCGCUACCCCUUCUGUCACCAGAUGAGGUCACCGCACCGUAUGAACCCAAAACCAAGCACUUCUCCCAUUGCAAGAAUCAUAGAUCUAGUUGGCCAGAAAAAACCCACAACUCGAAGAGAAUUACAAGGAUAUGAUAUCAUGCAUAAGAGAGAUCAGAAGAAACUCAAAUAAGAGUCAUAGAUAAUCUGAUCAUAAAUCCACAAUUCAUCGGAUCUCGACAAACACACCGCGAAAGAAGAUUACAUCGGAUAGAUCUCCAUGAAGAUCAUGGAGAACUUUGUAUUGAAGAUCCAUGAGAGAGAAGAAGCCAUCUAGCUACUAGCUAUGGACCCAUAGGUCUAUGGUGAACUACUCACGCAUCAUCAGAGAGGUCAUGGUGUUGAUGAAGAAGCCCUCCAUAUCCGAAUCCCCCCUCCGGCAGGGCACCAGGACGUGCCCCAGAUGGGAUCUUGCGGAGACAGAAUCUUGCGGCGGCGGAAUAGCGAUUGCGAUGAUCUCUUGAUUUUUCUGGAAUUUUUGGGAUUAUAUAGGCAAAAGACCUAGGUCAGGGGACCUCCAGGGGGCCCACAAGCCUGGAUGGCGCCCCCCUGGCCACGGGGUGGGGGCUUGUCGGGCCCCUGGGGCUCCUCUGGCUUGGCUCCCAAGUUCUCCGAUCUUCUUCCGUUCCAAAAAUAAUCAUUUCGGGGAUUUUCUUCCGCUUGGACUCCGUUUCAAAAUCUCCUCUGAAAGGGGUCAAAAACAUGGAAAAAAGAGGAACUCGCACUUUGCACUGAGUUAAUAAGUUAGUCCCAAAAAAUAUAUAAAAGGCAUGCAAAACAUACAAAGUUUGACAAGAUAAUAGAAUGAAAUCAUAAAAAAUUAUAGAUACAUUGGAGACGUAUCACUUUAUCAAAUCUAGAACCAUCCAAGAUUGUGUGGGCUGGACACUAGAAUAUUUGCACCAAUGUCAUCAGUCCAAACAACCCAUUGUCAUCCUCAAACUGGAUUUUGAAAAGGCUUUUGACUGUGUGGAACAUGAGUUCAUUUUUCAUAUUCUCACGUACAAGGGCUUUAAUGACAGAUGGAUCCUCUGGGUGCAACAGUUACUCACUUCUGGCUCUUCCUCGGUGCUUCUAAAUGGAGUUCCUGGAAGGAAAUUCAUGUGUAAGAAAGGGGUCAGACAGGGGGACCCCAUGUCCCCUCUUCUCUCUGCAAUUUCUGCAGACUUCCUUCAAACCUUGGCCAAUAAACUUUUGGAGGAUGGCCUCAUUCAGCUACCAAUUCCCUGUCAGGACAAACACUUCCCCAUAGUGCAGUAUGUUGAUGACACUCUCAUAAUUUUACCUGCAGAGGAAUCUCAGUUGCUUGAACUCAAAAAAUGCUACUUCUGUUCUCCCAAUCCACUGGUCUUCAAGUGAAUUAUCACAAAUCUGCUCUGCUCCCCAUCAACAUUGAUCAAGGGCAACUCCAAAUGUUAGUUCAUGCUAUUGGUUGCAAGGUCGGUUCCUUGCCCUUCACAUAUCUUGGUUUGCCUGUAGGAACAACCAAACCAAGGAUAAUUGAUCUCAUGCCCUUAGUGGAUAAUAUGGAAAGAAGGCUUAGUGCUAGUUCCUCCUUCCUGGCUCAGGGGGGCCGUUUACAAUAUUUGAACUCAGCUCUGUGUUCGGUACCUAUCUUCUUCCUCUGCAGCUUAGAUAUUCCUCCAGGGAUUCUCAAGCAGCUAGAAAGGAUCCAACGACAAUGCAUAUGGAGAAAGAAUGGUCAGGAUCAUGCCCUUUCUCUUGCUGCCUGGGAUCUUGUGUGCAGACCUAAGAUGAAAGUUGGUCUGGGGAUCAUGAAUCUUGUUGUCCAGAAUGAAGCCCUGUUGCUCAAACAUGUGGAAAAAUUCCUGAACAAAGCUGAUAUACCGUGGGUCAAGCUAAUUUGGAACACAUAUUACCACAACACAGUUCCCCAGGGUACUUCACUUUGUGGAUCUUUUUGGUGGAAGGACAUCUGCAAGCGUAUGGAUAAUUUCAGAGCUGUUACAUAUUUUUAACCCAACAGAGGUGAUACCUUCUUGUUCUGGUCUGAUUCCUGGUUGAUUGGGAACUCUACCAGGCCUCUGGCUUCUAGGUUUCAGAGGCUGUUCUCUUUUGUCAUUGACUCUUUUUGCACUGUUGAGGAAGUUUUCCAUGCAUUCCAAGAGAACAGUAUGCUAUCCAUGUUCCACUUGCCUCUCUCUGAACAAGUCUAUCAAGAAUUAGGUGCUGUCAACACUCUGCUCCAGGACCUUGCUAUAAACCCUACUGCUAAUGAUAUCUGGCUCUGGAUUAAAGAUUCUAAGGCUUACACUGCCAAGAAAUAUUAUAGCCAUAUCCACCAGCCCAUAAUGCCAAACCCCUUGCUCAGUUGGAUCUGGAAGAGUUGUUGUACUAUGAAAAUCAAGAUGUUUGCCUGGUUGCUAAUCAUGGACAGACUCAACACUCAGGAUAUGCUGGAGAGGCAUCACUGGAAAGUAUUGAUGACCCACAAGUAUAGGGGAUCAAUCGUAUCCCUUUCGAUAAGUAAGAGUGUCGAACCCAACGAGGAGGAGAAGGCUCUGAUAAAUGGUUUUCAGCAAGGUAAUAACUGCAAGCACUGAAAGUAGCGGUAACAAAUGAUGGUGUAGUGAGGUGAAACGUAGCAAGCGAAAAUUAACAAGUAACAAGUAGUAGAAACGGUGCAGCAAGUGGCCCAAUCCCUUUUGUAGCAAGGGACAAGCCUGAACAAAGUCUUAUAAGAGAAAAACGCUCCCGAGGACACACGGGAAUUUCUGUCAUGCUAGUUUCAUCAUGUUCAUAUGAUUCACGUUCGUUACUUUGAUAGUUUGAUAUGUGGGUGGACCGGCGCUUGGGUACUUCCCUUACUAGGACAAGCAUCCCACUUAUGAUUAACCCCUCUCGCAAGCAUCCGCAACUACGAAAGAAGAAUUAAGACAACGUCUAACCAUAGCAUUAAACUAGUGGAUCCAAAUCAGCCCCUUACGAAGCAACGCAUAGACUGGGGUUUAAGCUUCUGUCACUCCAGCAACCCAUCAUCUACUUACUACUCCCCAAUGCCUUCCUCUAGGCCCAAAUAUGGUGAAGUGUUAUGUAGUCGAUGUUCACAUAACACCACUAGAGGAAAAACAACAUACAUCAAAUCAAAAUACCGAACGAAUAUCAAAUUCACAUGACUAUUAUCAGCAUGACUUAUCCCAUGUCCUCAGGAACAAAAGUAACUACUCACAAAGCAUAAUCAUAAUCAUGAUCAGAGGUGUAAUGAAUAGCAUCAAGGAUCUUAACAUAAAUUCUUCCACCAAGUAAUCCAACUAGCAUCAACUACAAAGAGUAAUCAACACUACUAGCAACCUUAGAAGUACCAAUCGGAGUCACGAGACGGAGAUUGGUUACAAGAGAUGAACUAGGGUUUGGAGAGGAGAUGGUGCUGAUGAAGAUGUUGAUGGAGAUGCCUCCCCUCCGAUGAGAGGAGUGUUGGUGAUGACGAAGGCGAAGAUUUCCCCCUCCGGGAGUGAAGUUUUCCCGGCAGGAUCGUCCUGCCGGAGCUCUAGAUUGGAACUGCUCAAGUUCCACCUCGUGGUGAUGGAGAAUCCACGAAAAAGCUUCACCCUGAUUUUUUUUCCGGACGAAACCCUUCAUAUAGCAAAAGAGGGGGGACAGUAGGCCACCAGGGUGCCCACAAGCCCUCUUGCCGCGGCCAGGGGGUAGGUCGCGGCAACCAGGCUUGUGGGACCCUGGUUGCUCCCCUCUGACACUUCUUUCGCCCAUUAUUUUUUAUAAAAUCCAAAAAAAUACACGUUGAUUUUUAGGGCAUUUGGAGUUGCGCAGAAUAGAGGACUCAAACUUGCUCCUUUUCCAGUCCAGAAUUCCAGCUGUCGGUAUUCUCCCUCUUCAAAUAAACCUUGCAAAAUAAGAGAGAAAAGGCAUAAGUAAGGUUCCACAAAGUAUAAUAACAGUCCAUAAAGCGAUAAAUAUCAACAUGAAAGCAUGAUGCAAAACGGACGUAUCAACUCCCCCAAGCUUAGACCUCGCUUGUCCUCAAGCAAAAACCAAGACCCAAAACAUGUCCACAUGUUUAGGGAUGAAGGUGUCGAUAAAACAAAAUACAGACAUGAGGGCAUCAUGAUCACACAUAGAACAGCAAUACAUCAUAGAGAUUCUUAUGGGAAAGUAACAAUUCCUUCACAAAGCAAAGUAUGAAACAAAAACCUUACCGAGAAGUAGCCGACAACAGUCCAAAGUCAUUGAAGCAAUUGCAAUUUGUCAUAACAUCAGAAAGAGUCAAAUAAGAGUUUGCAAAGCAAAUCCACAUACUCAAUCAUCUCUUUUGUUUUCCACAAUUGUUACAACUCACGUGGUACUCAUGGUAUCAAAGUUUCAGUUGGAUACAGAGAAAGAUAGGGGCUUAUAGUUUUGCCUCCCAACCAUUUACCUCAAGGGUAAAGUCAACAAUAAUAAAGCAUAGGUACUCAGCUCCAAGUUGAUAUAUGAAUAUAGAUCUUUCCCAAGCAUAUGACGUUCACCAAGAAAAACGCUAGAUACGGAAUUGGUGAAGAUCACCAUGACUCUUACAAGGGCAAAAAGUAAAGGUACAAGAAAGGCCCUUCGCAGAGGGAAGCAGAGGUUGUCAUGCGCUUUUAAGGUUUGGAUGUGUGUCCUCUUAGUGCGGAGGAACGUCACUUUAUAUUGCCUCCUGUGAUAAAGAACUUUAUUAUGCAGUUUGUCGCUUUUAUGUGUUCCUCAUCAUAGGUUCGUACAAAGCUUAUUUUCCACACACUAAUAGAUCAUACAUAUUAGAGAGCAAUUUUUAUUGCUUGCACCGAUGACAACUUACUUGAGGGAUCUUAUUCAAUCCAUAUGUAGGUAUGGUGGACACUCAUGGCAAAACUCGGUUGAAGGUUUAUGGAUGCACAAGUAGUAUCUCUACUUGGUGCGGGAGUUUUGGCUAAUAUGAGGUGGAAGCAAUCGUCACAUGCUAAAGGAUCUCUAAUCAUAUAACAUUGUUUGGCACCAAGCAAACACAGUUCAUUAUGUUGUCUUCCUUGUCCAAUAUCUACUUCUAAGCAUGUAAUAUUUUGGUGAGUGCUCACAAUUAUAGAAAGUGUCUAAGAUGAUAUAUUUAUAUGUGCACCUCUCAUUCCUUAUUACUUCUUAUUAAUUGCAACAAUGACUGGGGUCUAUGUUGGUCUACUCUCAACAAGUUUCAAUCAUCAUACUUGUUAUAUGUGAAGCUAUCACUUUCCAUAGGAUCAUCUCAUGAUCUUUCAUGCUAUCGUUCUUUUCAUACUUUUGAUCACGGCACAAAACAAAGCCCUUGACUAAGAUACUCAUUAUGAUAUAGCUCGCAAGCUCGAAUACAACGGGGGAGACACAAGGCAAAAGACUCAAACUAAAACACUAAAGACUUAUUCCACUAAGAGAAGAAAUAAAACUGAAAAGGAAAGAACUAAAACAAAGGUAAAAGCAAAAUAUAUAAAGGUGAUACGAUACCAGGGCAACUCCCCCAAGCUUGGCAAAAGCCAAGGGGAUUGCCCAUACCAAUUCUUAGUUGUCUUCCUUUGGUGGUGAUGGUGGUGGUGUUGUUGAAGUAGUGUGAUCCUCCGUCUUCCAAGGCAUAGGUGCUCCAUCAUGGCAGGAUGAACGAGUCGCCGGAAUCCUCAAAAUUGUAGCCAACCGUAUUGAUUUAAAUCUAUACUCAUACUCACAGUUUUGGUACUGCAGGUCAAAGAUCUGGCUCUGGAGUUGAUCAACCCUGUCAUAGAGCCUGGGGAGGUGCUUCCCAAUGUCAAUGGCAUCCAUCUGGUGAUUGCUAGUGAACUCCAUGAUCAUCAUGUGGUUGGCGUUGAGUCCACACUCCACCAUCCCUUGGCACUUGAAGACUUGUUGCUCCAUUGCUUCGAGCCUUGUCUCCAUGCUUCCGGUCUUCUUAGGCCCCUCAACAUCACGGAUGUGCAACAUCCCCUCACUCAUCUUAAUAGAUUGAGGGUGUUUCAGCACUUCCGUGAGGUAGGGAUUGAUGACCUUAUCGAAGAUCUUGUCCUUAGGAGCUUUUGGGGAAGUCAUGAAGGUCUAGAUCUACGACAGAAACAAGCUCGAAACGAAAACAGAGGAAAACUGCGUGAUACGGAGAUCAAAACCCUCGGGCAUAUAUAUAAUGAUUUUUUCUGGACCAGAAGGAGUGCUCCGCAAGAAAACGGAGUCUGGGAGGCACACAAGCUGCCCACAAGCCAUGUUGCCGCGGUCAGGGGGAGGCCGCGACAACCAAGCUUGUGUCCGCCUCGUGCGCUCUCCGGACUGCUUUUUAUUUUUCUAAUUUUCCAAAAAUUCCAAAACGGAGAAAAUUUCCUAUUGGAAAAGUUUUGGAGUCCAAUUACUUACCGAAACAGAUACCUCUUGGAUUUCAGGGUCCGAAACAGGCUCAUAAACAUCCCUUAUGUACUCCUCUGGAGUUAUGAUAUUGAUGAUAUUGGUCUCAACAUAUAUGGGAGUACCAAAGAUGUAAUGCUUGAUUCUUUGCCCAUUUACCACUCUAGGAAAAUUGCCUUCCGUGUUAUUGAUUUUGAUGGCACCGGAAUGAUAUACUUCCUCGACAACGUAGGGACCUUCCCAUUUAGAGAGAAGCUUGCCUGUGAAGAAUCUUAAACGAGAAUUGUAUAGCAGGACAUAAUCACCUACAUUGAACUCUCGUUUUUGUAUUCUUUUAUCGUGCCAUCUCUUAACCUUUUCCUUGAACAACUUGGAAUUCUCAUAUGCCUGGGCCCUCCAUUCAUCUAAUGAGAUGAUAUCAAACAACCGCUUCUCACCGACAAGUUUGAAAUCAAAGUUGAGCUCUUUGAUUGCCCAAUAAGCUUUGUGUUCCAGUUUAAGAGGUAAAUAACAGGCCUUACCGUAAACCAUUUUAUACGGUGACAUGCCCAUGGGAUUCUUAUAAGCAGUCCUAUAAGCCCAUAGUGCAUCGUCAAGUUUGCUAGACCAAUUCUUUCGAGAUCUAUUGACGGUCUUUUGUAAGAUCAAUUUGAUCUCCCUAUUACUCAACUCCACUUGACCACUAGACUGAGGAUGGUAAGGAGAUGCAACUCUAUGGUUGACAUCAUACUUAGCGAGCAUCUUGCGGAAAACACCAUGAAUGAAGUGUGAACCGCCAUCAGUCAUCAGAUAUCUAGGGGCUCCAAAUCUUGGGAAAAUGACUUCUUUAAGCAUCUUAAUAGAGGUGUGGUGAUCAGCAUUUUUAGUGGGGAUAGCUUCUACCCACUUAGUGACAUAAUCCACAGCAACUAAGAUGUGAGUGUACCCAUUGGAACUCGGGAAGGGUCCCAUAAUCAAAGCCCAUGACAUCAAAUGGUUCAAUGACAAGUGAAUAUUUCAUAGGCAUUUCCUUACGCUUACUGAUAUUCCCUAUUCUUUGGCAUUCGUCACAAGACAAGACAAACUUACGGGCAUCCUUGAAGAGAGUGGGCCAAUAGAAAACUGAUUGCAAUACCUUAUGAGCAGUUAUGUCUCUAGCAUGGUGUCCUCCGUAGGCUUCGGAAUGACACCUCUGCAGGAUCUGUCCCUGUUCAUGUUCAAGCACACAACGUUUAAUGACACCAUCUACUCCUUCCUUAUAAAGGUGAGGAUCAUCCCAGAAGUAGUGUCUCAAAUCAAAGAAGAAUUUCUUCUUUUGCUGGUAGGUGAAACUGGGUGGUAUGUAUUUGGCUACGAUAUAAUUUGCGUAAUCAGCAUACCACGGUGCACUAUGUGAAGUGCGGAUGACAUUCAAUUGCUCAUCAGGGAAGCUGUCAUCAAUAGGUCGUGGUUCAUCAAGGACAUUCUCUAGCCUAGACAAGUUAUCUGCUACAGGGUUAUCAGCACCCUUUCGGUCAACAACGUGCAAAUCAAAUUCCUGUAGCAGGAAAACCCAUCUGAUUAGUCUAGGCUUAGCGUCCUUCUUCUCCAUGAGGUACUUAAUAGCAGCAUGAUUAGAGUAAAUAGUGACUUUGGAGUCAACUAUAUAAGAUCUGAAGUUUUCACAUGCAAACACGACUGCUAAAAACUCCUUCUCCGUAGUGGCAUAGUUUCUUUGGGCACUGUCUAGAGUUUUACUAGCGUAGUGAAUGACAUUCAACUUCUUGUCAACUCUUUGUCCUAGAACAGCACCAACGACAUAAUCACUAGCAUCGCACAUGAUUUCAAAGGGCCAGUUCCAAUCAGGUGGUUGAACAAUAGGUGCGGUUAUCAAGGCCUUCUUAAGUACUUCGAAAGCUUCCUCACAAUCCUCAUCAAAAACAAAAGGAACAUCCUUCUGCAAGAGGUUGUUAAGAGGCCUAGAAAUCUUAGAGAAGUCUUUAAUGA